ACUUGCAAGGAUGGCAAUCAGAUCGACAUCCGCACAAUGCUGAUAUGAACAUUGUCUUGAUACAACUUUAUUUGUAUUUUAUUUCAGAAUUUAAACAACUAGUUUGGGCGGGUCACACAUGGUGUUGUGUGACACUUUAUUUGUCACCGCUACAUCGACAUAUCCAUCGACUAAACAACGGUGAUCCAACUAUAUAUUAAUAGAGAUCUUUUCUUAUCAGUAGGCACCAACUCCAGUGCCAACGCCGAAUGGCGCACUAGUGGUGGUUCCGUACAACGGCACGUUGACAUUGCACAUCGUUGGCAAGGUACGGAGUGCAAUGGAAGUCAUCACCUCAAAUUGAGCUAUCUGGUGUGGCUGCAAAAAGGUACCCUGUGCCAAUUGUUGUUGUUGAGGUUGUUGCCCGAGUUGCUGCUGCGAUUGUUGUUGGGGUUGGGAGACACAUUGGCCCAACUGUUGGGGUUGUUGUUGCUGAGCUUGGAUGAUACUCUGAACUUGUUGUUGUUGUUGUUGUUGUUGCUGCAGGAUGAUAGAGUAGAUGAUAGCACGGAUUGACUCAUGGCGGGAUUGCCCGGGGAUUUGCCGCAACUGUUGGCAACAUUGUUGCUGCAUCACAUGGCAAAUCCUCUGCUGCAACAUUUGUGACCUAGCAAGACAUCGCUGCAUUGCCACAGGGAUGCACUGCUGCUGGAGGAAUACCUUGCAUGGGUUUAGUUGCUGCAAAACAGAUGGAUGAAUAACUGGUAUUUGUUGUUGCUGUGAAAAUGGUGGUUGUUGUUGCUGCGAAAAUGGUGGUUGUUGUUGCUGUGAAAUUGGUGGCUGUUGUGAAAACGGUGGUUGUUGUUGUUGUGAAAAUGGUGGUUGUUGUUGUUGCUGCUGCGAAAAUGGUNNNNNNNNNNNNNNNNNNNNNNNNNNNNNNNNNNNNNNNNNNNNNNNNNNNNNNNNNNNNNNNNNNNNNNNNNNNNNNNNNNNNNNNNNNNNNNNNNNNNNNNNNNNNNNNNNNNNNNNNNNNNNNNNNNNNNNNNNNNNNNNNNNNNNNNNNNNNNNNNNNNNNAAUUGGUGGCUGUUGUGAAAACGGUGGUUGGUGUUGCUGCAAAAAUGGUGGUUGUUGUUGUUGUUGCUGCGAAAAUGGUGAUUGUUGUUGUUGCGAAAAUGGUGGUUGCUAUUGCUGUGAAUAUGGUGGCUCUUGUUGCUGCGAAAAUGGUGGUUGUUGUUGCUGCGGAAAUGGUUGUUGUUGUUGUUGUUGCUGUGAAAUUUGCGCAACGGCACUUGCCGCCGCAAGAGCGAGGAGGGAAAAGACGAGGAAUGUCUUCAUUGUGGAUUGAUGUCAACUAGUGUUGCUUGGUUUUGAUGCUUGUGCUUGUGAUGAUCUUUAUACUUCAUGCCUAUUUAUAGUAGCCCGGGCACCACCUCUUUUCUUCUUUGCAUCAGCUUUAAUAAAUUUGUUUGGCUGCAUCUGAAAUGAAUUUUUUUGGUACAUUGUGUUUGGUUGCGCUAGCUACAAGCGUACUUUUGGAUUAAUCAUCAAAGUUGCUUUUUAGUUGUGCAUAUGAUCACACACGAAGUACAGAAACCCUGAUGUUUGUUAUAUAUGACUCAUCUUAUUCACUUUACAUGUCACACACUUAUCAAGAUAGUAUCACUUUUGCAACCGAGUUUGGAACCUUGUAUAGGCUAUCAACCAUAAACUAAAAAGGCAAAACUUUUGUAGGACUAAGUUGCAAUCGUGUGUGGGCUGUUAAGAUAUGCUCGAUUAUUAAAGCCUUGCGUGUGGAGGGUUCUUCUAGAGUUGGUUGCUUUUUAUAACUAAUUUUGUAUUUUCCACUAAGAUGAUAAGAUGAACCGACGCCUAUAGAGCAUGACAUGACUCAUCGAAUUCCCUUUAUAUGAAAAGGAUGAUAAUUGCUUACAAGAUACUCCUACUAGCAUAUAUUCGGUCCUAAGUCUAGACAUGUCAUCAUUAGUUCCGUGUUUUUGUUUAGAUAAAUCAUCAGUUCCAUCUAUUUGUGAAAGCUUUUGGGGGGGGGUGACAGUUUUUUUUGGCGCUAGGGGAAAAAUCUUUUUUGAUCUAGGGGGAAAUGAUAGAUGGGGCUGGAACAGAGGCCCGCAGCCUAGAGCGAGAGAUUAGGCCCAACAUAAGCGCUGUGUGUUAGGGCACCAAUUCGAAUUGGGCUAUAGUUUUCGUAGGCCCCAAUGUCACAAGCCGAACUCACACUCCGCAGAUCUGCGUCAUCUCCUUGCUCGUCCUCCUCGCCGGUCAGACCUCUCGUCGGCGUAGCCUCUCCUGGAUCCCACCGCCUGCGGCCGGUCACAUACGUCUGAGGCAGCGGAGGCGGAAGCCUCCCUCCUGCCCUCCGCACCCGCUACCACCACCAUUGGUCGACAAAAAGGUCACUUUUGAAGCUCCUUCGUCGAUUGCGGGCCGUACGUCGACGGCAGCCACUCCGGCCUCCCCGCUAAAACAAGGUAUCGAUCCUGGCCGUCUGUCUCCUCCAACGAUUCAAUUCACAUGAAUUCGAGAGGCGUACCCAUCUCCAUGCCAGCCACAUGAAUCAGGAGGGUCAUGAAGCAGGAUUCAUCUGCGUAGCCUGAUAGUGACAUACAUUUGUGGCUUUGGUAGCUAAGCAACUUUGUGCUUUCUAUGGAUGUCACUUCAAAAGUUCAAAUAAUCAUCAAAUUUCCGCCUUUGGGUGCUGCAGGUGGAGUGGAGGACAUUCAGUUUCCCUCUGAUGUCCGAGAAGUCCGUCUUCGGUGCAGCAAUUGUGGGUGUCAAAACCGGGGGAUCUCGGGUAGAGGGUCCCGAACUGUGCGUCUAAGGCGGAUGGUAACAGGAGGCAGGGGACACAAUGUUUACCCAGGUUUGGGCCCUCUCGAUGGAGGUAAUACCCUACUUCCUGCUUGAUUGAUCUUGAUGAUAUGAGUAUUACAAGAGUUGAUCUACCACGAGAUCGUAGUGGCCAAAUCCUAGAAGCUAGCUUAUGAUUAUGAUUGUUGUUGUCCUACGGACUAAACCCUCCGGUUUAUAUAGACACCGGAGGGGGCUAGGGUUACACAGAGUCGGUUACAAGGGAGGAGAUCUACAUAUCCGAAUUGCCAAGCUUGCCUUCCACGCAAAGGAGAGUCCCACCCGGACACGAGAUGAAGUCUUCAAUCUUGUAUCUUCGUAGUCCGGCCGAAGGAUAUAGUCCGGCUGUCCGAGGACCCCCUAAUUCAUGACUCCCUCAGUAGCUCCUGAACCAGGCUUCAAUGACGAUGAGUCCGGCGCACAGAUUGUCUUCGGCAUUGCAAGGCGGGUUCUUCCUCUGAAUACUCCAUAGAAGAUUUCAAACACAAGGACAGUGUCCGGCUCUGCAAAACAAAUUCCACAUACCACCGUAGAGAGUAUAAUAUUUUCACAAAUCUAAUCUGCUGACAACUUUUCAUAACGUGACAUCACGCCAUGGCCUGGUCAUUAUUUGAACCGUUUUUCUCAACCAACUACUACACAUAUUGCGAGGCGGUUUUCUUGACAUGUCUUGUCAAAGCAGAGAUCGUGUCCCCUUAUCAUGAGAUUCUAAUCAAUAUGGGCGUGGGUAACCCAACCGCGCCAUCAAUCACGAUGCUUGGGGAAUAAGCGAGUUUACCAGUCAAGUGGGGAGGCAUAGAAUCCCUGCUGCCUUUAUAAGGGGAUAAGGACUCCCUUUCGCACCCACGCUUUCUUCUUCCCGAUCCAUUCCCCUUUGCCCGAGCUCCAGCAAUAGAGCGUUCGUCUUCUCUGCCCACAAAGGCCUUCCGAAAAUGUCCGGAUCAUGAGCAGGAGGCAAGUGGAUGGCCUCUACUGUCGAGGAGAAGCAUAUCAAAAAGUUUUGGGAGGCCGGGUAUCUGGCCAAAAAAAUCGACCACCGUCUCCCGACGGCGGGACAGAACGUUCCUACUCCGGAACCCCAAGAGAGGGUUGUAUUCCUCCCUCAUUUUGUCUGCGGGCUAGGGUUUCCCCUCCACCCGUUCGUUCGCGGCAUCAUGUAUUAUUACGGGAUCGAUUUUCAUGAUGUAUCCCCCAAUUCCUUCCUCAACUUCUCGACAUUCAUCAUCGUGUGCGAGGCUUUUCUCCGCAUCUCGCCACACUUCGGCUUAUGCCUGAAGAUCUUUAAUGUGAAGGCCAAGGUGGUGAGCGGCGAGCACGCCGAGUGUGGGGGCGCCAUGGUGAGCAAGAUGCCCAAUGUCACCUGGCCAACAUGUACUUUUAAUGAUUCCAUCAAAUAGUGGCAACAACAGUGGUUUUACAUUACUAAGCCACGCAGCACGGAAUGGGCCGCUGCUCCAGAGUUCCGAUCCAGAGCCCCUCUGCGGCUUACGUCCUGGCCCAAGAAGGGCCUGAACUGGUCUUCGUCUGACGAACUGUCUAUGCUCCAGACGCGCAUUAAAGAUAUGGAAGACAAGAACAUCGAACUUGUCAUUGUAGUCCAGGUGAUGUUAGUUCGCGGGAUCCUGCCUUGUCAGCACCAGACUUGCAAUAUGUGGGAAUUCGAUCCGGCCAAGCACCAGACCCUGUGAAAACUCUUUGGAUCCUCGCACGAAGACAUCUGGAAGGUGCUUUUCAAGUCUGGAAAAUCAUGGACGGACUCGGCCGAGGACCGUGGGUAUCAACUGUCCCGCCCUGCAAGCUCGGUAAGUUUUAUGCGUUUUACCCGCAUAACCCAAGGGAAAUGCCUAAUGUGUUUUCCUCAAUUCCCCUAGGGCUGGACGAAGAAGGCGGGGCGGAUCCACUGUCCGGUCCCGUUGCCCGAAGAACCGGCCGGCCCACUUCUGACGAAGAUGCUGGCCCCGGCGCCAUACAAGGCACCGAAGAAGAAGACCAAGGAGGCCAAAAAGACCCGAGGCGGCCUUCGUCGCCGCGGCACUUCAGCCACAAUAUCCGAAGGCUCCAAACCCCGUUCUGCCUCUGAAGAGGACGAGGAGGAGGAAGACGAAUCCCCAGUGGGGGGAAGAAAAGAAGAGGGCGGCCUCCAUACACUUGGAGGCCGAGUCACCUAAAAGGGGAAAAGAUCCUCUUCGUGAAGAGUCCACUGCCGCCGCCGACAGCAGCCCGGCAUGGGAUCCCAGGGCCCAGCCCCUGGUGAACUCGUGAGUAUAAAAUCCGAACACGUUUAUGCGUCCAGACUCAUCAUGGCAUAAUAUUUUAACCUGAGCUAUAUUUUUUUCAGUCCGGCGAGGUCCCGCACCAAAUGAUCCUCAUCAGAGGAUUCGCUAAGCUCGGAUGCUAUAGAGAGCGGGACGCCCCCAAAGGCCCCUUCCCCCAAAUGUGUGCAUAACACCGAGGCUUCGUCCCAGAAGGACCCCGGCCAAGGAGGGGGGGAAGAGAUCGUGAAAGCAGCGCCUGGAGUUCAAACUUCGGGGGCCGGAGACAUGGGGGAGAAGAUUCCCAUGGGAGUCGACGGCGGGAGCCAUCUUGAAUUCGGCUCCCAGCCGGGCGCAAUUCCGGAGACCAAUACGGCUCGAAAAUCAAGCAGGCGGCCUCCCUCGGUUGGAGGGGGCGUGCCUGUUCCACCGGCAAUCUCUGUCCAGCCAGAGGUGCCGGAUGUUUUGUUGGCGGCGCUGAAGAGCGCCUCCAUCGUCGAUGAACACCGUGCCCUGAUGGGUGUGGUGAUUAAGGAGAUUCAGUCUGCUGAGAGUGGACUGAAUGAAGCUUGUAUCAGCCUUAUAAGAGGCUUUGAGGUAUGUUUUAUGAGGUUUCGAAGAGUGUCAUAGUAUGGAUAGUAGCCCCUGAUACACUGUUCGGUGCAAGAAAGGACCGAACAAAGGAUCAAUUUUAUGUUCGCAGGAAGACUCACUUGAUGACAUCUAUCUCUCUUCUUUUAUAAGCAGGUGUCUGCAGUGGCUGCUGCCUCUCAUGCUGCGGAGGUCUCCGGACUAAAUCAAAGUCUGGAGCGGGCCGAAGAAGAACUUGGCCAGUUGAAAAGCCAGUUGGAAGAUAAACAAGGUAUGCGCAAGCAGGGGCGGAAUUGGGCCUAUGGCAACUAGGGCUAUAGCCCCAGGCGUGGCCCAACUAGUGCUAUUAGAUCCAGAUGAAAAUUUUCAGAUUUUUAGAUUUUAAGAGGCCCAGCCCCAGGCGUGACCACCCAGCUCCAGGCCUCAGCCGCUCAGCCCAUGUACCUUCUGAGGCUCGCAGCCCAACUAGCUCUGCAUAUUUUGCUCCUAACAAAAGCUAUGCAUCGCCAAGCAGCAGGAAGCCAUGCCCACGUUUUGCCCUAAGGAAACGUUUUUGCUAACAAAACAACGCCCACGUUUUCCCCUAAAAAAACCUUUUUGCUAGAAAAACGACGCCCAGGUUUGAUCGUUGGUCUGUUGCGAUUCCAAAGGAAUCGAUCGCACGACGAUUCGAUCGAUCUGACAAAACAUAGUUGCCUUGUUCCGUGCGCCGCCUGAGGUGUUUCCCUUCCCCUCGAUGGCUCGACAGACCUGCGCAUGGCCUCGUCACUUCGUCGGAGCAGCCCCCUCCAAGUCCAACCUUCUGGUCUUUUCCAUCUCCACAACCGGCAACGUCUUGUUCUUCUCCGUUUCCACAACCGGCUAGACUGGUAUUUUCUACUUUGGUGUAUCGUCUAUCUUUUUGCUAGAUCCAAGAUGAUUAAAUUGUACUCGUAUUACUUUAGUCAAUUUUUGUUUCGGUAAUUUGUAAAAGCAAAAAUAGAUAGAAACCCAAGAUGAAUAGGAUACGUACGAUUGUUUUAAGCAACAUCCAGCCAGCCUUCAUCGAACAAUACCAACAUCAUCAUUGUUAAACUAUUUUGUUCUAUUAAAUUUCCUCUUGUGGUAAAAAUGAAUUCAUAUAUCAUUUUUAAAGUGAAGUUGUGAUUCCCGCCAGAAAAAACUGAAUUUGUGACGUACUUGUAACAUGCACUGGUUUGUGUGGUAUAGUUACUUAGUUUUAGUCCUAGGCUUUGAGAAAUCCUGGCUCCGCCUCUGUGCGCAAGCCUUGUUCGCAUUUGGUGCAAACAAAUUCUCAUUAUGAUAAAAUAUGUUUCAUUAUUUGCGCCAGGGGUGAUGACCGAAGUCGAGGCUUUGAGGAAGGCAGUUGCCGAGGCCGAGGAAAAGGCGGCCGCAGAGCAGGCUCUUCGUGAGAAGCACGAGGCCAGGGUUAUUGAAGCUGAGCAGGAGCUUCAAGAGUCCGUGAAGAAAUGCGAGACCUUGGAGCAGAGUUUAGCGGAGAAAGAAUCCGAACUCGCCAGGGCUCAUCAGGCCGCGCGCGAUGCCCAGGGGGAAACCCAAGGCGCCCUGCAGGAGAUCCAAGAGGCGAGGACGAUCACGGCGGGUAAGGCUUUUUUCCAUGUAAAGCAAGUAUUUGAGGAGAAAACCAUGUUUCUAAUUUUGAGUUCGGAUUUCUCCAGGGGUAUUUGCGGAACUACCCCGCAGCAUAUCGGAUGCCGCCCAAUUCUACCGAGCCAAAGAAGGGAACACUGCGGAUAAUCUCUUCUGGUCGCAGUAUUUAGCACCGAUUUAUCCGCUGCCUUUUGCCGACCAAAUGAAACAACUGAUCGAACUGCAUAGGGCGGCCGAACUAGCCAUGAAGGAUUUGAUUAUCCGGCUAUGGCCUGCCGAGCCGAUUCCAGGCAGCUACUUCGGGCUCGUGAAGCGGCUUGUGAGUGCCUGCCCUCGACUUGAUGUCAUCAAGCGGUCGGUCUAUAUAGAGGGUGCGCGAAUAGCCUUCACUCGCGCAAAUGUGCACUGGGGGAAGAUGGAUGCUGAAAAGCUGAUGACCGAGGGACCGCCAGAGGGGAAGGAGCACCGCAAGCCCGAAUUAUAUUAUGAAAGUGUCCUCAAAGGAUCAUGCCUAGCGGCGGAGCAAUGCACCAAGGACAUUAUAUUUCCAUGAAUACAAUCAUGUUGUCAUUUGUAAUGUCGAACAAGGUCAUUUCUAUUAUUUAUUGCCUGUUAUAUACAAGUUUAUCCUCCUACACGGCCGUUUUAUAUAUUAAUCCUGAGAGUUGGCCAGUGAUAUGUCUCCAACAUAUCUAUAAUUUUUUAUUGUUCCAUGCUAUAUUAUAUUCUGUUUUGUACAUUAUUGGGCUUUAUUAUACACUUCUAUAUUAUUUUUGGGACUAACCUAUUAACCGGAGGCCCAGCCCAGAAUUGCUGUUUUUUUGCCUAUUUUAGGGUUUCGCAGAAAAAGAAUAUCAAACGGAGUCCAGACUGAAUGAAACAUUCGAAAGCAUGAUUUUCGGAACGAACGUGAUCCAGAGGACUUGGACCCUACGUCAAGCAAUCAACGAGGAAGACACGAGGUAGGGGGGCGCGCCUACCCUCCCUCAGGCGCGCCCUCCACCCUCAUGGGCCCCCUAUUGCUCCACCGACAUACUCCUUCCUCCUAUAUAUACCUACGUACCCCCAAACUACCAGAUACGGAGCCAAAACGCUAAUUCCACCGCCGCAACUUUCUGUAUCCACGAGAUCCCAUCUUGGGGCCUUUUCCGGAGCUCCGCCGGAGGGGGCAUCGAUCACGGAGGGCUUGUACAUCAUCACCAUAGCCCCUCCGAUGAAGUGUGAGUAGUUCACCUCAGACCUACGGGUCCAUAGUUAUUAGCUAGAUGGCUUCUUCUCUCUUUUUGGAUCUCAAUACAAAGUUCUCCCCCUCUCUUUUGGAGAUCUAUUCGAUGUAAUCUUCUUUUGCGGUGUGUUUGUUGAGGCCGAUGAAUUGUGGGUUUAUGAUCAAGUUUAUCUAUGAACAAUAUUUGAAUCUUAUCUGAAUUCUUUCAUGUAUGAUUGGUUAUCUUUGCAAGUCUCUUCGAAUUAUCAGUUUGGUUUGGCCUACUAGAUUGAUCUUUCUUGCAAUGGGAGAAGUGCUUAGCUUCGGGUUCAAUCUUGCGGUGUCCUUUCCCAGUGACAGUAGGGGCAGCAAGGCACGUAUUGUAUUGUUGCCAUCGAGGAUAACAAGAUGGGUUUUAUAUCAUAUUGCAUGAGUUUAUCCCUCUACAUCAUGUCAUCUUGCUUAAAGCGUUACUCUGUUCUCUUGAAUUUAAUACUCUAGAUGCAUGCUGGAUAGCGGUCGAUGUGUGGAGUAAUAGUAGUAGAUGCAGGCAGGAGUCGGUCUACUUGUCUCGGAUGUGAUGCCUAUAUACAUGAUCAUACCUAUAUAUUCUCAUAACUAUGCUCAAUUCUGUCAAUUGCUCAACAGUAAUUUGUUUAUCCACCGUGAAUACUUAUGCUCUUGAGAGAAGCCACUUGUGAGACCUAUGGCCCCCGGGUCUAUUUUCCAUCAUAUUAAUCUUCCAACACUUAGUUAUAUUUAUUUCCUUUUAUUUUACUUUGCAUCUUUUAUUUCUCUUUAUCAUAAAAUACCAAAAAUAUUAUCUUAUCAUAUCUAUCAGAUCUCACUCUCGUAAGUGACCGUGUAGGGAUUGAAAACCCUUUAUCGCGUUGGUUGCGAGGAUUUAUUUGUUUGUGUAGGUGCGACGGACUCGUGUGUGGCCUGCUACUGGAUUGAUACCUUGGUUCUCAAAAACUGAGGGAAAUAGUUACGCUACUUUGCUGCAUCACUCUUUCCUCUUCAAGGGAAAACCAACGCAAGUGCUCAAGAGGUAGCAGCCAGUCGUCGGCUUCUGCCCCCACGUAGGAAGUACGGGGGUGUUCGGGAUAAACCACGUAAGGCAGCAAAACAUGGGAGUCGGGCAAACCCAACAUUUGACCCAAGACAUGAUUCGGAGCUGAUGCAUGUAAUGCUAUAAGUUCGGGGUGCCGAACUUCCAUGAAGGCGUUCGAACUUUAUUGCCGUAUUAUGGCUAAAACGAAGCCCUUGGCCUAUUUAAAGCAUAUCACGGUGUACGGAUGCCACUUGACAAAAGAAUUUCAAUAAGAAAUAACAACAGAUAAGCGUUAUAUAAACCCACAUGUUGUAUUUGAAUAGUAAGUCGAUGUGUGUGAGUACGGGUAAUGUGAUAAAAAAAGAAAUAUGACUGUGGAACCUGCUGAGACCAGGGGGAAGAAGGUGUGUGCGGAUCCGGAGUAUAGUCGGAUGGUCAUCGCGGGGAAUAUCUAAGGAUUCCCUUGCGCGUUCGAGCUGCUUCCAUAUCGCCAGUCCUGGUCUGCGCAAAGUUGAACCUACAAACAAAAUGUAAGAAAUGCUUGUGUGCCGCAGAGCGGUUGAGCCGCGGUAUGUGGCCUGUCGUGGCUUUCGCCGGAGUGUUUAAUUGAGCUCUGGACGAGCCGGGCUAUCUUGCCGCGAAGUAGUUCGAAGUCCUUUGGCGGUGUCCGGGAAUCGGGUCGUCGAGUCGAGGUUCGGUUGGGAGGUGCCACUUGUAGCUUCUGUUGUUAAAGCAGCAGUAUACUCUUUGGUGUCGUGGGGAAGUUCGGCCUUGCCAUUAACCGUGAUGACGCCUAAUGUCUACUACACAACCUUCUUCUUGUAGACGUUGUUGGGCCUCCAAGUGCAGAGGUUUGUAGGACAGUAGCGAAUUUCCCUCAAAUGGAUUACCUAAGGUUUAUCAAUCCGUAGGAGGCGUAGGAUGAAGAUGGUCUCUCUCAAGCAACCCUGCAACCAAAUAACAAAGAGUCUCUUGUGUCCCCAACACACCCAAUACAAUGGUAAAUUGUAUAGGUGCACUAGUUCGGCGAAGAGAUGGUGAUACAAGUGGUAUAUGGAUGGUAGAUAAAGGUUUUUGUAAUAUGAAAAUAUAAAAACAGCAAGGUAACUAAUGAUAGAAGUGAGUGUAAAUGGUAUUGCAAUGCUAGGAAACAAGGCCUAGGGUUCAUACUUUCACUAGUGCAAGCUCCCUCAACAAUAAUAACAUAAUUGGAUCACAUAAUUAUCCCUCAACAUGCAACAAAGAGUCACUCCAAAGUCACUAAUAGCGGAGAACGAACGAAGAGAUUAUGGUAGGGUACGAAACCACCUCAAAGUUAUUCUUUCCAAUCAAUCCGUUGGGCUAUUCCUAUAAGUGUCACAAACAGCCCUAGAGUUCGUACUAGAAAAACACCUUCAGACACAAAUCAACCAAAACCCUAAUGUCACCUAGAUACUCCAAUGUCACCUCAAGUAUCCGUGGGUAUGAUUAUAUGAUAUGCAUCACACAAUCUUAGAUUCAUCUAUUCAACCAACACAUAGAACCUCAAAGAGUGCCCUAAAGUUUCUACCGGAGAAUCAUGACGAAAACGUGUGCCAACCCCUAUGCAUAGGUUCAUGGGCGGAACCCGCAAGUUGAUCACCAAAACAUACAUCAAGUGAAUCACGUGGUAUCCCAUUGUCACCACAGAUACGCACGACAAGACAUACAUCAAGUGUUCUCAAAUCUUUAAAGACUCAAUCCGAUAAGAUAACUUCAUAGGGAAAACUCAAUCCAUUACAAGAGAUUAGGGGGGCAGAAAACAUCAUAAGAUGCAACUAUAAUAGCAAAGCUCGCUGAGGGAGUCCUGGAUUAGGGAUUCUCCGGAUAGCCGGACUAUAUCCUUUGGCCGGACUGUUGGACUAUGAAGAUACAAGAUUGAAGACUUCGUCCCGUGUCCGGAUGGGACUCUACUUGGCGUGGAAGGCAAGCUAGGCAAUAUGGAUAUGUAUAUAUCCUCCUUUGUAACCGACCUUGUGUAACCCUAGCCCCCUCCGGUGUCUAUGUAAACCGUAGGGUUUUAGUCCGUAGGACAACAUACAAUCAUACCAUAGGCUAGCUUCUAGGGCUUAGCCUCUUUGAUCUCGUGGUAGAUCAACUCUUGUAAUACUCAUAUCAUCAAGAACAAUCAAGCAGGACGUAGGGUAUUACCUCCAUCAAGAGGGCCCGAACCUGGGUAAACAUCGUGUCCCUGCCUCCUGUUACCAUCCGCCUUAGACGCAUAGUUCGGGACCCCCUACCGGAGAUCCGCCGGUUUUGAAACUGACAUUGGUGCUUUCAUUGAGAAUUCCACUGUGCCGUCACCAUAAGGCUUGAUGGCUCCUUCAAUCAUCGCUAGCGAUGCGGUCCAGGGUGAGGCUUUCCUCCCCAGACAGAUCUCCAUAUUCGGCGGCUUUGCACUGCGGGCCAAUUCGUUUGGCCGUCUAGAGCAGAUCGAGAGCUACGCCCCUAGCCAUCAGGUCAAAUUUGGAAACUUGAGCUACACGCCGACAUCCGCGGAGACUUGAUCUUCGGCGGAUUCGAGCCCAGGUCGGACGCGCCGCACAGUCGCGAUGAGCAUGACGUAACUCUGUCAUCGGACAAUGUUCGGGAGAUCGCAUCCGCAACUACUCCGUCCAUCAAUCCGGAGCAAGUCGCACCAUCCGAGAGCGGAGGGAUGGACCCCGCCAUGGAGGCCGCACUGUCAGUGGCGAUAGAGCCGGAUACUGACUUCACCCCUUACGAGAGCCGUGUCGCCGAACCACUGGAUUCAUCUCCGGCCACGGACUCCGAGCCGCUCACAUCCAUGCCCGUCUAUUCCGACUGGGCACCGAUCAUGGAGUUCACCUCCGCGGAUAUCUUUCAGCACUCACCUUUAGGAGAUGGGCUAAAUUCAUUAAGGUCUCUCUCCCUAUCAGGAGAACCUUGGCCGAACUAUGUCCGGCUAGAAUGGGAUGCGGACGACGAAGAAAUUCGCUGCCCACCCACCACCCACUGAGUAGCCACGGUCGACGACUUAACCGACAUGCUCGACUUCGACUCCGAAGACUUCGACGGUAUGGACGACGAAGCUGGAGACGAAUAGGAACCACCGCCCUCAGGGCGCUGGACCGCCACCUCAUCAUAUGAUAUAUACAUGGUGGACACCCCCAAAGAAGGCAAUGGCGAUGAGACAACGGAGGAUGACCCCUCCAUGAAGCAACCCAAGCGCCGACGUCAGCGGCACCGCUCUAAGUCCUGCCACAACAAGAGUAGUGGUACCGGCACAGGAGAUAAUAACACUCUGGAUAGCACCGAAGACAACAAUUCCCUCCAGCACGGUGUAGAGCUAGAGGACGAACAAGCUAGCCCUCCAGAGCAGGCAGCAGAUGCAGAACCGGAGGAGGACAAUUACAUGCCUCUCUCCGAAGACGAGGCGAGCCUCGGCGACGACGAGUUUAUCGUGCCUGAGGACCCCGUCGAGCAAGAGCGCUUCAAGCGUUGGCUUAUGGCCACGGCAAGUAGCCUGAAGAAAAAACAGCAACAACUUCAAGCUGAUCAAGACUUGCUAGCAGACAGGUGGACCGAAGUCCUUGCGGCCAAGGAGCAUCAACUCGAGCACCCGUCCAAAAGUUACCCAAAACGCAGGUUGCUACCUCACCUCGAGGACGAAGCAUUGAAACCUCAUUCACCAGUGUACGAUGUGGUUGACCGACCACUACGCGGCCGAGCCACAGAGGCUUUUCAGCCUAAAGUUCAGACCGCACCCCGUCGCCACUCAGUCAAACAUACUAAGGCCCGGGGCAACACAGAGGACCCGCGAGACAUCUUGGACAGUAAGGAAAAAAUCGCAAGGUCAAUAUACGGAACACGGGCACGUGCGCCCACACGGGACGAUGAUCGUUGCGUCGGAUACACCAAGAGUAAAUCCGGCCGGGCCGAAUACAACAGACAAGACUCAUACGAACUAUGUUGGGAUAUAGCCCGGCACAGAGGUGCCGCACACCCCCUAUGCUUCACUGAUUAAGUUAUGAAUCAUGAAUUCCCGGAGGGUUUCAAACCCAUAAAUAUCGAAUCGUACGACGGCACAACAGAUCCCGCUGUAUGGAUUGAGGAUUUCCUCCUUCACAUCCACAUGGCUCCGGUGAUGAUCUGCAUGCCAUCAAGUACUUCCUACUAAAACUCAAAGGACCAGCUCGGCAUUGGCUGAAUAGCUUGCCAGCAGAUUCCAUCGGCAGUUGGGAGGAUCUGGAAGACGCAUUUCUUGACAACUUCCAGGGCACUUAUGUGUGGCCACCGGAUGCUGAUGACUUGAGCCACAUAACCUAGCAGCCAGGGGAAUCGGCCAGACAAUUCUGGACACGGUUACUGACUAAGAAAAAUCAAUUUGUAGAUUGUCCGGAUGUAGAGACCCUAGCGGCAUUCAAGCAUAACAUCCGCGAUGAGUGGCUCACCCGCCACCUUGGCCAAGAGAAGCCGAAAUCUAUGACAGCCCUCACGACACUGAUGACUCGCUUUUGCGCGGGCGAGGACAACUGGUUGGCUAGCAGCAAAAACACAUCGAGGAAUCCGGAUACCUCAGAUACCAAAGAUGUUAACGGUAGGCAGCGUUGUAACAGACCAAAGCGCCGCAAUAACGGCGAUAACACCAAAGAUACGACAGUCAAUGCCGGAUUCAGAGGCUCUAGAUCCGGUCAGCAGAAAAAGCCAUUUAAAAGAAAUACUCCGGCUCGGUCCAGUCUGGAUCACAUACUGGAUCGCUCGUGUCAAAUCCACGGCACCCCGACAAGCCAGCCAAUCUCACCAACAGAGAAUGCUGGGUGUUCAAGCAGGCCUGUAAGUUAAAUGCCGAGAGCAAGGACAAGGGGCUGCAUAGCGAUGACGAGGAGGAGCCCCGGCCGCCGAACACAGGAGGACAGAAGGGUUUUCCCCCACAAGUGAAGACGGUGAACAUGAUAUACGCAACCCACAUCCCCAAGAGGGAGAGGAAGCAUGCACUAAGGGACGUCUAUGCGAUGGAGCUCGUCGCCCUGAAGUUCAACCCAUGGUCUGCUUGUCCGCUCACCUUCGAUCACAGGGACCACCCGACUAGCAUCCAUCAUGGCGAAUCUGCCGCACUGGUCCUAGACCCCAUCAUUGAUGGAUUUCACCUCACUCGAGUCCUUAUGGAUGGCGGCAACAUGCUGAAUCUGCUUUAUCAGGAUACAGUGCGAAAAAUGGGUAUCGAUCCCUCGAGGAUCAAACCCAGCAAAACCACCUUUAAAGGCGUCAUCCCAGGUGUAGAGGCCCAUUGCACAGGCUCAAUCACACUGGAAGUGGUCUUUGGAUCACCGGAUAACUUCCGAAGCGAAGAGUUAAUCUUCGACAUCGUCCCGCUUCGCAGUGGCUAUCAUGCACUGCUCGGACGGACAACAUUUGCAAAUUCAAUGAAGUGCCGCAUUACGCGUACCUCAAGCUCAAGAUGCCAAGACCUCGCGGGGUCAUAACAGUAAAUGGAAACACAGAACGCUCGCUUCGUACAGAAGAGCACACUGCGGCCCUUACAGUAGAGGCACAAAGCAGCCUGUUCAGGCAGACCACUCAUUCGGCGUCACAACCCCCGGACACCUUCAAACGAGUCCGGAACAAGUUGCAACAGGAUCGCCUAGCACGAUCAGAGAUCGCCUAGCAAUCUGGUCCCCAUCCCAGUCCCAGUGAAGCGACAAAAUCCGUGUGGCGCGUACAUAACUACGCAUUGAAAAUACCAUGGACAUAGGCGGGGGCAGAAUCAGAAUACGCCCCGCAUUGUGGCUUAACCACACUAGGGGUUGUAUACCUUUGACAUUCCGCUGACUCUUUGGAAGCCCUUUCCGGCAGUAUGAUUGCCGGACACAUUCCAGAAGCAACAACCAAGGCGGCAAGAAGCUAAGAUGAACACGGGAACCGCCAGGUGGUCUCUAGUAAUACUUGAUAUACCCGCUUUUCACUAUUUAUGCGUAGCUUUCCCUGGGAUAGGACAUUUCGAAUUGUCCUACUUCAUGCUUAUUGCACUACUUGUACCAGUAUGCUUCGACGUAUUAUUCAAAUAACAAUGCAUAUCAUUAAUCUGUCAUUGCAUUCUUUCAGUUUUUCUCUUUCUCUUAUAUGUCCAUUUACGACAAUCCGCACCCGCAUGUUCGGGUAUGGUCAGUACGCCAGGGGCUCUCGUUUACCCCACAAUACGAUGCAAGAAGUCUGAACACUUUCUACAGUGCGGCACCCCGAACUUCUAGCAUUAUAUGCAUCAGCUCCGAAUCAUGUCUUUGGUCAAAUGUUGGGUCGCCCGGCUCCUAUGCUUUGGUACCUUACGUUCUGCUAUAUCGGCUAAGGUAGCGGUGGGAGAACUACUGCGAUUGUGUCCCGGUUCUUCUGGACGAGCACCUCUGUACAGAAAGCCAAAAACUGACUGUCAUGAUAAGGCGAGAGACUGGUCGCUGUUCGAGAGGUCUCAAGUCCUUAAAGACUUUUUCCGCUUCGGGCGAGGAGUCGGCCUUGUCCGGCUUAGGCAUGUAUAGCGCCCCAAAUUCGGCCCUCCGAAUACCAGGGGCUUCGCCAAAAUUUAAAAUCAUAGACUUCUAUGGCUAAGUGAGAGUGAUAAAGCAUUAUAGUCCGAUUGCCUGGUUCGUUGCGCUGAACACCUCCCUUGAAGGACCCAAAAUUUGGGUAAAGAGUGUUCAGAUUUACCCCGAACACCCCAGUACUAGUUACAUGGGGGUAGAAGCCGAUGACUGGCCAACUCUCAGAUUUUAUAAACAGCCGCAUAGAAGGUAAUAUUUUAAAUUAAGAAAGCGUCGCAUGGCGCAAAAAAACUCGUUUCAUAUUACAGGAUCACAUGGGCAUGUUCAUUCAAAAAUUACAUCCUUGGCACACUCAUCUGCCACUCAGCAGGAACCCUUCAGGACACUUUCAUAGUAAUUCUCGGGGCGGCGAUGCUCCUUGCCCUCCGGCGGCCCCUCCUUCACCAGCUUCACGGCGUCCAGCUUCGCCUAGUGCACCUUCGCCCGGGCAAAAGCCCUGCGUGCACCCUCGAUGCAGACGGACCGCUUGAUGACUUCAAGCCAUGGGCAGGCUUCCACAAACUGCCUCACCAGACUGAAGUAGCUGCCGGACAGGGGCUCGCCAGGCCACAUCCGGACUAUAAGGCCCCUCAUGGCCUGUUCGGCCACCUUGUGAAGCUCGACAACUGCUUCAGCUGGUCCCUCAAGGGCACAGGGUGUUCGGUCCCAGUAUACUGAGACCAGAACAACUUCUCCAUUGAGCUCCCCUCCGCAACCCGGUAAAACUCCACGGCAUCCAGUGCACUACGAGGAAGAUCUGCAAACGCUCCUGGAGAGCUCCGAACUCGGGUAAGAAAAAGGAAAGUCUCCUUCACGUGCUUGCUUUGCAUAAAGAAUGCCUUACCCUCUGCUAUCUUCUUCACCGCGUCAAUCUCUUGGAGGGCCUUGUGGGCUUCGGCCUUGGAGCUCCGGACGCUUUCAAGCGCCUGCGCGAGCUCGGACUCACGCGUCUUGGAGUCAAGCUCCAAGGACUCGUGCUUUUUAACGAGAGCCUCGAGCUCUUGAUGCACCUCGCCUUCUCGGGCUUCUUGUAUCUCCCAUUCCAUGCGUUCUUUGGACGCUUUGUCUUCGGCCUCGGACAAUGCCAUCCUCAGGGUCUCCACCUCGUUCGUGGCCCAUGACAAAUUCAUGAUGAUCCUAUUACUUUACACCCGAACUUCCUUUUAACUAUAUAGACAGGGGUAUAUCUUACCUUUGCUCUCUUCAAGCUGCCACUUGGUAAGGCCGAGCUCAUCCUCGGACCGCUUCAGGGCCUGCUUCAGCGCAGAGACCUCCGCAGUACAUGCGGCAGCGACCAACAGUGAAGCCUGCACAUACACAUAGACAUACUCUAAUUAGACUCCUGAGUUAUCAUUUGAUCCUCUAUUCGGCUUUUCAUCGCGAACACCGAACAGAGCAUCAGGGGCUACUAUCUAUGCGGUAAUAUUUUCUUAUAUUUUGAUUGCUUACCUCAAAGCCUGUUAGGAGGCUGGCGCAAGCUUUGGUCAGUCUGUUUUUGGCGGACCGAACCUUCUCAACCACUGCACUCAUAAUAGUGCAGUGCUCUUCAUCAAUGGAAGCGUUGUGAAGCGCUUCCAGCAAGUUGUCCGGUGCCUCUGGUUGUACAAAGGACACCGACACAGAUGGUUGGCCCCCCUUAAUGGGGGACUGCCUGCCAGAGUCUAGAACCAUCGAAGGUUCUGGCGCAGUGUCCGGCUGGGGCCCGAACUCGAAGCCCGUAGGAGCCUCGCUCCCUUGGUACCCAGGGUCCGGGAGGUCGCCGUGAGGCGCCCCCAAGAUCACCUCCCCUUGGCUCGGUGCCUUUUGAGACAACACCUCGGCGUUGUCCGUAGGGCGAGGGGUGGAAGCGGUCGGAGGAGAACCGUUGUUCAUAUCCGACGAGUCCAAAGAGCCGCUCGACGAAGGUACGUCGAGAUGAGCUCAGGACGGACUGCAUAAUCAUGUUCGGCAUGAGAAAAGCCAAUACAAUAAAACAUUCCAUGAAGUACUAUGGUGUCCGGACACUUACGACUUCGCCGGGGGCUUGUCCCUGGGUAGCCACUCGUCGCCAUUGUCGGCGGCCGUCGUGGCACAUUCCGGAGGGAGGUUCUUUCCCUUCUUGGACCCGUCGGCCUCCCUGGAUGGGUCGGCCUUCCUUUUCUUGUCUCUCCCGGCUGGGGGGGAGAACUUUUCUCCUCCUAUUCAUUUCCGUGGGAGGAGUGCGCGUUGGAGUCAUCGGACGAUGAGUCCGAUAUAACCUUGCGCCGGAGACCCUUUCGGGUCCCCGUGGCCUUCUUCUUGGCCUUCUUUUCCGGCACCUCGUAAGGUGCCGGAGUCAGCAUCUUCGUUAGAAGAGCAUCUGCAGGAUCUUCGGGCAGGGGGGCUGGGCAAUCAAGCUGCUCUGCUGUCUCUAUCCAGUCCUGUUAAUGACAUGAAAUCUUAGAUCCAGCACACAACUAAACCAGGGCAAAUAAAUACCCUGAGAGAUAUAAAAGCCUACCAGACGGGCGCGGCGCUUUGCACUAAGUCCGCGGUCCUCGGUGAAGGAGGGAAGCAUCUCGGCGCUCUUGAACAACACCCUCCAGACGUCCUCGUGCAUCGUGUCGUAGAGCUCUCACAGCAUCUGGUGCUUGGCCGAGUCGAACUCCCACAAAAAAGUGCCCGUCGUUGACACGGAAGGAUCCGGCGGAAGAGCAUAACCUGGACCACGUUGACGAGCUUGAUUUUCUUGUUUGUCAUGUUCUGGAUGCAGGUCUGGAGUUCGGUCAGCUGUACCGAAGAACCCCAGGAUUGGCCCUUCUUUUUCCAGGAGGUGAGCCGUGUGGGGAUUCCGGAUCGAAAUUUGGGGGCCGCCACCCAGUUGGAGUCGCGCGGCUCGGUGAUGUAGAACCACCCCGAUUGCCACCCCUUUAUGGUGUCCACAUAGGUGCCCUCGAGCCAGGUGACAUUAGGCAUCUUGCCCACCAUGGCGCCUCCGCACUCUGCUUGCUGGCCACCCACCACCUUCGGUUUGACAUUGAAGGUUUUCAGCCAUAGGCCGAAGUGGGGCCUGAUGCGGAGGAAGGUCUCACACACGACGAUAAACACCGAGAUGUUGAGGAUGAAAUUGGGGGCCAGAUCAUGAAAAUCCAGCCCAUAGUAGAACAUGAGCCCGCAGACAAAUGGGUGGAGAGGAAAUCCCAGUCCGCGAAUGAAAUGGGUAGGAAAAACUACCCUCUCAUGGGGUUUGGGCGUGGGGACGAUCUGGCCCGCAUUUGGCAGCCGGUGCGCGAUAUCCGCGGCCAAGUAUCCGGCUUCCCGUAACUUUUUGAUGUUCUCCUCCGUGACGGAGGAGACCAUCCACUUGCCUCGUGCUCCGGACAUGCUUGGAGCGGUUUGAGAAGAAGAACGCGAGCUUGGGUGCUAGAUCUCGAGUGUGCGGGAAUGGGUAAGCGAGAAGGAAGAAGGCGUGUGUGAAAAAAGUAAAUCUUUGUCCCUUUAUAAGGGCGGAGGAGGCGAUGUGUCUCCCACUUGCCUGGCAAAACUGCUUAUUCCCCAGGUGCCAUAAUUGAUGGCGUGGUUGGGUUACCCACGUCCGUAUUGAUGAGAAUCCCGUGAUAAAGGGAACAUGAUCUCUGCUUUGACAAGACGUGUCAAGAAAAUCGCAUCAUGAUAUGUGCGGAGCUGGUUAAGAAAAGCAGUUCGAAUAAAAACCGGGUCGUGACGUGAUGUCAUGCUAUCAAAACAUGUCAGCAGAUUAGAUUUGUGGAAAUAUUAUUCUCUCUACGGUGGUAUGUGGAACUUAUUUUGCAGGGCCGGACACUAUCCUUGUAUUCAAACUCUUCCAUGGUGUAUUCGGAGGAGGAACCCACCUUGCAAUGCCGAAGACAACACUGCGCGCCGGACUCAUCGUCAUUGAAGCCUGGUUCAGGGGCUACUGAGGGAGUCCUGGAUUAGGGGGUCUACGGACAGCCGGACUAUAUCCUUUGGCCGAACUGUUGGACUAUGAAGAUACAAGAUUGAAGACUUCGUCCCAUGUCCGGAUGGGACUCUACUUGGCGUGGAAGGCAAGCUAGGCAAUACGGAUAUGUAUAUCUCCUCCUUUGUAACAGACCUUGUGUAACCCUAGCCUCCUCCGGUGUCUAUAUAAACUGGAGGGUUUUAGUCCGUAGGACAACAUACAAUCAUACCAUAGGCUAGCUUCUAGGGUUUAGCCUCUUUGAUCUCGUGGUAGAUCAACUCUUGUAAUACUCAUAUCAUCAAGAACAAUCAAGCAGGACGUAGGGUAUUACCUCCAUCAAGAGGGACCAAACCUGGGUAAACAUCGUGUCCCCUGCCUCCUGUUACCAUCCGCCUUAGACGCACAGUUCGGGACCCCCUACCCGAGAUCCUCCGGUUUUGACACCGACACUCGCGAUACAUCAAGAUCGUACCACCUCAAGAACACGAGAGAGAGAGAGAUCAAACACAUAGCUACUGGUACAUACCCUCAGCCUCGAGGGAGAACUACUCCCUCCUCGUCAUGGAGAGCACCGGGAUGAUGAAGAUGACCACCAGAGAGGGAUUCCCCCUCUGGCAGGGUGCCGGAACAGGUCUAGAUUGGCUUUCGGUGGCUACAGAGGCUUCUGGCGGCGGAACUCCCGAUCUAUUGUGCUCCCCGGUCGUUUUAGGGUAUAUGGGUAUAUAUAGGAGGAAGAAGUACGUCAGGGGAGCCACGAGGGUGGAGGGCGCCCCCAGGGGGUGGGCGCACCCCCUACCUUGUGGCUUCCUCGAAGCUUCCUUGAUGUGGACUCCAAGUCUCCCGGGUUGCUUUCCUUCCAAAAAUAAGUUCCGUGAAGUUUCAGGUCAAUUCGACUCCAUUUGAUUUUCCUUUUCUGCGAUACUCUAAAACAAAGAAAAAAAUAGAAAUUGGCACUGGGCUCUGGGUUAAUAGGUUAGUCCCAAAAAAUCAUAUAAAAUGGCAUAUAAAUGCAUAUAAAACAUCCAAGGUUGAUAAUAUAAUAGCAUGGAACAAUCAAAAAUUAUAGAUACGUUGGAGACGUAUCAGCAUCCCCAAGCUUAAUUCCUGCUCGUCCUCGGGUAGGUAAAUGAUAAAAACAGAAUUUUUGAUGUGGAAUGCUACCUAACAUAUUCAUCAUGUAUUUCUCUUUAUUGUAGCAAGAAUAUUCAGAUCCAUAAGAUUCAAGACAAAAGUUUAUAUUGACAUAAAAAUAAUAAUACUUCAAGCAUACUAACUAAGCAAUCAUGUCUUCUCAAAAUAACAUGGCCAAAGAAAGUUCAUCCCUACGAAAUCAUAUAGUUUGGUCAUGCUCCAUUUUCGUCACACAAGAAUGCUCUCAUCAUGCACAACCCGGAUGACAAGCCAAGUAAUUGUUUCAUAUUUUAGUAAUCUCAAACUUUAUAAACCUUCAUGCAAUACAUGAGCGCGAGCCAUGGAUAUAGCACUAUGGGUGGAAUAGAAUAUGAUGAUGGGGAUUAUGUGGAGAAGACAAAAAAGGAGAAAGUCUCACAUCAACGAGGCUAAUCAAUGGGCUAUGGAGAUGCCCAUCGAUUGAUGUUAAUGCAAGGAGUAGGGAUUGCCAUGCAACGGAUGCACUAGAGCUAUAAAUGUAUGAAAGCUCAACAAAAGAAACUAAGUGGGUGUGCAUCCAACUUGCUUGCUCACGAAGACCUAGGGCACUUGAGGAGGCCCAUUGUUGGAAUAUACAAGCCAAGUUCUAUAAUGAAAAUUUCCCACUAGUAUAUGAAAGUGACAAAACAAGAUACUCUCUAUCAUCAAGAUCAUGGUGCUACUUUGAAGCACAAGUGUGGAAAAAAGGAUAGUAGCAUUGUCCCUUUUAUUUUUUUAUUUUUUAUUAUUUGGCCUUUUUUAUUUUUUAAUAUUUGGCCUUUCUUUUUUCCCCUAUUUUUGGGACAAUGCUCUAUUAAUGAUGAUCAUCACACUUCUAUUUAUUUACAACUCGAUACUAGAACAAAGUAUGACUAAAUAUGAAUGCCUCCGGUGGUUGAUAUGUCUCCAACGUAUCUAUAAUUUUUGAUUGCUCCAUGCUAUAUUAUCUACUGUUUUGGACAUCACUGGGCUUUAUUAUCCACUUUUAUAUUAUUUUUGGGACUAACCUACUAACCGGAGGCCCAACCCAGAAUUGCUGUUUUUUUGCCUAUUUUAGGGUUUCGAAGAAAAGGAAUAUCAAACGGAGUCCAAACGGAAUGAAAGCUUCGGGAACAUGAUUUUCUCAACGAACAAGACCCAGGAGACUUGGACCCUACGUCAAGACACAAAAGAGGAGGCCACGAGGUAGGGGGCGCGCCUACGCCCCCCCCCCCCAGGCGCGCCCUCCACCCUCGUGGGCCCCCUGUUGCUCCACCGAUGUACUCCUUCCUCCUAUAUAUACCAACGUACCCCCAAAUGAUCAGAUACGGAGCCAAAACCCUAAUUCCACCACCGUAACUUUCUGUAUCCACGAGAUCACAUCUUGGGGCCUGUUCCGGAGCUCCACCGGAGGGGGCAUCGAUCACGGAGGGCUUGUACAUCAUCACCAUAGCCCCUCCGAUAAAGUGGAAGUAGUUCACCUCAGACCUACGGGUCCAUAGUUAUUAGCUAGAUGGCUUCUUCUCUUUUUUUUUGGAUCUCAAUACAAUGUUCUCCCCCUCUCUUGUGGAGAACUAUUCGAUGUAAUCUUCUUUUUGUGGUGUGUUUGUUGAGAUUGAUGAUUGUGGGUUUAUGAUCAAGUCUAUCUAUGAACAAUAUUUGAAUCUUCUCUGAAUUCUUUUAUGUAUGAUUGGUUAUCUUUGCAAGUCUCUUUGAAUUAUCAGUUUGGUUUGGCCUACUAGAUUGAUCUUUCUUGCAAUGGGAGAAGUGCUUAGCUUUGGGUUCAAUCUUGCGGUGUCCUUUCCCAGUGACAGUAGGGGCAGCAAGGCACGUAUUGUAUUGUUUCCAUCGAGGAUAACAAGAUGGGGUUUUCAUCAUAUUGCAUGAUUUUAUCCCUCUACAUCAUGUCAUCUUGCUUAAGGCGUUACUCUGUUUUCAUUAACUUAAUACUCUAGAUGCAUGUUGGAUAGCGGUCGAUGAGUGGAGUAAUAGUAGUAGAUGCAGGCAGGAGUCGGUCUACCUGUCUCGGACGUGAUGCCUAUACACAUGAUUGUGCCUAGAUAUUCUCAUAACUAUGCUCAAUUCUGUCAAUUGCUCAAUAGUAAUUUGUUCACCCACCGUAGAAUACUUAUGCUCUUGAGAGAAGCCACUAGUGAAACCUAUGGCCCCCGGGUCUAUCAUCAUCAUAUUAAUCUUCCAACACUUAGUUAUUUACUUUGCCUUUUUACUUUUCUUUUAUUUUACUUUGCAUCUUUAUCAUAAAAAUACCAAAAAUAUUAUCUUAUCAUAUCUAUCAGAUCUCACUCUCGUAAGUGGCCGUGUAGCGAUUGACAACCCCUUAUCGCGUUGGUUACGAGGAUUUAUUUGUUUUGUGCAGGUACAAGGGACUCGCGCGUAGCCUCCUACUGGAUUGAUACCUUGGUUCUCAAAAACUAAGGCAAAUACUUACGCUACUCUGCUGCAUCACCCUUCCUCUUCGGGGAAAAACCAACGCAGUGCUCAAGAGGUAUCAAGAAGGAUUUCUGGCGUCGUUGCCGGGGAGUCUACGCAAAAGUCAAUAUACCAAGUACCCAUCACAAUCCCUAUCUCCCGCAUUACAUUAUUUGCCAUUUGCCUCUCGUUUUCCUCUCCCCCACUUCACCCUUUCCAUUUUAUUCGCCUCUCUCUCUAUCCUACCUCUCUUUUUCCGUUCACUUUUUUUCCGCUUGCUUUUUGUUUGCUUGUGUGUUGGGUUGCUUGCUUGUCGCGAUGGCUCAAGAUAACACUAAAUUGUGUGACUUUACCAAUACCAACAACAAUGAUUUUAUUAGCACUCCGAUAUUUCAUCUUACCGAUGCUGAAUCUUGUGAAAUUAAUACUGCUUUGCUAAAUCUUGUCAUGAAAAAUCCGUUUUCCGGCCUUCCUAGUGAAGAUGCCGCUACCAAUCUAAACAGCUUCGUUGAUUUGUGUGAUAUGCAAAAGAAGAAAGAUGUGGAUAACGAUAUUGUUAAAUUGAAGCUAUUUCCUUUUUCGCUUAGAGAUCGUGCUAAAGCUUGGAUUUCGUCUUUGCCUAAGAAUAGUAUUGAUUCAUGGAAUAAGUGCAAAGAUGCUUUUAUCUCUAAGUAUUUUCCUCCCGCUAAGAUCAUCUCCCUUAGAAACGAUAUUAUGAAUUUUAAGCAACUUGAUCAUGAAUAUAUUUCACAAGCUUGGGAGAGGAUGAAAUUAAUGACACAUAAUUGCCCUACUCAUGGUUUGAAUUUGUGGAUGAUUAUACAAAAAUUUUAUGCCAGAUUGAAUUUUGCUUCUAGAAAUCUUUUAGAUUCGGCCGCGGCAGGGACUUUUAUGGAAAUCACUUUAGGAGAAGCUACUAAACUCCUAGACAAUAUUAUGGUUAACUAUUCUCAAUGGCAUACUGAAAGAUCUACUAAUAAAAAGGUGCAUGCAAUAGACGAAAUUAAUGUUUUGAGUGGAAAGAUGGAUGAACUUAUGAAAUUAUUUGCUAGUAAAAGUGUUUCUUCUGAUCCUAAUGAUAUGCCCUUGUCUACUUGAUUGAGAAUAAUAAUGAAUCUAUGGAUGUGAAUUUUGUUGGUAGGAACAAUUUUGGUAACAACGCGUAUAGAGGAAAUUUUAAUCCUAGGCCUUAUCCUAGUAACCCCUCCAAUAAUUAUGGUAAUUCCUACAACAAUUCUUAUGGAAAUUAUAAUAAGACGCCCUCUGAUUUUGAAUCUAAUAUUAAAGAAUUUAUUACUUCGCAAAAGAAUUUCAAUGCUUUGAUUGAAGAAAAAUUGCUUAAGAUUGAUGAGUUGGCUAUGAACGUUGAUAGAAUUUCUCUUGAUGUUGAUUCUUUGAAACUUAGAUCUAUUCCACCAAAGCAUGAUAUCAAUGAGUCUCUCAAAGCCAUGAGAAUUUCCAUUGAUGAGUGCAAAGAAAGAACCGCUAGAAUGCGUGCUAAGAAAGAUGCCUUUAUAAGAGCGUGUUCUUCUAGUUCCGAUGAAAAUAAAGAUGAAGAUCUCAAAGUUAUUGAUGUGUCCCCUAUUAAAUCUUUGUUUUGCAAUAUGAAUCUUAAUAAUUAUGGGACUGAAUAUGAUCCACCAUUAUCUAGAAGGCGUUCCAAGAAUUCGGAGUCUUUAGAUCUUAAUGCUAAAAUUGAUGAAAGUGGGAUCGAAGAAAUCAAAACCCUAGAUGUUGCUAAACCCACUAUUUUUGAUUUCAAGGAAUUUAAUUAUGAAAAUUGCUCUUUAAUUGAAUGUAUUUCCUUGCUGCAAUCCGUGCUAAAUUCUCCUCAUGCUUAUAGUCAAAAUAAAGCAUUCACUAAACAUAUCGUUGAUGCCUUGAUGCAUUCUUAUGAAGAAAAACUUGAAUUGGAAGUUUCUAUCCCUAGAAAACUUUAUGAUGAGUGGGAACCAACUAUUAAAAUUAAAAUUAAAGAUCAUGAGUUCUAUGCUUUAUGUGAUUUUGGUGCUAGUGUUUCCACGAUUCCAAAGACUUUGUGUGAUUUGUUAGGUUUCCGUGAUUUUGAUGAUUGCCCUCUAAACUUGCACCUUGCGGAUUCCACUAUUAAGACACCCAUGGGAAGAAUUAAUGAUGUUCUUAUUGUUGCAAAUAGGAAUUAUGUGCCCAUAGAUUUUAUUGUUCUUGACAUAGAUUGCAAUCCUUCAUGUCCAAUUAUUCUUGGUAGACCUUUCCUUAGAACGAUUGGUGCAAUUAUUGAUAUGAAGGAAGGAAAUAUUAUAUUCCAAUUUCCGUUAAGGAAAGGCAUGGAACACUUUCCUAGAAAUAAAAUUAAAUUACCUUAUGAAUCUAUUAUGAGAGACACUUAUGGAUUGCCUACUGUCAGUGUCAAAACCGGCGGAUCUCGGGUAGGGGGUCCCGAACUGUGCGUCUAGGCGGAUGGUAACAGGAGGCAGGGGCCACGAUGUUUUACCCAGGUUCGGGCCCUCUUGAUGGAGGUAAAACCCUACGUCCUUCUUGAUUAAUAUUGAUGAUAUGGGUAGUACAAGAGUAAAUCUACCACGAGAUCAAGGAGGCUAAACCCUAGAAGCUAGCCUAUGGUAUGAUUGUUCUUCGUCCUACGGACUAAAACUGAAGGAAAUAUGCCCUAGAGGAAAUAAUAAAGUUAUUAUUUAUUUCGUUAUAUCAUGAUAAAUGUUUAUUAUUCAUGCUAGAAUUGUAUUAACCGGAAACAUAAUACAUGUGUGAAUACAUAGACAAACAUAGUGUCACUAGUAUGCCUCUACUUGACUAGCUCGUUAAUCAAAGAUGGUUAUGUUUCCUAACCAUGAACAAAGUGUUGUUAUUUGAUUAACGAGGUCACAUCAUUAGUUGAAUGAUCUGAUUGACAUGACCCAUUCCAUUAGCUUAGCACCCGAUCGUUUAGUAUGUUGCUAUUGCUUUCUUCAUGACAUAUACAUGUUCCUAUGACUAUGAGAUUAUGCAACUCCCGUUUGCCGGAGGAACACUUUGUGUGCUACCAAACGUCACAACGUAAAUGGGUGAUUAUAAAGGAGCUCUACAGGUGUCUCCAAUGGUAGAUGUUGGGUUGGCGUAUUUCGAGAUUAGGAUUUGUCACUCCGAUUGUCGGAGAGGUAUCUCUGGGCCCUCUCGGUAAUGCACAUCACUUAAGCCUUGCAAGCAUUGCAACUAAAUGAGUUAGUUGCGGGAUGGUGUAUUACGGAACGAGUAAAGAGACUUGCCGGCAACGAGAUUGAACUAGGUAUGGGAAUACCGAUGAUUGAAUCUCGGGCAAGUAACAUACCGAUGACAAAGGGAACAACGUAUGUUGUUAUGCGGUCUGACCGAUAAAGAUCUCCGUAGAAUAUGUAGGAGCCAAUAUGGGCAUCCAGGUCCCGCUGUUGGUUAUUGACCGGAGACGUGUCUCGGUCAUGUCUACAUUGUUCUCGAACCCGUAGGGUCCGCACGCUUAAGAUUACGAUGACAGUUAUAUUAUGAGUUUAUGCAUUUUGAUGUACCGAAGGUUGUUCGGAGUCCCGGAUGUGAUCACGGACAUGAUGAGGAGUCUCGAAAUGGUCGAGACGUAAAGAUUGAUAUAUUGGAAGUCUAUGUUUGGAUAUCGGAAGUGUUCCGGGUGAAAUCGGGAUUUUACCGGAGUACUGAGAGGUUACCGGAACCCCCUCGGGAGCUAUAUGGGCCUUUGUGGGCUUUAGUGGAAAGGAGAAAGGGGCAGCCCAAGGUGGCUGUGCGCCUCCUCCCUUCCCCUAGUCCUAUUAGGACUAGGAUAGGUGGCCGGCCCCCUCUCUCUCUUUCCCCCCUCAAGGAAUCCUAUUCCAACUAGGAUUGGGGGGGGGGGGGAAUCCUACUCCCAGAGGGAGUAGGACUCUCCUGGCACGCCAAGCUUGGCCGGCCAGCCUCCCCCCUCUAGUCCUUUAUAUACUGAGGUAGAGGCACCCUAGAACACACAAUUGAUCAACGUGAUCUAUUCCUUAGCCGUGUGCGGUGCUCCCAGCCACCAUAUUCCUCGAUUAUACUGUAGCGGAGUUUAGGCGAAGCCCUGCUGCUGUAGUGCAUCAAGAUCGUCACCACGCCGUUGUGCUGACGGAACUCUUCCCCGACACUUUGCUGGAUCGGAGUCCGGGGAUCGUCAUCGAGCUGAAUGUGUGCUCGAACUCGGAGGUGCCGUAGUUUCGGUGCUUGAUCGGUCGGAUCGGGAAGAUGUACGACUACUUCCUCUAUGUUGCGUCAAUGCUUCCGCAGUCGGUCUGCGUGGGUACGUAGACAACACUCUCCCCUCUCGUUGCUAUGCAUCACAUGAUCUUGCGUGAGCGUAGGAAUUUUUUUGAAAUUACUACGAAACCCAACAAAAACCCUNNNNNNNNNNNNNNNNNNNNNNNNNNNNNNNNNNNNNNNNNNNNNNNNNNNNNNNNNNNNNNNNNNNNNNNNNNNNNNNNNNNNNNNNNNNNNNNNNNNNNNNNNNNNNNNNNNNNNNNNNNNNNNNNNNNNNNNNNNNNNNNNNNNNNNNNNNNNNNNNNNNNNNNNNNNNNNNNNNNNNNNNNNNNNNNNNNNNNNNNNNNNNNNNNNNNNNNAGAGUCGGUUACAAUGGUAGAAGAUCUACAUAUCCGUAUCGCCAAGCUUGCCUUCCACGCCAAGGAAAGUCCCUUCUGGACACAGGAUGAAGUCUUCAACCUUGUAUCUUCAUAGUCUAGGAGUCUGGCCGAAGGUAUAGUCCGGCUAUCCGGACACCCCCUAAUCCAGGACUCCCUCAGUAGCCCCUGAACCAGGCUUCAAUGACGACGAGUCCGGCGCGCAGAUUGUCUUCGGCAUUGCAAGGCGGGUUCCUCCUCCAAGUACUUCAUAGAAUAUUUUGAACACAAAGGUAGUGUCCGGCUCUGCAAAAUAAGUUUCCACAUAUUGCCAUAGAGAGAAUAAUAUUUACACAAAUCUAAUCUACUGACGUAUUCCGUAGCGUGACAUCACACCACGGCCAAGUUUUUAUUCGAAUCUGUCCCACCUCAACGCGUUUAGUGAGGCGGUUUCCUUGGCACAUCUUGUCAAAGCAGAGAUUGUGUCCCCUUAUUCCGGGAUUCUCAUCAAUACGGGCGUGGGUAACCCAACCGUACCCGUCGGUAUGUUUCCUCGAUCAAAGGAGAGUCCCAAACGGUCACGGGAAGGGCCCUUGGUAUUCAACCUCUUAUAAAGAGACCAAGGCCUUACUCCUUUCUUUCAAUCUCAAAUGAGUUCGCCCUUCGCCUCUACUUCCAACACCCAAGGCUCUAGAUUUCAGGCGCUUCGGACCUUCGACAAUGUCCGGUUCCGACCUUCGAGGCCGAUGGAUGCCCUCCUCCGUCACGGAGGAGGACGUGCUGAAGUUGAGAGAGGCCAGGUUCUUGACCGGCGAAAUCUCGCAUAGGCUGCCUGCUCAAGGGCAGGUCAUUCCCACUCCCAAGCCUGGUGAGAGUGUGGUGUUCAUGUCUCACUUCCUUCGGGGGUUAGGCUUCCCGACGAUCCCUACGUGAGGGGGCUCAUGUUUUAUUAUGGGCUGGAAUUUCAUGACUUAGCUCCGGAGUCCAUCCUCCAUAUUUCUUCAUUCAGCGUCGUGUGUGAAGCCUUCCUCCAUAUUACUCCUCACUUUGGACUAUGGCUCAAGACCUUCAAAGUAGAGCCGAAGAUGAUCGAGGGAUGGCACGCGGAGUGCGGAGGUGCUUUUAUAAGCAAGAAUGCUGGUGCUCCAUGGCCCGAGGGCUCUUUUCAAGGGGAGUCCAGCUUACGGCAACGAGAGUGGUUUUAUAUCACAGCUCCCAGGAGCACCAAGUGGGUGGCGCUGCCUGCUUUUCGCUCGGGUCCCCCGCCACGACUGGCGUCAUGGGUCAACAAGGGGCUGGACUGGGGGCCGGCAAAGGACGUGCCCCUGUUGCAGGGCCGCAUCCGAGAUCUCCUAGAAAGAGACAUCAGUCUGGUCGUGGUGACGCAGGUUAUGUUAAUUCGCCGAGUUCUGCACUGCAAACGUCGGCCCCUUCGGUUGUGGAAGUUCAACCCGGAGGGACCACGAGUUCUCCAACAUUUUCUUGGCAUGACGCCCAUGGAUAUGUACAAAUUAUUCUUUGGACCACAAGUAGUGUGUCUGGAUUCUACGGAGGACGCAGGUCUGAGCUGCAAUCGUCCAGAUACUCAAGUAAGUAGCCUUGUGCCCGGACUUGCUAUCCAUAUAUUUAUCAUAAAGUUUCCCCUAAAAGAGUUGUCCUUUAAAUAGGAGUGGAUAGCGAAAGCAAAGCUAAUCAGAUGUCCGGCCCCCCUCCCCGAGACCAUGCCGGGUCCCAUGCUAGUCAAGAUGUUGGAGGUUGUGCCUUCAAAGGAAAGAGAGGGAGGGGACAAGGAAGCUACCGCCUCCUCGAAGGAGGUUGUCCAGAAGGGAGGAAUCGAAAAUUCCUCUCCUCAGGGGAAGAAGAGGACCGCCUCUGAAGACCCGGAGACCAUGGCCUCAAAGCGGGGGAAGAAAUCUUCGCUAGAGGGUCCUGUGCUGGGGGAUACUUCGGCCGAAUUAUGCCCUCAAGGGGAUCAGCCCUCCAUCGAGCCGUAAGUAGAGAGGAGUUUUAUUUUUAAGAAACGAGAGAAAUCCUUGCUUUAUAUCUGAGAAAAGUAAUCGAAAAUUUACCUUGUAGCUCGGACCUUAGCUCUUCUCAGCAGAGCUCGUCUUCGGGGGAUCUUCUUCCGGAGAUGAUGGAGAGCGGAAUGCCUCCCCCUGCCGUAUCACCUCGCGAGGUGGGCGACCCCGAGGUAUUGUCGCGGAGGGUUUCUCCGAAUCCGGCAGGGCCGGAAGGCAGUCAUAUGGCCCCCCAAAGUCCUCCUUGUCCGGCCUUCUAAAAGGGCCAUCGGACGAGUCCGGCGUCGUCUGGUGCGUGGUCGGAGGAGCUGAAGGAUCUGCUAGGGAGAGCAUCUAUCUCAGAGGAGCACCGUGCAUUGAUGGGUACGGUGAUUGAGAGGAUUUCAUCCACGGAGAGCGGAUUGCACGAGGCCGUCAGGAGUGUACUGACAGGUUUUGAGGUACGCGAAAUAAUGUACCCUUUUUGGACAGUUGCACAUAAAUAAGAUGCGACCUGUGUAGAUAGUAGCCCCUGAGACUCUGUGCAUUGUCAAAAGUGACGGUGCGCAGAGGAUCAUAAUCCCAGGUCUAAUAUGCCGCCUUCAUACGUAGGUGGCUAAGUGUCCGGUGGCAAGCCGGACUGAUGAAUUUGCCGAGCUAAAGCGGCAACUUGACGUGGCAGAUGCCGACAUCGCGCUUGUCAACAAGCGGCUUGACGAGGCGCAAGGUAUGUAAUUCCUCCGGCGGCUCCUGGUAAGAGGAGCUUUAUGCUAGUAUCUUACAAUGUGUGCGCUUGAUGCAGAUGGUGCGGCCGCCAUGGAGAAUCUUCGGGCAGAACUUGCCCGAGCCAAGGAGCAAUCCAGGAAAAGUGAUGCGGCUGCCGGAAUGGCAAUUGAAGAGCUGAAAGCCGAACAGGCUGCUCACUGCCAAAGCAAGAAGGAAAUGGCCGAGAUGGCCGUGAAGCUGAAGAACGCUGCUGACCGUUGCAAGCUUCUUGAAAAAUAAGAUCGGGCAAAACAAACGGACCUGGAGAAGGCCGUUGCCGAUGCCAAGGAUGCUCGCUCUGCGAUGAGAGCUGUGAAGGAGGAGCUGCGUCAGGCCGGAGAGAUCGCGACUGGAAAGCCCUUUAUGCUGCAGAGGAAGUUCCGUGAUCCUAAACAUGCUCCGUUGGACUGGAUGUGGAGUACGACGGACACCUAUAUGGAUUUGGCAGCGGCCGCGGAUGCGGCCGAACACUUCCGAGAUCAAGAAGAUCGCGAAGUGGAAAAGCUCUUUUGGUUGCAGUUCCACAAUCCGGAGCGUCCGCUGUCAUGAGCCGAUCAUUUGGCCGAAUGGGCCGAGCUAAAUAGGUUGUCCGGACUUGCCAUGAAGUAUGUCAUGAGUCAUCUGUGGCCAGAGAGGCCAGAGCCGAAAAGUUAUUUCAACUUGGUGCAGCAGUUCCUUGGUGCGGCGCCACAUAUCAAUGCGAUGAAGAGGUCAGCGUGCAUAGAGGGUGCGCGGAUGACUCUUGCCCGUGUCAAGACAUACUGGGCAGAAAUGGAGGCCGCCGCUGUUGCAUCCCCAGACUCGGAUGGAAGUCGAGUACCUGCCGAGCACUAUUUUCAGGAAGUUCUGCAAGGCGCUCGUUUAAUAGAGACGUAGUGCUCGAAGGACACUAUAUUCGAGUAGCAUUAUUGUAAUACAAUAUUUUGAUAAAUUGUAGAAGCUUUUUAUACUUGUGCCUGCAAGUAUUAUAAUACCUCCUGUGCGGCCGUUUAACAUAUAUGUUUAUACAAUCUGAAUGAUGGCAGUCGUCGGCUUCAGCCCCCACGCACAUAAUGCGGGGGUGUUCGCAGAAGGCGCAUUUUCACACUUGAUCCAACGUCUUGGUCCUACAAAGGAGGUGAUAGCGCAGCGAACUAGGCAAUCAUACUAUGAUGCUUUAUCACUUUCACUUAGCCAUAGGAGUUUGAUAGUGAGGCUACUUAUAUAGCCCCUGGUGGCGCCUGCGCUCGCCCGAACUCGGGGCGCGUAUGUGCCUGGCCGGGAAGCGAACCUUCGUUAAUGCGGAGGAAUCCUAAAGAUUCUGGUAAGUCAUCGAGUGGUUGACCAGUCUCACGCUAUAUCAUGACAGUCAGUUUUUGACUUUCUCUACUGAGGUGCUCGCCUCGCUGAACCGGGGCACAAUCGCAGUAGUUCUCCUGGUGCCACCUUAGCCGAUAGAGCGAAAUGUAAGGUAGCAAAACACAGGAGCCGGGCAAACCCAACAUUUGACCAAAGACAUGAUUCGGAGCUGAUGCAUAUAAGGACAAACUCGCGACGCCGAACACUCCCUAAGGUAUUUGGUCUUUAUGAGGGCGGGCGGGAUAACGCCCUUAGUAAUAAGCCCCUAGUGUCCAGGUACGUGCAAAAACUCUGACAUGGCCACAUGCCAAAAUGCCAGCCUCCUCCUUGGUUAUACCAAGAAACCAGGGGAUGUGUAUCAACAAGAGACAGUAAAAAAGGUUUACGCAGGGUCUUAAUCUGAAAAGAAUCCUUGGAACGGGUCCCUGCUGCACGUCUACGCCUGUGUCUCCGUUGUGCCGUAUCCUGGACGGGCGUAGCACGGUGUUCAUCUGUAAAAGGGAGGAACUUAGUUACAUAAAGAUCGUGCCGAACAUGAGUUAUACUAAAUAAAUGAAGUAUAAAUCGAAAUGGGUAAAAUUGAGCUUUAUUGUCUCUUGUUUUAUAUGCGCGGAGCCCCUAGUACAGGGGCAUACGGCUAUUAAGCCUUUAUAAAUUGUAUGUUUAUGCCGGACUCGUCUAGCCGUGUCCGUUGUCUUGAUGACUUGUUUACGUGCUUUGGUUGGUGAAGCCGCUUUAUUGUGGGGCUGUCAAGGCAGCCACACUGUCUUCCGCGUGGGGGGAACACUCAAUGUUUUCCCUUUAAUGAGAUGAUGCCUCGUGGACCGGGCAUCUUAAGCGUGAGAUAUGCAUAAUGCGGUAUUGCGUUAAAGCGGGUGAAAGCUUUGCGUCCCAGUAGUGCUUGAUAGCUACUUGAGAAUGGGGCGAUGUGGAAAGUUAGCUGUUCGUGACGGAAGUUAUCGGGGGAGCCGAACAUAACUUCUAGCCGGAGAGAACCCAUGCAACGGGCAUCCGGGCCUGGCGUUACCCCUUGAAAGGAGGUUUUGCUAUGGCGAAUUUUUGUUGGGUCUAUCCCCAUGUUGCGGAUUGUGUCCUGGUAUAACAGGUUUAGACCACUUCCGCCGUCCAUCAGGACAUUUGUAAAGUGGAGUCCGCCGAUUAUUGGAUCUAAUACCAAGGGGAGACCAUAAAUGCCUUCAUCAAUGAAACCAUAGAUCUGUCAAUUUGCUGUCUCUGUCUGGAGCGGCGCUUACGUCGCCGCUUUGAUUGCUUUCCCCUAAUCCACAACUCUCAAUGAAACCGACGUCCCCGUGCGUCCAAAGAUGGUGAUACCUAAAUCUAUCCUUACUUUUCAUGCCUAGCUAGGGGGCGUUAAACGAUAGCGCUUGUUGGGAGGCAACCCAAUUUUAUUUUUAUUCCUUACUUUUUGCUCCUGUUUAUUAAUAAAUAAUUUAUCUAGCCUUUGUUUAGAUAGUGUUUUUUGUGUUUAAUUAGUGUUUGUGCCAAGUAGAACCGUUGGGAAUAAUUGGGGAAAGUCUUGAUAUCUUGCUGUAAAAAACAGAAACUUUAGCGCUCACGAGAACUGCUGCCAUUUUUAUUUGGAAAGUGAUAUAUAGUUAAUUCUUUUUGCAGAUGAUUAAUAAAUAUAUUCCUCCAUCCAUAAAUUUAUUUUAGAAUUUUUGGGGUUCCAGAUCUUGCGCUAGCUUCAGAUUACUACAGACUGUUCUGGUUUUGACAGAUUCUGUUUUUCGUGUGUUGUUUGCUUAUUUUGAUGAAUCUAUGGCUAGUAAAAUAGUUCAUAAACCAUAGAGAAGUUGGAAUACAGUAGGUUUAACACCAACAUAAACAAAGAAUAAGUUCAUUACAGUACCUUGAAGUGGUCAUUUGUUUUCUUUCGCUAACGGAGCUCACGAGAUUUUCUACUUUGAGUUUUGUGUUGUGAAGUUUUCAAGUUUUGGGUAAAGAUUUGAUGGAUUAUGGAACAAGGAGUGGCAAGAGCCUAAGCUUUGGGAUGCCCAUGGAACCCCCAAGAUAAUCUAAGGACACCUAAAAGCCAAAUCUUGGUAAUGCCCCUGAAGGCAUCCCCUCUUUUCGUCUACUUCUAUCGGUAACUUUACUUGGAGCUAUAUUUUUAUUCACCACAUGAUAUGUGUUUUUCUUGGAGCGUCUUGUAUUAUUUGAGUCUUUAUUUGUUAGUUUACCACGAUCAUCCUUGCUGUACACACCUUUUCAGAGAGCCAUACAUGAUUUGGAAUUUGUUAGAAUGCUCUAUGUGCUUCGCUUAUAUCUUUUGAGUUAUAUAGUUUUGCUCUAGUACUUCGCUUAUAUCUUUUAGAGCACGGUGGUGGAUUUGUUUUAUAGAAACUAUUGAUCUCUCAUGCUUCACUUAGAUUAUUUUGAGAGUCUUAAAUAGCAUGAUAAUUUGCUUAAAUAAUGCUAAUAUGCUAGGUAUUCAAGAUUAGUAAAAAAAUAUCCUAGGAGUGUUUGAAUACUAAGAGACGUUUGAUGCUUGAUGAUCGUUUUGAGAUAUGGAGGUAAUAAUAUCAAAGUCGUGCUAGUUGAGUAGUUGUGAAUUCGAGAAGUGCUUGUGUUGAAGUUUGCAAAUCCCGUAGCAUGCACGUAUGGUAAACGUUGUGUAACAAAUUUGAAACAUAAGGUGUUUUUUUCAUUGUCUUCCUUAUGAGUGGCGGUCGGGGACGAGCGAUGGUCUUUUCCUACCAGUCUAUCCCUCUAGGAGCAUGCGCGUAGUGCCGAGGUUUUUUAUGACUUGUAGAUUUUUUCAAUAAGUAUGUGAGUUCUUUAUGACUAAUGUCGAGUCCAUGGAUUAUACGCGCUCUCACCCUUCCAUCAUUGCUAGCCUCUUCGGUACCGUGCAUUGCCCUUUCUCACAUUGAGAGUUGGUGCAAACUUCACCGGUGCAUCCAAACCCCGUGAUAUGAUACGCUCUUUCACACAUAAACCUCCUUAUAUCUUCCUCAAAACAGCCACCAUACCUACCUAUUAUGGCAUUUCCAUAGCCAUUCUGAGAUAUAUUGCCAUGCAACUUUCCACCAUUCCGUUUAUCAUGACACAUUCAUCAUUGUCAUAUUGCUUAGCAUGAUCAUGUAGUGGACAUAGUAUUUGUGGCAAAGCCACCGUUCAUAAUUCUUUCAUACAUGCCACUCUUGGUUCAUUGCAUAUCCCGGUACACCGCCGGAGGCAUUCAUAUAGAGUCAUCUUUUGUUCUAGCAUCGCGUUGUAAUCAUUGAGUUGUAAAUAAAUAGAAGUGUGAUGAUCAUCAUUUUCUAGAGCAUUGUCCCAAAUGAGGAAAAAAAGAGAAAGGCCAUAUAAAAAAAGGCCUGAAUAAAAAAAAGAGAGAAAAAGAGAGAAGGGACAAUGUUACUAUCCUUUGCCACACUUGUGCUUCAAAGUAGCACCAUAAACUUCAUGUCACUUUGCUUUUAUUUUACUUUGCAUAUUUGUCAGAAAAAUACCAAAAAUAUUAUCUUAUCAUAUCUAUCAGAUCUCACUCUCGUAAGUGGCCAUGUAGGGAUUGACAACCCCUUAUCACGUUGGUUGCGAGCAUUUAUUUGUUUUGUGCAGGUACGAGGGACUCGCGCGUAGCCUCCUACAGGAUUAAUACCUUGGUUCUCAAAAACUAAGGGAAAUACUUACGCUACUCUGCUGCAUCAUCCCUUCCUCUUCGGGGAAAAACCAACACAGUGCUCAAGAGGUAGCAGUGGUGUACCGGGAUUGCGAUGAAUCAAGAGUGACAUGUAUGAAAAAUUAUGAACGAUGGCUUUGCCACAAAUACGAUGUCAACUACAUGAUCAUGCAAAGCAAUAUGACAAUGAUGAUGCGUGUCAUAAUAAACAGAACGGUGGGAAGUUGCAUGGCAAUAUAUCUCGGAAUGGCUAUGGAAAUGCCAUAAUAGGUAGGUAUGGUGGCUGUUUUGAGGAAGAUAUAAGGAGGUUUAUGUGUGAUAGAGCGUAUCAUAUCACGGGGUUUGGAUGCACCGGCGAAGUUUGCACCAACUCUCAAUGUGAGAAAGGGCAAUGCACGGUACCGAAGAGGCUAGCAAUGAUGGAAGGGUGAGAGUGCGUAUAAUCCAUGGACUCAACAUUAGUCAUAAAGAACUCACAUACUUAUUGCAAAAAUCUACAAGUCAUCAUAAACCAAGCACUAUGCGUAUGCUCCUAGGGGGGUAGAUUGGUAGGAAAAGACCAUUGCUCGUCCCCGACCGCCACUCAUAAGGAAGACAAUCAAAGAACACCUCAUGUUUCAAAUUUGUUACAUAUCAUUUACCAUACGUGCAUGCUACGGGACUUGCAAACUUCAACACAAGCAUUUCUCAAAUACACAACUACUCAACUAGCACGACUUUGAUAUUAUUACCUCCGUAUCUCAAAACAAUCAUCAAGCAUCAAGCUUCUCUUAGUAUUCAAUGCACUCUAUAUGAAAGUUUUUAUUAUAUCCCUCUUGGAUGCCCAUCAUAUUAGGACUAGUUUCAUAACAAAAGCAAACUACCAUUCUGUUCUAAGGGACUCUCAAAAUAAUAUAAGUGAAUCAUGAGAGUUCAUCUAUUUCUAUAAAAUAAAACCACCACCAUGCUCUAAAAGAUAUAAGUGAAGCACUAGAGCAAAUGACAAACUACUCCAAAAGAUAUAAGUGAAGAUCAAUGAGUAGUCGAAUAAUUAUGCAACCAUGUGAAGACUCUCUAACAUUUAAUAAUUUCAGAUAUUGUUAUUUUAUCCAAGCAGCAAGCAAAACUAAAUAAAAUAAAAUGACUCUCCAAGCAAAACACAUAUCAUGUGGUGAAUAAAAAUAUAGCUCCAAGUGAAGUUACCGAUAGACGAGGACGAAAGAGGGGAUGCCUUCCGGGGCAUCCCCAAGCUUAGGCUUUUGGUUGUCCUUGAAUAUUACCUUGGGGUGCCUUGGGAAUCCCCAAGCUUAGGAUCUUUCCACACCUUGUUCCAUAGUCCAUCAAAUCUUUACCCAAAACUUGAAAACUUCACAACACAAAUCUUAACCAAAAACUCGUAAGCUCCGUCAGUAUAAGAAAAUAAAUCACCACUUAGGUACUGUUGUGAACUCAUUCUAAAUUCAUAUUGGUGUAAUAUCUACUGUAUUCCAACUUAUCUAUGGUUCAUACCCUCCGAUACUACUCAUAGGUUCAUCAAAAUAAGCAAACAACACAUUGAAAACAGAAUCUAUCAAAAACAGAACAGUCUGUAGUAAUAUGGAUCAAACGUAUACUUCUGGAACCCCAAAAAUUCUAAAAUAAAUUUCUGGACCUGAUUAAUUUAUCUAUUAAUCAUAUUCAAAAGGAAUUAACUAAAUAUCACUCUCCAAAUAAAAAUUGCAGCAAUUCUCGUGAGUGCUAAAGUUUCUGUUUUUUACAGCAUGAUUAUAAAGACUUCACCCAAGUCUUCCCAAAGGUUCUACUGGGCACAAACACUAAUUAAAACAUAAAACCACAUCCAAACAGGGGCUAGAUGAAUUAUUUAUUACUAAACAGGAGCAUAAAGAAAGGAACAAAAAUAAAAUUGGGUUGCCUCCCAACAAGCGCUAUCGUUUAACGCCCCUAGCUAGGCAUGAUGAUUUCAAUGAUGCUCACAUAAAAGAUAAGAAUUAAAACAUAAAGAGAGCAUCAUGAAGAAUAUUACUAGAGCAUUUAAGUCUAACCCACUUCCUAUGCAUUGGGAUUAUGUGAGCAAACAACUUGUGGGUACAAGAAUCAAUUUGCAUAGGAAGGUAAAACAAGCAUAACUUCAAAACUUUAAGCACAUAGAGAGGAAACUUGAUAUUAUUGCAAUUCCUACAAGCAUAAGUUCCUCCCUCAUAAUAAUUUUCAUUAGCAUCAUGAAUGAAUUCAACAAUAUAACCAGCACCUAAAGCAUUAUUUUCAUUAUCUAUAAGCAUAGAAAUUUUAUUACUCUCCACAUGAGCAAAAUUCUUCUCAUUCGGAAUAGUGGGAGUAUCAUAAGAAACUCGAAUACUAUAAAUUGUUUCCACAUUAAAAGAGUAAUGUUCAGAAAAGGGGUUAUCAUAAUCAUACAAGUUUUAUAAUCAUAAUCACUACUUUUUAUAGCAUAAGUACCAUCACAAUAAUCAUCAUAAGUAGGAGGCAUGCUAUCAUCAUUAUAAAUUUGCAUAUCAAAACUUGGGAGACUAAAAAUAUCAUCUUCAUUAAACGUAGCAUCCCCAAGCUUGAGACAAACAUUAGCUGCAGCAAAUAUAUUCUCAAAAACAUCAUUUUCAUCAAACAUAGCAUCCCCAAGCUUGGCCCUUUUCAUAUCAUAAGCAUAAUCACUCUCAUCAUUAAUAGUAUGGAUAGCACCAAUAGUAUAGCAAUUAUCAUAUUCUUCCAAGCAAGUGCCAAAAAGAUCUUCAAGAUCAUAAUAAGUAUCAUUAUCUUUCACAAUUAUAUUUUCAUGAGGCACAAUAGUAAUAGGAGCAGCAUUAUUUGGGGGAGAUAUCUUUUUACCUCUCUUCCUUUUUCUUUUCUUCUUCUUCACCACAUCAUGUGUGGGUUCAAUCCUCUUUUUGUAGCUCCUUAUUAAUGAGAUUGGUUGAAUAGGAGGCUCUUCCUCGUUACCUGAUUCAUCAUAAGAAAUAAUAGGAGGGUAUUGGGAAGUCUCUUCCCUUUCAUUAGUAUUCUCUUCAUCUUCUAUUUAUUUUCUUUUCUUCAUGUAGUUGGCAAUAUAAGGAUUUUCAAUACAAUUCACCGCACAAUACAUAUAAAUUUUCUCUAGAUCAAAAUCAAGAAAUCUACCAAGAUUAAACUUUGGAAUACCCUCAGUUAUACUUUUCAUUUCCUCAUACCCCAAAAGAAGACUAAGCUCUUUAUGAUGCUCAAGGGUAAUCAAAUUAUCACAAUUUUUGGGUACGAUUUGGUCAUGAAACAAUUUGCAUUGGAGAUUUAAAUGACCAUGUUCAUUGCAAAGUUCACAAGGGGCGCGAAAAAUAUUGAAUUUUUCAGCACAAACAUCAAGACUUUCUUGCAACAAUUUAGUUUCUAAAUACUUAUGCCUCUUGCAAUAUCUAUCUUCCCUAUUUGGUGUAUACUUGCAAACCCAAUGCACUCCACAAAAAUUGACAUGUUUAUAGGAGACAUUUUCAUCAUAACUAGUGCAAUCAUCAUUAGUACUACGGAUAUUCAAAGAGUUCAUACUAACAACAUUCCAAUCAUGCUCAUCAUUCAAAGAUUUAGUGCCAAACAUUUUAAUGCAUUCUUCUUAUAACACUUUGGCACAAUUUUCCUUUCCACCAUACUCACGGAAGAUAUUAAAAAGAUGAAGCGUAUGAGACAAACUCAAUGUUGGGGAACGUUGCAGAAAACAAAAAAAUUCCUACGGUUUCACCAAGAUCCAUCUAUGAGUUCAUCUAGCAACGAGUGAUCGGAUGCAUCUACAUACCUUGUAGAUCGUGAGCGGAAGCGUUCAAAGAAUGGGGAUGAGGGAGUCGUACUCGAUGUGAUCCAAAUCACCGGAGAUCCUAGCGCCGAACGGACGACACCUCCGCGUUCAACACACGUACGGUCAACGUGACGUCUCCUCCUUCUUGAUCCAGCAAGGGGAAGGAGAGGUUGAGGAAGAUGGGUCCAGCAGCAGCACGACGGCGUGGUGGUGGUGGAGAAGCAGUACUCCGACAGGGCUUUGCCGAGCUCUACGGAGGAGGAGGAGGUGUUGGAGGGGAGAGGGAGGCGCCAAGGGCAUGGGUGCGGCUGCCCUCCCUCCCCCCCUCUAUAUAUAGGGUCCCCAAGGGGGGGGCGCCGGCCCUGGAGAUUCAAUCUCCCAAGGGGCGCGGCCAAGGGGGGUGGAGUGCCCCCCAAGGCAAGUGGGGCGUGAAGGAAAUAUGCCCUAGAGGCAAUAAUAAAGUUAUUAUUUAUUUCCUUAUAAUCAUGAUAAAUGUUUAUUAUUCAUGCUAGAAUUGUAUUAACCGAAAACAUAAUACAUGUGUGAAUACAUAGACAAACAAGGUGUCACUAGUAUGCCUCUACUUGACUAGCUCGUUAAUCAAAGAUGAUUAUGUUUCCUAAUCAUGAACAAUGAGUUGUUAUUUGAUUAACGGGAUCACAUCAUUAAGAGAAUGAUCUGAUUGACAUGACCCAUUCCAUUAGCUUAGCACCCGAUCGUUUAGUAUGUUGCUAUUGCUUUCUUCAUGACUUAUACAUGUUCCUAUAACUAUGAGAUUAUGCAACUCCCGUUUACCGGAGGAACACUUUGGGUACUACCAAACGUCACAACAUAACUGGGUGAUUAUAAAGGAGUAUUACAGGUGUCUCCAAAGGUACAUGUUGGGUUGGCGUAUUUCGAGAUUAGGUUUUGUCACUCCGAUUGUCGGAGAGGUAUCUCUGGGCCCUCUCGGUAAUGCACAUCACUUAAGCCUUGCAAGCAUUGCAACUAAAUGAGUUAGUUGCGGGAUGGUGUAUUACGGAACGAGUAAGGAGACUUGCCGGCAACGAGAUUGAACUAGGUAUUGGAAUACCGACGAUCGAAUCUCGGGCAAGUAACAUACCGAUGACAAAGGGAACGACGUAUGUUGUUAUGCGGUCUAACCGAUAAAGAUCUUCGUAGAAUAUGUAGGAGCCAAUAUGGGUAUCCAGGUACCGCUAUUGGUUAUUGACUGGAGACAUGUCUCGGUCAUGUCUACAUUGUUCUCGAACCCGUAGGGUCCGCACGCUUAAGGUUACGAUGACAGUUAUAUUAUGAGUUUAUGCAUUUUGAUGUACCGAAGGUUGUUCGGAGUCCCGGAUGUGAUCAUGGACAUGACAAGGAGUCUCAAAAUGGUCGAGGCAUAAAGAUUGAUAUAUUGGAAGCCUAUGUUUGGAUAUCGAAAGUGUUCCGGGUGAAAUCGGGAUUUUACCGGAGAACCGGGAGGUUACCGGAACCCCCCGGGAGCUAAAUGGGCCAUGAUGGGCCUUAGUGGAAAAGAGAAGAGGCAGCCCUACAUGGGCCGCGCGCCCCUCCCCUCCCUUGGUCCGAAUAGGACAAGGAGAGGGGGCCGACCCCUCUCUCUCUUUUCCCCCCUCCGCGAAUCCUAUUCCAACUAGGAUUGGGGGGGGGGGGAAUCCUACCCCGAGAGGGAGUAGGACUCUCCUGGCGCGCCCUCCUUGGCCGGCCAGCCUCCUCCCUUUAGUCCUUUAUAUACGGAGGCAGGGGCACCCCAGAAACACACAAGUUGAUCCACGUGAUCUAUUCCUUAGCCGUGUGCGGCGCCCCCAGCCACCAUAGUCCUCGAUAAUACUGUACCGGAGUUUAGGCGAAGCCCUGCUGCUGUAGUGCAUCAUGAUCGUCACCACGCCGUCGUGCUGACGGAACUCUUCCCCGACACUUUGCUGGAUCGGAGUCCGAGGAUCGUCAUCGAGCUGAAUGUGUGCUAGAACUCGGAGGUGCCGUAGUUUCGUUGCUUGAUCGGUCGGAUCAUGAAGACGUACGACUACAUCAACCAAACGCUUCUGUUGUCGAUCUACUAGGUAUGUAGAUCACACUCCCCCCCCCUCGUUGCUAUGCAUCACAUGAUCUUGCGUGUGCGUAGGAAUUUUUUUGAAAUUACUACGUCCCCAACAGUGGCAUCCGAGCCUAGGUUUUAUAUGUUGAUGUUAUAUGCACGAGUAGAACACAAGUGAGUUGUGGGCGAUAUAAGUCAUACUGCCUACCAGCAUGUCAUACUUUGGUUCGGCGGUAUUGUUGGAUGAAGCGGCCCAGACCGACAUUACGCGUACGCUUACGCGAGACCGGUUCUCGCGACGUGCUUUGCACAGAGGUGGCUUGUGGGUGACAGUUUCUCCAACUUUAGUUGAACCAAGUGUGGCUACACCCGGUCCUUGCGAAGGUUAAAACGGAGUCAAAUUGACAAACUAUCGUUGUGGUUUUGAUGCGUAGGUGAGAUUUGUUCUUACUUAAGCCUGUAGCAGCCACGUAAAACUUGCAACAACAAAGUAGAGGACGUCUAACUUGUUUUUGCAGGGCAUGUUGUGAUGUGAUAUGGUCAAGACAUGAUGCUGAAUUUUAUUGUAUGAGAUGAUCAUGUUUUGUAACCGAGUUAUCGGCAACCGGCAGGAGCCAUAUGGUUGUCGCUUUAUUGUAUGCAAUGCAAUCGCGAUGUAAUGCUUUACUUUAUCACUAAAUGGUAGCGAUAGUCGUGGAAGCACAAGCUUGGCGAGACGACAAUGGUGCUACGAUGGAGAUCAAGGUGUCACGCCGGUGACGAUGGUGAUCACGACGGUGCUUCAGAGAUGGAGAUCACAAGCACAAGAUGAUGAUGGCCAUAUCAUAUCACUUAUAUUGAUUGCAUGUGAUGUUUAUCUUUUAUGCAUCUUAUCUUGCUUUGAUUGACGGUAGCAUUAUAAGAUGAUCUCUCACUAAAUUAUCAAGAAGUGUUCUCCCUGAGUAUGCACCGUUGCGAAAGUUCUUCGUGCUGAGACACCAUGUGAUGAUCGGGUGUGAUAGGUUCUACGUUCAAAUACAACGGGUGCAAAAUAGUUGCACACGCGGAAUACUCAGGUUAUACUUGACGAGCCAAGCAUAUACAGAUAUGGCCUCGGAACACGGAGACCGAAAGGUCGAGCGUGAAUCAUAUAGUAGAUAUGAUCAACAUAGCGAUGCUCACCAAUGAAACUACUCCAUCUCACGUGAUGAUCGGACAUGGUUUAGUUGAUUUGGAUCACGUGAUCACUUAGAGGAUUAGAGGGAUGUCUAUCUAAGUGGGACUUCUUAAGUAAUAUGAUUAAUUGAACUUAAAUUUAUCAUGAACUUAGUCCUGGUAGUAUUUUGCAAAUUAUGUUGUAGAUCAAUAGCUCGCAUUGUUGCUUCCCUGUGUUUAUUUUGAUAUGUUCCUAGAGAAAAUUGUGUUGAAAGAUGUUAGUAGCAAUGAUGCGGAUUGGAUCCAUGAUCUGAGGUUUAUCCUCAUUGCUGCAUAGAAGAAUUAUGUCCUUGAUGCACCGCUAGGUGACAGACCUAUUGCAGGAGCAGAUGCAGAUGUUAUGAACAUUUGGCUAGCUCAAUAUGAUGACUACUUGAUAGUUUAGUGCACCAUGCUUAAUGGCUUAGAAUCGGGACUUCAAAGACAUUUUGAACGUCAUGGACCAUAUGAGAUGUUCCAGGAGUUGAAGUUAAUAUUUCAAGCAAAUACCCGAGUUGAGAGAUAUGAAGUCUCCAACAAGGUCUAUAGCUAAAAGAUGGAGGAGAAUCGCUCAACUAGUGAGCAUGUGCUCAGAUUGUCUGGGUACUACAAUCGCUUGAAUCAAGUGGGAGUUAAUCUUCCAGAUAAGAUAGUGAUUGACAGAAUUCUCUAGUCACCAUCACCAAGUUAGUAGAACUUCCUGAUGAACUAUGAUAUGCAAGGGAUAACGGAAAUGAUUCCCAAGCUCUUCGUAAUGCGGAAAUUGACGAAGGUAGAAAUCGAGAAAAACAUCAAGUGUUGAUGGUAGACAAGACCACUAGUUUCAAGAAAAGGGCAGAGGGAAGAAGGGGAACUUCAAGAAGAACAGCAAGCAUGUUGCUACUCAAGUGAAGAAGCCCAAGUCUGGUCCUAAGCCUGAGACUAAGUGUUUCUACUGCAAAGGGACUGGUCACUGAAAGCGGAACUACCCCAAGUGAUUGGCAGAUAAGAAGGAUGGCAAAAUGAACAUAAGUAUAUUUGAUAUACAUGUUAUUGAUGUGUACUUUACUAGUGUUUAUAGCAACCCCUCAGUAUUUGAUACUAGUUCAGUUGCUAAGAUUAGUAACUUGAAACGGGAGUUGCAGAAUAAACAGAGACUAGUUAAGGGUGAAGUGACGAUGUGUGUUGGAAGUGGUUCCAAGAUUGAUAUGAUCAUCAUCGCACACUCCCUAUACUUUCGGGAUUAGUGUUGAACCUGAAUAAGUGUUAUUUGGUGUUUGUGUUAAGCAUGAAUAUGAUUUGAUCAUGUUUAUUAUAAUACGGAUAUUCAUUUAAGUAAGAGAAUAAAUUGUUGUUCUGUUUACAUGAAUAAAACCUUAUAUGGUUACACACCCAAUGAAAAUAGUUCAUUGGAUCUCGAUCGUAGUGAUACACAUAAUCAUAAUAUUGAAACCAAAAGAUGCAAAGUUAAUAAUGAUAGUGCAACUUAUUUGUAGCACUGCCAUUUAGGUCAUAUUGGUGUAAAGUGCAUGAAGAAACUCCAUGCUGAUGGAUUUUGGAAUCACUUGAUUAUGAAUCACUUGAUGCUUGAGAACCAUGCCUCAUGGUCAAGAUGACUAAGACUCCGUUCUCCGGAGAGAGCAACUGACUUAUUGGAAAUAAUACAUACUGAUGUAUGCGGUCCGAUGAGUGUUAAGGCUCACGGCAAGUAUCGUUAUUUUCUGAACUUCACAGAUGAUUUGAGCAAGAUAUGGGUAUAUCUACUUGAUGAAACAUAAGUCCUAAACAUUUGAAAAGUUCAAAGAAUUUCAGAGUGAAGUGGAAAAUCAUCAUGACAAGAAAAAAAAAUUUCUAUGAUCUGAUCGCGGAGACAAAUAUUUGAGUUACGAGUUUGGUCUUCAAAUAAAACAAUGUGGAAUAGUUUCACAAACUCAUGCCACAUGGAACACCACAGCAUAAUGGUGUGUCUGAACAUUAUAACCGUACUUUAUUAGAUAUGGUGCGAUCUAUGAUGUUUUUUUUUGAUCUACCACUAUCGUUUUGGGGUUAUGCAUUAAAGACAGCUGCAUUCACAUUUAAAAGGGCACCAUCUAAGUCCGUUGAGACGACACAAUCUGAACUGUGGUUUGGCAAGAAACCAAAGUUGUCAUUUCUUAAAGUUUGGGAUUGUGAUGCUUAUAUGAAAAGGUUUCAUCCUGAUAAGCUCAAAUCCAAAUAGGAGAAAUAUGUCUUCAUAGGAUACCCAAAGGAGACUGUUGGGUACACCUUCUAUCACAAAUCCGAAGGCAAGACUUUUGUUGCUAAAUUCGGAGUUUUUCUAGAGAAGGAGUUUCUCUCGAAAGAAGUGAGUGGGAGGAAAGUAGAACUUGAUGAGGUAACUGUACCUGCUCCCUUAUUGGAAAGUAGUUCAUCACAGAAAUCUGUUCCUGUGACUACUACACCAAUUCGUGAGGAAGCUAAUGAUGAUGAUCAUGUAACUUCAGAUCAAGUUACUACCAAAUCUCGUAGGUAAACCAGAGUGAGAUCCACACCAGAGUGGUACGGUAAUCCCAUUCUGGAAGUCGUGUUACUAGACCAUGACGAACUUGCGAACUAUGAGGAAGCGAUGAUGAGCCCAGAUUCUGCGAAAUGGUUUGAGGUCAUGAAAUCUGAGAUAUGAUCCAUGUAUGAGAACAAAGUAUGGACUUUGAUGGAUUUGCUCGAUGAUCGGCAAGCCAUAGAAAAUAAAUGGAUCUUCAAGAGGAAGACAGACGCUGAUAGUAGUGUUACUAUCUACAAAGCUAGAAUUGUCGCAAAAGGUUUUCGACAAGUUCAAGGAGUUGACUACGAUGAGAUUUUCUCACUCGUAUCUAUGCUUAAGUCUGUCCGAAUCAUGUUAGCAAUUGCCGCAUUUUAUGAAAUCUGGCAAAUGGAUAAACAAAACUGCAUUCCUUAAUGGAUUUACUAAAGAAGAGUUGUAUACGAUGCAACUAGAAGGUUUUGUCGAUCCUAAAGGUGUUAACUAAAUAUGCAAGCUCCAGCGAUCCAUCUAUGGACUAGUGCAAGAAUCUCAGAGUUGGAAUAUACGCUUUGAUAAGUUGAUCAAAGCAUAUAGUUUUAUGCAGACUUGCGGUGAAGCCUGUAUUUACAAGAAAGUGAGUGGGAGCACUACAACAUUUCUGAUAAGUAUAUGUGAAUGACAUAUUGUUGAUCGGAAAUAAUGUAGAAUUAUUCUGCAAAGCAUAAAGGAGUGUUUGAAAGGAGUUUUUUCAAAAAGGACCUCGAAGAAGCUGCUUACAUAUUGAGCAUCAAGAUCUAUAGAGAUAGAUCAAGACGCUUGAUAAGUUUUUUUUCAAUGAGUACAUACCUUGACAAGAUUUUAUAAUAGUUCAAAAUGGAACAGUCAAAGAAAGUGUUCUUGCCUGUGUCAUAAGGUGUGAAAUUGAGUAAGACUCAAAGCCCGACCACGGCAGAAGAUAGAAAGAGAAUGAAUGUCAUUCCCUAUGCCUCGGUCAUAGGUUCUAUAAAGUAUGCCAUGCUGUGUACCAGAUCUAUUGUAUACCCUACCAUUGAGUUUGGCAAGGGAGUACAAUAGUGAUCUAGGAGUAGAUCACUGGACAGCGGUCAAAAUUAUCCUUAGUGGAAUAAGGAAAUAUUUCUCAAUUAUGGAGGUGACAAAAAGGUUCGUCGUAAAAAGUUACAUCGAUGCAUGUUUUGACACAGAUCUGGAUGACUCUAAGUCUCGAUCUAGAUACAUAUUGAAAGUGGGAGCAAUAAGUUAGAGUAGCUCCGUGCAGAGCAUUGUUGACAUAGAAAUUCGCAAAAUACUUACGGAUCCGAAUGUGACAGACCUGUUGACUAAAAUUAUCUCACAAGCAAAACAUGAUCACACCUUAGUACUCUUUGGGUAUUAAUCACAUAGCGAUGUGAACUAGAUUACUGACUCUAGUAAACCCUUUGGGUGUUGAUCACAUAUCGAUGUGAACUAUGGGUGUUAAUCACAUGGUGAUGUGAACUAUUGUUGUUAAAUCACAUGGCGAUGUGAACUAGAUUAUUGACUCUAGUGCAGGUGGGAGACCGAAGGAAAUAUGCCCUAGAGGCAAUAAUAAAGUUAUUAUUUAUUUCCUUAUAAUCAUGAUAAAUGUUUAUUAUUCAUGCUAGAAUUGUAUUAACUGGAAACAUAAUACAUGUGUGAAUACAUAGACAAACAAAGUGUCACUAGUAUGCCUCUACUUGACUAGCUCGUUAAUCAAAGAUGAUUAUGUUUCCUAAUCAUGAACAAUGAGUUGUUAUUUGAUUAACGAGAUCACAUCAUUAAGAGAAUGAUUUGAUUGACAUGACCCAUUCCAUUAGCUUAGCACCCGAUCAUUUAGUAUGUUGCUAUUGCUUUCUUCAUGACUUAUACAUGUUCCUAUAACUAUGAGAUUAUGCAACUCCCGUUUACCGGAGGAACACUUUGGGUACUACCAAAGGUCACAAUGUAACUGGGUGAUUAUAAAGGAGUAUUACAGGUCUCUCCAAAGGUACAUGUUGGGUUGGCGUAUUUCGAGAUUAGGUUUUGUCACUCCGAUUGUCGGAGAGGUAUCUCUGAGCCCUCUCGGUAAUGCACAUCACUUAAGCCUUGCAAGCAUUGCAACUAAAUGAGUUAGUUGCGGGAUGAUGUAUUACGGAACGAGUAAAGAGACUUGCCGGCAACGAGAUUGAACUAGGUAUUGGAAUACCGACGAUCGAAUCUCGGGCAAGUAACAUACCGAUGACAAAGGGAACGACGUAUGUUGUUAUGCGGUCUGACCGAUAAAGAUCUUCAUAGAAUAUGUAGGAGCCAAUAUGGGCAUCCAGGUCCCGCUAUUGGUUAUUGACUGGAGACAUGUCUCGGUCAUGUCUACAUUGUUCUCGAACCCGUAGGGUCCGCACGCUUAAGGUUACGAUGACAGUUAUAUUAUGAGUUUAUGCAUUUUGAUGUACCGAAGGUUGUUCAGAGUCUCGGAUGUGAUCACGGACAUGAUGAGGAGUCUCGAAAUGGUCGAGACAUAAAGAUUGAUAUAUUGGAAGCCUAUGUUUGGAUAUCGGAAGUGUUCCAGGUGAAAUCGGGAUUUUACCGGAGUACCGGGAGGUUACCGGAACCCCCCGGGAGCUAAAUGGGCCAUGAUGGGCCUUAGUGGAAAAGAGAAGAGGCAGCCCUACAUGGGCCGCGCGCCCCUCCCCUCCCUUGGUCCGAAUAGGACAAGGAGAGGGGGCCGGACCCUCUCUCUCUUUUCCCUCCUCCGCGAAUCCUAUUCCAACUAGGAUUGGGGGGGGGGGGGAUCCUACUCCCAGAGGGAGUAGGACUCUCCUGGCGCGCCCUCCUUGGCCGGCCAGCCUCCCCCCUUUAGUCCUUUAUAUACGGAGGCAAAGGCACCCCAGAGACACACAAGUUGAUCCACGUGAUCUAUUCCUUAGCCGUGUGCAGCGCCCCCAGCCACCAUAGUCCUCAAUAAUACUGUAGCGGAGUUUAGGCGAAGCCCUGCUGCUGUAGUGCAUCAAUAUCGUCACCACGCCGUCGUGCUGACGGAACUCUUCCCCGACACUUUGCUGGAUCGGAGUCCGAGGAUCGUCAUCGAGUUGAACGUGUGCUAGAACUCAGAGGUGCCGUAGUUUCGGUGCUUGAUCGGUCGGAUCGUGAAGACGUACGACUACAUAAACCAAACACUUCCGUUGUCGAUGUACUAGGUAUGUAGAUCACACUCCCCCCCCCUCGUUGCUAUGCAUCACAUGAUCUUGCGUUUGCGUAGGAAAUUUUUUGAAAUUACUACGUUCCCCAACAGGGCGCCCCCCACCCUAGGGUUCCCAACCCUAGUCGCAGGGGGAAGGCCCAAGGGGGGCGCACCAGCCCACUAGGGGCUGGUUCCCCUCCCACUUCAGCCCAUGGGGCCCUCUGGGAUAGGUGGCACCACCCGGUGGACCCCCGGGACCCUUCCAGUGGUCCCGGUACAAUACCGGUGACCCCGAAACUUGUCCCGAUGGCCGAAAUAGCACUUCCUAUAUAUAAUUCUUUACCUCCGGACCAUUCCGGAACUCCUCGUGACGUCCGGUAUCUCAUUCGGGACUCCGAACAACUUUCUGGUUACUGCAUAUUCAUAUCCCUACAACCCUAGCGUCACCGAACCUUAAGUGUGUAGACCCUACGGGUUCGGGAGACAUGUAGACAUGACCGAGAUGGCUCUCCGGUCAAUAACCAACAGCGGGAUCUGGAUACCCAUGUUGGCUCCCACAUGCUCCUCGAUGAUCUCAUCGGGUGAACCACGAUGUCGAGGAUUCAAGCAACCCCGUAUACAAUUCCCUUUGUCAAUCGGUACGUUACUUGCCCGAGAUUCGAUCGUCGGUAUCCCAAUACCUCGUUCAAUCUCGUUACCGGCAAGUCACUUUACUCGUACCGUAAUGCAUGAUCCCGUGACCAGACACUUGGUCACUUUGAGCUCAUUGUGAUGAUGGAUUACCGAGUGGGCCCAGAGAUACCUCUUCGUCAUAUGGAGUGACAAAUCCUAGUCUUGAUCCGCGUCAACCCAACAGACACUUUCGGAGAUACCCGUAGUAUACCUUUAUAGUCAGCCAGUUACGUUGUGACGUUUGGUACACCCAAAGCACUCCUACGGUAUCCGGGAGUUACACGAUCUCAUGGUCUAAGGAAAGGAUACUUGACAUUGGAAAAACUCUAGCAAACGAACUAUACGAUCUUGUGCUAUGUUUAGGAUUGGGUCUUGUCCAUCACAUCAUUCUCCUAAUGAUGUGAUCUCGUUAUCAAUGACAUCCAAUGUCCAUAGUCAGGAAACCAUGACUAUCUGUUGAUCAACGAGCUAGUCAACUAGAGGCUUACUAGGGACAUGUUGGUGUCUAUUUAUUCGCACAUGUAUUACGAUUUCCUGAUAACACAAUUAUAGCAUGAAUAAAAUACAAUUAUCAUGAACAAGGUAAUAUAAUAAUAAUGCUUUUAUCAUUGCCUCUAGGGCGUAUUUCCAACAGUCUGCCGCUUGCACUAGAGUCAAUAAUCUAGUUACAUUGUGAUGAAUCGAACACCCAUGGAAUUCUGGUGUUGAUCAUGUUUUGCUCUAGGGAGAGGUUUAGUCAACGGAUCUGCUACAUUCAGGUCCGUAUGUACUUUACAAAUAUCUAUGUCUCCAUCUUGAACAUUUUCACGAAUGGAAUUGAAUCGACGCUUGAUGUGCCUGGUCUUCUUGUGAAACCUGGGCUCCUUGGCAAGUGCAAUAGCUCCAGUGUUGUCACAGAAGAGUUUGAUUGGCCCCGACGCAUUGGGUAUGACUCCUAGGUCAGUGAUGAACUCCUUCACCCAAAUUGCUUCAUGCGCUGCCUCAGAGGCUGCCAUGUACUCCGCUUCACAUGUAGAUCCCGCAGCGACGCUCUGCUUGCAAUUGCACCAGCUUACUGCCCCACCAUUCAAAAUAUACACUUAUCCGGUUUGUGACUUAGAGUCAUCCAGAUCUGUGUCGAAGCUAGCAUCGAUGUAACCCUUUACGACGAGCUCUUCGUCACCUCCAUAAACGAGAAACAUUUCCUUAGUCCUUUUCAGGUACUUCAGGAUAUUCUUCACCGCUGUCCAGUGUUCCUUGCCGGGAUUACUUUGGUACCUACCUACCAAACUUACGGCAAGGUUUACAUCAGGUCUGGUACACAGCAUGGCAUACAUAAUAGAACCUAUGGCUGAGGCAUAGGGGAUGACACUCAUCUCUUCUAUAUCUUCUGCCGUGGUCGGACAUUGAGCUGAGCUCAAUUUCACACCUUGCAACACAGGCAAGAACCCCUUCCUAGACUGAUCCAUAUUGAACUUCUUCAAUAUCUUAUCAAGGUAUGUACUUUGUGAAAGACCUAUGAGGCGUCUUGAUCUAUCUCUAUAGAUCUUGAUGCCUAAUAUAUAUGCAGCUUCUCCAAGGUCCUUCAUUGAAAAACUCUUAUUCAAGUAGGCCUUAAUGUUGUCCAAGAGUUCUAUAUCAUUUUCCAUCAAAAGUAUGUCAUCUACAUAUAAUAUGAGAAAUGCUACAGAGCUCCCACUCACUUUCUUGUAAACGCAGGCUUCUCCAUAAGUCUGCGUAAACCCAAACACUUUGAUCAUCUCAUCAAAGCGAAUGUUCCAACUCCGAGAUGCUUGCACUAGCCCAUAAAUCGAGGGUUGGAGCUUGCACACCUUGUCAGCAUUCUUAGGAUCGACAAAACCUUCCGGCUGCAUCAUAUACAAUUCUUCCUUAAGGAAACCAUUAAGGAAUGCCGUUUUGACGUCCAUUUUCCAUAUCUCAUAAUCAUAGAAUGCGGCAAUUGCUAACAUGAUUCGGACGGACUUUAGCUUCGCUACCGGUGAGAAAGUCUCAUCGUAGUCAACCCCUUGAACUUGUCGAUAACCCUUAGUGAAAAGCCGAGCUUUAUAGAUGGUCACAUUACCAUCCGCAUCUGUCUUCUUCUUAAAGAUCCAUUUAUUUUCUAUGGCUCGCCGCUCAACGGGCAAGUCAGUCAAAGUCCAUACUUUUUUUUCAUACAUGGAUCCUAUCUCGGAUUUCAUGGCUUCUAGCCAUUUGUCAGAAUCCGGGCCCGUCAGCGCUUUUUCAUAGUUCGGAGGUUCACCAUUGUCUAACAACAUGAUUUCCAAGACAGGGUUGCCGUACCACUCUGGUGCGGAACGUGUCCUUGUGGACCUACGAAGUUCAGUAGCAACUUGAUCCGAAGUUUCAUGAUCAUCUUCAUUAAUUUCCUCUCUAGUCGGUGCAGGCACCUCAGGAACAUUUUCUUGAGUUGUGCCAUUUUCCGGUUCAAGAGGUAAUACUUCAUCAAGUUCUACUUUCCUCCCACUUACUUCUUUCGAGAGAAACUCCUUCUCUAGAAAGGAUCCAUUCUUGGCAACAAAGAUCUUUGCCUUCGGAUCUGAGGUAGAAGGUAUACCCAAUAGUUUCUUUAGGGUAUCCUAUGAAGACGCAUUUUUCCGACUUGGGUUCGAGCUUUUCAGGUUGAAGUUUCUUGACAUAAGCAUCGCAUCCCCAAACUUUUAGAAACUAUAGCUUAGGUUUCUUCCCAAACCAUAAUUCAUACGGUGUCGUCUCAACGGAUUUCGACGGAGCCCUAUUUAAAGUGAAUGCGGCAGUCUGUAAAGCAUAGCCCCAAAAUAAUUGCGGUAAUUCGGUAAGAGUGAUCAUAGAUCGCACCAUAUCUAAUAGAGUGCGAUUACGACAUUCAGACACACCAUUACGCUGAGGUGUUCCAGGCGGCGUCAGUUGUGAAACUAUUCCACAUUUUCUUAAGUGUGUGCCAAAUUCGUGACUCAAGUAUUCUCCUCCAUGAUCUGAUCACAAGAACUUGAUUUUCCUGUCACGUUCAUUCUCAACCUCACUCUAAAAUUCCUUGAACUUUUCAAAGGUCUCAGACUUGUGUUUCAUUAAAUAGACAUACCCAUAUCUACUCAAGUCAUCAGUGAGGGUGAGAACAUAACGAUAGCCACCGCGAGCCCCAGCACUCAUUGGACCGCACGCAUCAGUAUGUAUGAUUUUCAAUAAGUUGGUUGCUCGCUCCAUUGUUCCUGAGAACAGAGUCUUGGUCAUUUUACCCAUGAGGCAUGGUUCGCACGUGUCAAAUGAUUCGUAAUCAAGAGACUCUAGAAGUCCAUCUGCAUGGAGCUUCUUCAUGCGUUUGACACCUAUGUGACCAAGGCGGCAGUGCCACAAGUAUGUGGGACUAUUAUUAUCAACCUUACAUCUUUUGGUAUUCACACUAUGAAUAUGUGUAGCAUUACGCUCGAGAUUCAUUAAGAAUAAACCAUUCACCAUCGGAGCAUGACCAUAAAACAUAUCUCUCAUAUAAAUAGAACAACCAUUAUUCUCGGAUUUAAAUGAGUAGCCAUCUCGUAUUAAACGAGAUCCUGAUACAAUGUUCAUGCUCAAACUUGGCACUAAAUAACAAUUAUUGAGGUUCAAAACUAAUCCCGUAGGUAAAUGUAGAGGUAGCGUGCCGACGGCGAUCACAUCGACCUUGGAACCAUUCCCGACGCGCAUCGUCACCUCGUCCUUCGCCAGUCUCCGCUUAUUCCGCAGCUCCUGCUUUGAGUUACAAAUGUGAGCAACUUCACCGGUAUCAAAUACCCAAGAGCUACUACAAGUACUGGUAAGGUACACAUCAAUUACAUGUAUAUCACAUAUACCUUUAUGAUGCCGGCCUUCUUGUCCGCUAAGUAUUUGGGGCAGUUCCGCUUCCAGUGACCACUUCCCUUGCAAUAAAAGCACUCAGUCUCGGGCUUGGGUCCAUUCUUUGGCUUCUUCCCGGCAGCUUGCUUGCCGGGCGCGGCAACUCCCUUGCCGUCCUUCUUGAAGUUCUUCUUACCCUUGCCUUUCUUGAACUUAGUGGUUUUAUUCACCAUCAACACUUGAUGUUCCUUUUUGACUUCUACCUCUGCUUAUUUCAGCAUUGCAAAUACUUCAGGAAUGGUCUUUUCCAUCCCCUGCAUAUUGAAGUUCAUCACAAAGCUCUUGUAGCUUGGUGGAAGCGACUAGAGGAUUCUCUCAAUGGCCGCGUCAUUUGGGAGAUUAACUCCCAGCUGAGUCAAGCGGUUAUGUAACCCAGACAUAGUGAGUAUGUGCUCACUGACAGAACUAUUUUCCUCCAUCUUACAGCUGAAUAACUUGUCGGAGACUUCAUAUCUCUCGACCCUGGCAUGAGCUUGAAAAACCAUUUUCAGCUCUUCGAACAUCUCAUAUGCUCCGUGUCUCUCAAAAUGCUUUUGGAGCCCCGGCUCUAAGCUGUAAAGCAUGCGGCACUGAACGAGGGAGUAAUCAUCGGAACGUGUCUGCCAAGCGUUCAUAACGUCUUGUUCUGCAGGGAGAACAGGUGCUUCACCUAGCGGUGCUUGUAGGACAUAAUCUUUCUUGGCAGCUAUGAGGAUGAUCCUCAGGUUCCGGACCCAGUCCGUAUAGUUCCUGCCAUCAUCUUUCAGCUUGGUUUUCUCUAGGAACGCGUUGAAGUUGAGGACAACAUUGGUCAUUUGAUCUACAAGACAUAUUGUAAAUAUUUUAGACUAAGUUCAUGAUAAUUAAGUUCAUCUAAUCAAAUUAUUCAGUGAACUCCCACUUAGAUAGACAUCCCUCCAGUCAUCUAAGUAUAACAUGAUCCGAGUUAACUAGGCCGUGUCCGAUCAUCACGUGAGACGGACUAGUCAACAUCGGUGAACAUCUUCAUGUUGAUCGUAUCUUCUAUACGACUCAUGCUCGACCUUUCGGUCUUCUAUGUUCCGAGGCCAUGUCUAUACAUGCUAGGCUCGUCAAGUCAACCUAAGUGUUUGCAUGUGUAAAUCUGUCUUACACCCGUUGUAUGUGAACGUUGGAAUCUAUCAUACCCGAUCAUCACGUGGUGCUUCGAAACAACGAACUGUCGCAACGGUGCACAGUUAGGGGGAACAUUUUCUUGAAAUUAUUAUGAGGGAUCAUCUUAUUUACUACCGUCGUUCUAAGUAAACAAGAUGCAAAAACAUGAUAAACAUCACAUGCAAUAAUAAUAGUGACAUGAUAUGGCCAAUAUCACAUAGCUCCUUUGAUCUCCAUCUUGGGGCUCCAUGAUCAUCUUGUCACCGGCAUGACACCAUGAUCUCCAUCAUCAUCGUGUCUCCAUGAAGUUGCUCGCCAACUAUUACUUCUACUACUAUGGCUAACACGUUUAGCAAUAAAGUAAAGUAAUUUACAUGGCGUUUCUCAAUGACACGCAGGUCAUACAAAAAAAUAAAGACAACUCCUAUGGCUCCUGCCGGUUGUCAUACUCAUCGACAUGCAAGUCGUGAUUCCUAUUACAAUAGCAUGAACAUCUCAUACGUCACAUAUAUAUCAUUCAUCAUUCAUCACAACUUUGGCCAUAUCACAUCACAAAACACUUGCUGCAAAAACAAGUUAGACGUCCUCUAAUUGUUGUUGCAAGUUUUACGUGGCUGAAAUAGGGUUCUAGCAAGAAUGUUUUCUUACCUACGUGAAAGCCACAACGUGAUUUGUCAACUUCUAUUUACCCUUCAUAAGGACCCUUUUCAUCGAAUCCGCUCCAACUAAAGUGGGAGAGACAGACACCCGCCAACCACCUUAUGCAACUAGUGCAUGUUAGUCGGUGGAACCGGUCUCACAUAAGCGUACGUGUAAGGUUGGUCCGGGCCGCUUUAUCCCACAAUACCGCUGAAGCAAAAUAAGACUAGUAGCGGCAAGAAAGUUGACAACAUCUACGCCCACAACAAAUUAUGUUCUACUCGUGCAAAGAGAACUACACAUAGACCUAGCUCAUGAUGCCACUGUUGGGGAACGUUGCAGAAAACAAAAAAAUUCCUACGGUUUCACCAAGAUCCAUCUAUGAGUUCAUCUAGCAAGGAGUGAUCGGAUGCAUCUACAUACCUUGUAGAUCAUGAGCGGAAGCGUUCAAAGAACGGGGAUGAGGGAGUCGUACUCGACGUGAUCCAAAUCACCGGAGAUCCUAGCGCCGAACGGACGGCACCUCCGCGUUCAACACACGUACGGUCAGCGUGACGUCUCCUCCUUCUUGAUCCAGCAAGGGGAAGGAGAGGUUGAGGAAGAUGGCUCCAGCAGCAGCACGACGGCGUGAUGGUGGUGGAGAAGCAGUACUCCGACUAGGCUUCGCCGAGCUCUACGGAGGAGGAGGAGGUGUUGGAGGGGAGAGGGAGGCGCCAAGGGCAUGGGUGCGGCUGCCCUCCCUCCCCCCUCUAUAUAUAGGGUCCCCAAGGGGGGCGCCGGCCCUGGAGAUCCAAUCUCCCAAGGGGCGGCGGCCAAGGGGGGUGGAGUGCCCCCCAAGGCAAGUGGGGCGCCCCCCACCCUAGGGUUCCCAACCCUAGGAGCAGGGGGAAGGCCCAAGGGGGGCGCACCAGCCCACUAGGGGCUGGUUCCCCUCCCACUUCAGCCCAUGGGGCCCUCCGGGAUAGGUGGCCCCACCCGGUGGACCCCCGGGACCCUUCCGGUGGUCCCGGUACAAUACCGGUGACCCCGAAACUUGUCCCGAUUGCCGAAAUAGCACUUCCUAUAUAUAAUUCUUUACCUCCGGACCAUUCCGGAACUCCUUGUGACGUCCAGGAUCUCAUCCGAGACUCCUAACAACUUUCGGGUUACUGCAUAUUCAUAUCCCUACAACCCUAGCGUCAUCGAACCUUAAGUGUGUAGACCCUACGGGUUUGGGAGACAUGUAGACAUGACCGAGAUGGCUCUCCGGUCAAUAACCAACAAUGGGAUCUAGAUACCUAUGUUGGCUCCCACAUGCUCCUCGAUGAUCUCAUCGGAUGAACCACGAUGUCGAGGAUUCAAGCAACCCCGUAUACAAUUCCCUUUGUCAAUCGGUACGUUACUUGCCCGAGAUUCGAUCGUCGGUACAAUACCUCGUUCAAUCUCGUUACCGGCAAGUCACUUUACUCGUACUGUAAUGCAUGAUCCCGUGACCAGACACUUGGUCACUUUGAGCUCAUUGUGAUGAUGCAUUACCGAAUGGGCCCAGAGAUACCUCUCCGUCAUACGGAGUGACAAAUCCCAGUCUUGAUCCGUGUCAACCCAACAGACACUUUCGGAGAUACCUGUAGUAUACCUUUAUAGUCACCCAGUUACGUUGUGACGUUUGGUACACCCAAAGCACUCCUACGGUAUCCGGGAGUUACACGAUCUCAUGGUCUAAGGAAAGGAUACUUGACAUUGGAAAAACUCUAGCAAACGAACUAUACAAUCUUGUGCUAUGUUUAGGAUUGGGUCUUGUCCAUCACAUCAUUCUCCUAAUGAUGUGAUCUCGUUAUCAAUGACAUCCAAUGUCCAUUGUCAGGAAACCAUGACUAUCUGUUGAUCAACGAGCUAGUCAACUAGAGGCUUACUAGGGACAUGUUGGUUUCUAUUUAUUCACACAUGUAUUACGAUUUCCGGAUAACACAAUUAUAGCAUGAAUAAAAGACAAUUAUCAUGAACAAGGAAAUAUAAUAAUAAUGCUUUUAUUAUUGCCUCUAGGGCAUAUUUCCAACACUCAAUUCCAUUUUUUAUAGUUUUCUUUUAUAAACUAAACUAGUGAUAAAACAAGAAACAAAAAGAUUCGACUUCAAGAUCUAAAGAUAUACCUUCAAGCGCUAACCUCCCCGGAACGGCGCCAGAAAAGAGCUUGAUGUCUACUACACAACCUUCUUCUUGUAGACGUUGUUGGGCCUCCAAGUGCAGAGGUUUGUAGGAUAGUAUAAAAUUUCCCUCAAGUGGAUGACCUAAGGUUUAUCAAUCCAUAGGAGGCGUAGGAUAAAUAUGGUCUCUCUCAAGCAACCCUGCAACCAAAUAACAUGGAGUCUCUUGUGUCCCCAACACACCCAAUACAAUGGUAAAUUGUAUAGGUGCACUAGUUCGGCGAAGAGAUGGUGAUACAAGUGGUAUAUUGAUGGUAGAUAAAGGUUUUUGUAAUCUGAAAAUAUAAAUACAGCAAAGUAACUAAUGAUAAAAGUGAGCGUACACGCUAUUGCAAUGCUAGGAAAAAAGGCCUAGGGUUCAUACUUUCACUAGUGCAAGUUCCCUCGACAAUAAUAACAUAAUUGAAUCACAUAAUUAUCCCUCAACAUGCAACAAAGUGUCACUCCAAAGUCACUAAUAGUGGAGAACGAACGAAGAGAUUAUGGUAGGGUAUGAAACCACCUCAAAGUUAUUCUUUCCAAUCAAUCCGUUGGGCUAUUCCUAUAAGUGUCACAAACAACCCUAGAGUUUGUACUAGAAUAACACCUUAAGACACAAAUCAACCAAAACCCUAAUGUCACCUAGAUACUCCAAUGUCACCUCAAGUAUCCGUGGGUAUGAUUAUACGAUAUGCAUCACACAAUCUCAGAUUCAUCUAUUCAACCAACACAUAGAACCUCAAAGAGUGCCCUAAAGUUUCUAUCGGAGAAUCACGACGAAACCGUGUGCCAACCCCUAUGCAUAGGUUCAUGGGAGGAACCCGCAAGUUGAUCACCAAAACAUACAUCAAGAGAAUCACGUGGUAUCCCAUUGUCACCACAGAUACGCAUGGCAAGACAUACAUCAAGUGUUCUCAAAUCUUUAAAGACUCAAUCCGAUAAGAUAACUUCAAAGGGAAAACUCAAUCCAUUACAAGAGAGUAGAGGGGGGAGAAAACAUCAUAAGAUCCAACUAUAAUAGCAAACUCACAAUACAUCAAGAUCGUACCACCUCAAGAACACGAGAGAGAGAGAGAGAGAGAGAGAGAGAGAGAGAGAGAGAGAUCAAACACAUAGCUACUGGUACAUACCCUCAGUCCCGAGGGAGAACUACUCCCUCCUCGUCAUGGAGAGCAUCGGGAUGAUGAAGAUGACCACCGAAGAGGGAUUCCCCCUCCGGCAGGGUGCUGGAACGGGUCUCGAUUGUCUUUCGGUGGCAACGAAGGCUUCUGGCGGCAGAACUUCCGAUCUAUUGUGAUCCCCGAUCGUUUUAGGGUAUAUGGGUAUAUAUAGGAGGAAGAAGUACGUCAGGGGAGCCACGAGGGGCCCAUGAGGGUCGAGGGCGUGCCCAGGGGGGUGGGCGCGCGCCCCUACCUCGUGGCUUCCUCGAAGCUUCCUUGACGUGGACUCCAAGUCUCCCGGGUUGCUUUCCUUCCAAAAAUAAGUUCCGUGAAGUUUCAAGUCAAUUGGACUCCGUUUGAUUUUCCUUUUCUGCGAUACUCUAAAACAAGGAAAAAAAAGAAGCUGGCACUGGGUUCUAGGUUAAUAGGUUAGUCCCAAAAAAUCAUAUAAAAUAGCAUAUAAAUGCAUAUGAAACAUCCAAGGUUGAUAAUAUAAUAGCAUGGAACAAUCAAAAAUUAUAGAUACGUUGGAGACGUGUCAACGCCGCGUGGGUCGGGCAUCGUGAGCUUACGGUAGGCAUAAUGUGGUACCGCGUUGAAUUGAGCGAACGCGGUUCGUCUGAGUAGUGCCUGAUAAUCACUGCGAAAGGGGACGAUGUCGAAGAUUAACUCUUCGGCACGGUAAUUGUCUGGUGAUCCGGAGACUACUUCAAGGGCGAAGGAGCCUGUACAGCUGGCCUCCAUACCUGGUAUGAUACCUCUGAAGGUGGUUUUAGUGGGAUUGAUCACCGAAUGAUCGAUGACCAUCUUGCGCACUGUGUCCUAGUAAAGUAGGUUUAGACUGCUCCCUCCGUCCAUAAGGACUCGCGUGAGGUGGAACCCGUCAAUUAUUGGGUCGAGGACUAGUGCGGCUGGAUUGCCCUGAUUGGUGUUAACCGGACGAUCCGUGCGGUUGAAGGUGAUCGGCCCUAGUUUAUAUUGUGGGACGACUGGUUCCGUUAAGUCGACAUCCCUAAGGGUGUGCGUCCGGUCCGGGUUGGGAGUGUAGGUGCCGUUUACUACGUUCACCGUUUGGAUUUGCGGGGGAAAUUUCUUUUGCCCUCCUGUACUCGAUGAUCUGGGCUCCUCGUCGCCAUCGUCGCUUUGAGACCCCUUAUCUUUGUUUUUGGCACCUGACCUGCCGGCUUGUUUGAAGAUCCAGCAUUCUCUGUUGGUAUGAUUGGCUGGUGUUCAUGCGGUGCCAUGAAUUUGGCAUGGGCGGUUGAGUAUGCGGUACAGGCUGGACGGACCCGAAUUUGGCAUGGGAGGGGAAAGCCAGGGUUCGUCCCGUUCGGGUUCGACCCGACCGAGCCACAAACAACGACCGAGCUGGGUGGGCCCGAGUCAGUGGCGUGGCGCGCGCGGGUAUGCCACCAUGUCACCUGACACGUGGGCCCGCUCGGUUAGAUUCAUGGUCAAUACGUGCUUAUACGGCUGUCAAACCGUUUUGCAACACUUAGGCUUAGAGCUGGUACUGAAUUGCAAAAAUUGUGUCUAAUGGUACUGAUUCGUUACGACGUGCCGAAGUGUAGUAGUUUCUUGCAAUUAACUCAAACUCUACGGUUAUAUCACCUCGAUGUGUGAGUCAAUGUGUUUGAACCAAUCAAGAGUUGCAUGUGAAUGUUUCAAGUGUGAUUAAUAGGUCCGUGUUAUAACAGCCACACCUUGCGAAAGAAGAUAGCAAACACCCAAUCAUGUCUAGUAGUUCGAUAUGGGCGCAACUAUGGGUAGCUUAUAGCGACACGGAAGCCAGCGUUUCCUAAAGAAACUCUCGGUUGGGCCGCCCUAGAGACAAAUUAUUUUUCUCUCAUUUUUUCUUAAUAUUAUUUAUUUCUAUUUUAAAAAAUAAAAGUAAAUAUAUUCCACAAACAAAUACUGAAAUUCUGAAAAAAUGUUGGUCCAUUGUUAAAAAAAUAUUGAUAGCAUUAAACAAAUCAUGGUAACAAAAUAAUCUACACAUAUUUAAAAAAUUGUACGUGAAAUUAUAAUGAAUGUUAAAUUUGUUUAAAAAUGUUCCUAAUGUAAUGUACAACAUGAAACAAAUUAUACAUCAAAACAUAUAUUUGAAAAUUGUUAAUUGUUUAUUUGAAAAAUGUUAAAUGUGUAUAGAAAAAAAGGUUCCUGAUAUAUAAGACAAAUGCAUGAAGUACAUGCAAUUUUUUUUACAUCCAAAGAUAUAUUUUAAAAAUAUUAAUCAUGUAUUUUAAAACUGUUAAAUGUUUAUAGAGAAAAAAUGCUCCUGAUGCAUACGAAACAAUUUCCAAUGUGUAUGAAAAAAUUAGACAUGAAAUAAGUAUUUUAAAAAAAAAUUAAUGAUUCUAUUUAAAAAUAUUUCUCAUGUAGAUGGAAAGAAAACUCGACUUAAAAAAGACUCAAAAAGAAAAAGAACGUACAGAGAGCAAAUUAGAAACAACUGAGUGAACUAGCGAUAUGCGAGAACACGUUAAUGGUCCAGCCCAUACAUGAGGACUCCAGAGGUGAGCCUGAAUAGGUGUGAUAUAGCUAUGACGAUUUGACACCCUUCAUAGCUUCACGAAUGCUAUAUCUCGCGCAAAGCGAGAUUAGCAUUUGCCACGCCUGAAGGUGCAAGAAUAGCAUCAGGUCGUUGUAAGGUUUGCAAUCCUACCAUCAGAGCUUCUAUCCGAUUUAAAUCAUGUUUCUGGCAACCUUGGGUCAUUCGCUCGCGCUCAAGCCAUUCGCUCACAGGUUCCACACACUAGUUUGGUUACUUUUUUUUCUUAUUUUCUUUCUUCACCGGUUUUCUUUCAUUUUUUGAAAAAAAAAAUUCAUCGGUUUUCUUUGUGUCUUUCAUGUUUUACUCUUGUUUUCCUUUUUUACUCGUUUAUCUAUCCUUUUUUUUCUUUGUUUCUUUCUCAGUGUUCUUUGUUUAGGGUUUAGGGAUUUCUUUGUUUUCCUUUCUUUUAAUGUCAACCUUUUGACAUAUAUUUUUUGUAUAUAUCAAAAAUAUUUUUGAUAGAGAGGUUUAACAGUUUUCAAAUACAUGAUUACCCUUUUUAAAGUUAUAUUUUUUGACAUCUACUUGUUCCAUAAACAUAGUGAUGGGGUUAUACAUAAGGGAUGGGCCCAAGUACACAUAUGUCCCAGCCAAAGGCCCAGGGUAUUCAAGGAUACGGUCCCAAAGACAAUGGGGCAUUGGAGAUACAAGCCCAAGGCAUCAGAUACAAGGGGAAUACUCGCUAAGGAGUCAAGUGUCUAUAGUCGGAUUACACACCCCCUGACAGACAAGACUCAAUAGUCGGUCAUGAGAAAGAUAUGAGCAGUAAGAUCAUCUACAGUCGGACAUCAGCAAGAUAGGAGCAGUCGGACCAUCUACAGUCGGCUACGUCCUAGGAUGAUGUGACCCUCAUGAUGCAUUCAUCGCCGUUACAUAACUGACUAGUUAAAUACGCCAGUUAGUAUUAAUAAUAGCCACGAACAGUCGAUCAUGCAUGUGACCAUCAAUAGUAUUUACACCAGCCUGUUAUGGCACUCCCUCCUAGCGCACUCCAUAUAAGACAAGAGUAGGACAUCACACGGAGGGUUGAACUCUCUCACAUUGUAACCUACGCCAAGAGCGAGAUCACACAGGAGUAGGGCGUUACCAACACCAUAGAGGGCCCAAACCUAUAUAAUUCCUUGUGUUUAAUCCCAUCUGCUUUACAUACCAAUUAGCUUAUAAUUGCCUCUACAUUCACAUCACCAUAGUAUUGUCAUGGUUAUAUCCAUGACAAGAACUAAUUUUUUUUACAUUAUAUAUAAAAAAAUAAUAUUUUUAGAUGCAUGGUUUCUUCCAUACACAUUAUACAUGUUUGUAUACAUAUCAGGACCAUUUAUAUAUACACAUUAAAAAAACUAAUUACAUGAUUACUUUUUUUAAAAUGUAUACUUUUAUGUCUAAUAUUUUCAUACAUACUGUACAUUUUUUGUACAUCAGGAACCUUUUUAUAUUUACAUUUAACAUUUUCAAAUACAUAAUUAAUAUUUUUUACACAUAUAUUUUUAUAUCUACUUUUCCCUUAAACAUUAUACAUUUUUUUAUACAUCAGGAACAUUUUUUAUAUACCAAUUCAACAGUUUUGAAAUACAUGAUUAACAUGUCUCAUAUAUAUGUUUGUGUCUAUUUUUUCAUACAAAAUAUACAGUUUUUUAUUAAUUAGAAACAUGUUUCUGUACAUGUUUAAUAUUUUCUUAUAAUGCGCAAUUAACAUUUUCAACUUUUCUGUAUAAAGUGAAUUUUACAAUAGAUAUAUUCAGAAUAUUUCAUAAAAAAGGCAAAGUAAAAAAACAAAAAAAAUGCAAAUAUGUGUAAAAGGAAGGAAGAAACCGUAGAAGGCAUGUGUAGGCGCUGUGGCGGCCCAAUAGGUCUGCUGCACAUCCUACUAUCUUGUGUCAAUCGAGACAUAGGCUUGCCCUCUUAAGGAGCAACUAACCAACGGUUACCCCUUGGCGAGCUCCUGCAAGGGUCAUUGUUGUGGUAUGAGAGCACGCCAAGUGGUCCGUCCAACUGCUGUCACAUGUCGUGUGUUAGGUGCUUCCUGUGGAUUUCAUUUUCAUUUUUUAUUUUUUGUACGCGUUUUCGGGUUUCUGAUUGUCUUUUCAAUGGGUUUUGGAUUUCUGCUUUUUCCAUGGUUUUCUCUAGAUCAUGAAAGAAAAAUAUCUUUUUAUUUUCUUAUGAAGCACAACCCUGCUUCUAAAAAAACAAUUUUAUGCUUUCACGAGAAGCACAAUUUUUGUUUCUCAUGUAAUCACAAAAUUGCUUGCAGCAGGCGCACCACAUGUGCUUCCAUGAUUAGCAUAGCUAUGCUUCCACGCGAAUCAAAUAUGUGCUUAUGCUACAAGCACAACCUAUGCUUCCAUAUGCUUCUCGAAAAGAGAAAAGGCACACCCUGUGUUUUCACGAGAAGUACAUUUGUGCAUCCCUGAGAACUGUAGCCUUGCUUCCGUGAGAAGCACAGUCUAUCUAUUACCUAAUAUUAAAAGAUAGAAGAUCUCAUAGUUCUCCAUCAGUCACCUCUUCAUAAACCGUUGGUUUUGUGUUAAUCUUAUAGAUUGACGGCCGAGAUUUAAAAAUAGAUUUGCACAGGAAAAAAAAGAUCCGCAUUGACGAUCCAUCGUAGGUAUCCAUCCAUCCAACUUUCUUUGUUCUGCCCACAUCACGCUUGGUAAAAAAAGAAAAAAAAUCAGAAACCCAUCGAUGCACGAUUGAGUAAGCCGGGAUAAAAAACAGCUCAAUAAAAUAUGGCCAGCCACGCGCGAUCUUAGGAGAAAAAUUGUUUGCCACAUGAUCUAUCUCCUAGCUACGCCGAUCCUCAACGGCGAUCAUGCCAAGAUGUUCGCCAGGAUCCGCAACUCCGUCGACCACUCGGGUGACAUGCCACAGCGACACAACAGGGCAGCAGCGAGUGACAUGGCCGGCUUGCCGGGCCGCGCGCUCUCCGGCUCCAGGUGCGCGCGGCACACCAGACAUGACGCACAUCCAGGUAGUAAUGCAACUGCCCUCGAAGAAGUGAUGCCGGCAUUACACGCACCGCGUUGAGGUUCUGCAGCCACACACUCCACCGACGUUGCCCUCGCCUUGCAGCCGCUCUUCCUCUUACAACUGGUGCUCCUGCAGCCAGUGGCGGAGACAGGGGGGACCAGCAGGGCCCUGGCCCCCCCUAACAGCAGAGAUAUAGUGCUAAUUUGCAGAUGAAUAGUGCUAAAAUUAGUGAUUAAUUUCUGUCAAAUGCAUGUUUUUCAUUGGCUUGGCCCUCCCUAAGCAGUUUUAACAUCAUUCGGCCUGGUUGAUACAAUUUUCCUGGCUCCGCCAUUGCCUCCAACUGCCCCAGCUACCCUGGGGCUGGGGCGACGAUGUCGGCGCCUCGCGCGCUCUGUAGGUGAAGGUGGGGAGCGCGGGGAUGUCCUUGAUGCUCGGCCUGAGGUGGGUUGCCAGAGGCGGGUCGUCGCCGGUGCGGUGGAGCUUGCGCCACUCAGACAAGAGCGACCGGCCAUAGCGGACGGCCACGUACAAUACGACACUGACAAGGACAAUGAUGAUGAUGUACAACAGCAUCAGGAAGGAGAACAACAUGCUCGUCCUUAGGGGACAUGCGCCGACGCGUCCGGCACUCCGACGCAAUGGUGGUGUAUGCGCCGGUCAACAUGCAGUCCAUGCACACGUCGUCAUGGGCGGUGGCGACUCGGCCUACAUCUCCCUCCUGCCCUAUCGGUUCGCCAUUCUCCCGAGCGUCCACAACGCACACUCGCCGGUGGCCGCCACUCUAGAAGUCGAGUCUAGACCGUUCGCCCCAGGGAUCGUAGCUCAGCGCUCAUGGAGCCCUGCUCCAGUGCUCCCCCUAACCUAAUUUUGAAGGAGUAUUUUUGUCCCCGCAAAUUUGUUUUUUUUCUGGCCCGCCGCCGCCCAGAUCCAAGCCCUGUCUAGUCCUGUAUAACCCAGAACGUAUACGUACAGUACCCUGGUUCGAAAAAAAAAACAUCACACGACCCCACGUCCACGUAAGACCUGCCGAAUCCAAUCAUUCACACGAGCAGCUCCAUCAAUCUUGCGAGCAUUGACGCAGCUCCAUAAGUCACGUAGUAGAUCUCCAGCGGCGGCUAUCUCGUCGCCGGCGAUCUCGUCGGACAGCGGGCGCGACAACGUCGUGAAUCUCUAACGAGCGCGCACAGGUACCGCAUCCCGCGUCCCCCCUCUAGUCUCGCUCGCGGCAACAUCGAACGAACUGCCGCCGCCAGUGGUAGUGGUUAACCUAGCGGGGCGGGUAACCUAGCUACCUGGCGGCGCAUGUGAUCGUGGAUCUUGUUCCGGUAGUGCUGCUCCUCGUGAUCUGGGUUCACGUAGCGUCGGUUGCCGUCGGCUGUGCGCACCACUGGUAUCGUUAUUUGAUGUGGCGGCUAACCUAGGUAUCCGACGGCAGAGGUAAUCACAGAUCAAGCUAGGUUUUGAGAUCGUGCAGUUCCUCGCGAUUGAAAGUGAUCGCGACGGGUGCCGUGGCCAUCUUCCUUACUAAGUUGGGCAGAUCUGAACGGCCUCGGUUGCGGUUGUUUACAUAACAUCCGUGAUCGUGUGCUAUGUGUUUUAUAUUUCAUCAUUGAUAAUGUUUGCACAUGUGAUGAUACAUAAUAUUGGUUGUAGGAAAUGGCGGACGAGGAGUUAACUGAUAUCAUGGUAGACAUGGAGUUUGGAGAACUGAUGAAAGACUGGAUAGAAGAUUGGUCAGAUGAUGAAAAUUCAGAUCGUGAAGAUCGGUCAGAGAAUGGGAACGAAUGGGACGAUCUUAUUGUGAGUGGCAUUGUCAUGUUGUAAUUUUUUGGUGGCAUCCGACAACAUUAAAUCUUUGUGUUGAAAAUUUAUAGAUCGAUGAGCUUGAUGAUGAUCAGGAAAACAACUCAGAGCUCUCGAAUGAAGAUUACAUUAGUCAGGUACGUAAGUGAAAAAGAUUGUUGGCAUGCAAAUUGAAUUUCUUCUGGAAUAUUAUAUGAUAAGUAAUUAUGUAUUUGUGUUGUAUUUUUCAGUUCAUUCUCGAAUGUCAUAAUGCGUAUGACUAUUACGGUGAAUCCGACGCGGAGACAGGCCUUAACAACGAAUCAUUAGAUGCACCUGGUUCUGGGGAGUCCGAGUCGUCGGUCAUCAUGAGUGAGGUAUGUGUGUAAUCAAUGUUCUAUGGAAGUAAGUAAUGUUAAACCUUAGAAAUAUGUUUUCAUGGUUGUGGUUUGAUUGUGUAGGUGACACAAAAUGAUGGGGCAAAGAAUGUCCAAGAUACUGCCAGUGCAGAUGAUAAGAGGGAUAUGUUCAUGCAGAUAAUGGAAAUGACCUUUAUGUCUCACGAUGCUGCGUAUGAUUUCUACAACAGCUAUGCUAGAGAUAAUGGUUUCAGCAUUAGAAAGAAUAAGGUCAGGUAUAGCAAAACAGAGUCACGUCAUAUGCGUUAUAGGCGGUUUGUUUGUUCAAGACAAGGGAAACGUGACAGCAAGUUGCUAACCGAGGAAGGACACAGCCGUAGGCUCAGAGCCGAGACACGCUGCUUUUGCGAAGCGCACCUGACCGUCAAGCUUGACCAAAAGCAUGGGGUUUGGUAUGUUGAAAGUUUUGAGGACAAGCAUAGCCAUAUGUUGGCAGGACCGGACGAGGUACCUUUUCUUUGGUCCCACAGAAAAAUCAAAGAGUACCAGAAGCAUGAGAUAAUGUCCACGGCUCGGAGAGCUCGGGAAUCCGGACAUAGUUGGUCCUCAAGAUAGAGGAAAGGUCGCGACAUUGUUCCUCCACCACUGCAAUAUGAUGGGUGACCGGUGGAGAGUUAAUCUCCCUUUGAUCGGGUUUAAGCCCAAUCCGAUCAUAGUCCGUAGCGACUCCCAAGGCGGCGAUGCGAUCCAAGAGCUCGUUUAAGGGGGCGAGCUCCAUUGGAUCCAUCUGUUCGGCGAGUGCCGAUUUGACGUGGAGGCUGUUUUCGAUGACCCGAGAAGUCAUCAUCGGCUCGGCGGCCGAACAUGCGGUCAUGAUGAAACCGCCUAGCCGGAGAGUUUGGCCGACAACCAAAGCUCCCCCAACAGUAGUACCGUCUUUAAAGACGAGACGAGACAUUCUUCCUUCUGGCAACGACACAGAGGAACUCUCAAUGAAAGCUUCAAUGUCGGUGUCAAAACCAGCGGAUCUCGGGUAGGGGGUCCCGAACUAUGCGUCUAAGGCGGAUGGUAACAGGAGGCAGGGAACACGAUGUUUUACCUAGGUUCGGGCCCUCUUGAUGGAGGUAAAGCCCUAUGUCCUGCUUGAUUAAUAUUGAUGAUAUGGGUAGUACAAGAGUAGAUCUACCAGGAGAUCAGAGAGGCUAAACCCUAGAAGCUAGCCUAUGGUAUGAUUGUAUGUUGUCCUACGGACUAAAACCCUCCGGUUUAUAUAGACACCGGAGGGGGCUAGGGUUACACAAGGUCGGUUACAAAGGAGAAGAUGUACAUAUCCGUAUUGCCUAGCUUGCCUUCCACGCCAAGUAGAGUCCCAUCCGGACACGAGACGAAGUCUUCAAUCUUGUAUCUUCAUAGUCCAACAGUCCGGUCAAAGGAUAUAAUCCGGCUGUCCGGAGCCCCUAAUUCAGGACUCCCUCAGGCCCCCUGUUGCUCCACCGACGUACUCCUUCCUCCUAUAUAUACCUAUGUACCCCCAAAUGAUCAGAUACGGAGCCAAAACCCUAAUUCCACCGUCGUAACUUUCUGUAUCCACCGCCGGAGGGGGCAUCGAUCAUGGAGGGCUUCUACAUCAACACCAUAACCUCUCCGAUGAAGUGUGAGUAGUUUACCUCAGACCUACGGGUCCAUAGUUAGUACCUAGAUGGCUUCUUCUCUCUUUUUGGAUAUCAAUACAAUGUUCUCCCCCUCUCUUGUGGAGAUCUAUUCGAUGUAAUCUUCUUUUUGCGGUGUGUUUGUUGAGACCGAUGAAUUGUGGGUUUAUGAUCAAGUCUAUCUAUGAAUAAUAUUUGAAUCUUCUCUGAAUUCUUUUAUGUAUGAUUGGUUAUCUUUGCAAGUCUCUUCGAAUUAUCAGUUUGGUUUGUCCUACUAGAUUGAUCUUUCUUGCAAUGGGAGAAGUGCUUAGCUUUGGGUUCAAUCUUGCGAAGUCCUUUCCCGGUGACAGUAGGUGCAGCAAGGCACGUAUUGUAUUGUUGCCAUCGAGGAUAACAAGAUGGGGUUUUCUUCAUAUUGCAUGAGUCUAUCCCUCUACAUCAUGUCAACUUGCUUAAGGCGUCACUCUAUUUUUAACUUAAUACUCUAGAUGCAUGCUGGAUAGCGGUCCAAGAGUGGAGUAAUAGUAGUAGAUGCAGGCAGGAGUCGGUCUACUUGUCUCGGAUGUGAUGCAUAUAUACAUGAUCAUACCUAGAUAUUCUCAUAACUAUGCUCAAUUCUGUCAAUUGCUCAACAGUAAUUUGUUCACCCACCGUAGAAUACUUAUGCUCCCGAGAGAAGCCACUAGUGAAACCUAUGGCCCCCGGGUCUAUCUUUAUCAUAUUAAUCUCCUACCACUUAGUUAUUUCCUUUGCUAUUUACUUUGCCUUUAUUUUACUUUGCAUCUUUAUCAUAAAAAUACCAAAAAUAUUAUCUUUAUCAUAUCUAUCAUAUCUCACUCUCGUAAGUGGCCUUAUAGGGAUUGACAACCCCUAUUUGCGUUGGUUGCGAGGAUUUAUUUGUUUUGUGCAGGUACGAGGGACUCGCGUGCAGCCUCCUACUGGAUUGAUACCUUGGUUCUCAAAAACUGAGGGAAAUACUUACGCUACUUUGUUGCAUCAUCACUUCCUCUUCGGGGAAAACCAACACAGUGCUCAAGAGGUAGCAAGAAGGAUUUCUGGCGCCGUUGCCGGGGAGGUCUACGCAAAAGUCAACAUACCAAGUACCCAUCACAUACCCUUAUCUCCCGCAUUACAUUAUUUGCCAUUUGCCUCUCGUUUUCCUCUCACCCACUUCACCCUUGCUGUUUUAUUCGCCCUCUCUCUCUCUAUCCUCCCUCUCUUUCUCUAUUUGCCUCUUUUUGCCCGCUUGCUUUUUGUUUGCUUGUGUGUUAGUUUGUUUGCUUGUCGUUAUGGCUAGUCCCUUACCUUCUCCGUUGUCUCCCAAGAAUGAAAUUUUAAAUUUUAAGCAAAGGGAGGGAGAAAAUCUAAAAGAUGCUUCGUAUAGAAUUUGCAAUGCUCAAAAUAGAUCAACUAGGAAGCAAUCUACUUCCGUUCUUCUUUGCAAUUUUUAUGUAGGCAUUACUCCUUGGCACCGUUAUGUUCUUGAUACUAUUACCGGAGGGAACUUUUUGGGUAGCCAUACUUUUGAUUCUUAAAAUGCUAUGUUAGAUUUAUUUGUUUCACCCCCUCUCUUGGUUAAUGGAACUAUAUUAACUUUGGAGCAUGUAAUGCAACGGCUUGAAAUUAUUGAAAAUAAGGUUGCUACCAUAGAAUUAAUUGAAAAUUUGGAUAUGGAUCUAAAGUAGGAGUUACUUUGAAAGAUAUUAAAGAAAAGGAACCCAUAGUUAAUGAGAAAAUAAAUCAUGAUUCCACUAGGAUCGAUAAACUUGAAGGUAUUAUUACCAACUUGGGAACCGCUUUUUCUUCUGUAAAGAAUACUCCAAGUCCUCCCAGUAAAAUUACCAAGCUUAUGUAUGUUCCUAAAAAUAAGGGUGAAUCCUCUAGUAAGGAAAAUGCGGAUCUCAAAUCUAGAAGUAUUCAUCCCAAUCUUUUUACUAUCAUUAAGGAACCAUUUGUUACAAAUGAGUUUUUUGAUGUUGUGCCUAAAAGUUUGAUAAUUAAUAAAAAGAAAGAAAUUCCUAAAGAUGGUAGAUGCCUCAUUGAAUAAUUACCUACCAAAGAUGGCAAUACUUAGAUCUAUCCCUGCUUGUUAUGCCUAGCUAGGGGCGUUAAACGAUAGCGCUUGUUGGGAGGCAACCCAAUUUUAUUUUUAUUCCUUGAGUUUUGCUCCUGUUUAGUAAUAGAUAAUUAUCUAGCCUCUGUUAUGAUUGUGUUUUUUGUGUUUAAAUUAGUGUUUGUGCCAAGUAGAACCGUUGGGAAGACUUGGGGAAAGUCUUGUUGAAUUUGCUGUAAAAACAGAAACUUUAGCGCUCACAAGAACUGCUGUCAUUUUUAUUUGAAAAGUGAUAUUUAGUUCAUUCUUUUUGCAUAUGAUUAAUAUAUAAAUUCCUCACGUCCAGAAAAUUAUUUUAGAAUUUUUGGGGUUCCAUAUCUUGCGCUAGCUACAGAUUACUACAGACUGUUCUGUUUUUGACAGAUUCUGUUUUUCGUGUGUUGUUUGCUUAUUUUGAUGAAUCUAUGGCUAGUAAAAUGGUUUAUAAACCAUAGAUAAGUUGGAAUACAGUAGGUAUAACACAAAUAUAAAUAAAUAAUGAGUUCAUUACAGUACUUUGAAGUGGUCUUUUAUUUUCUUUCGCUAACGGAGCUCACGAGAUUCUCUACUUUAAGUUUUGUGUUGUGAAGUUUUCAAGUUUUGGGUAAAGAUUUGAUGGAUUAUGGAACAAGGAGUGGCAAGAGCCUAAGCUUGGGGAUGACCAUGGCACCCCCAAGAUAAUCUAAGGACACCUAAAAGCCAAAGCUUGGGGAUGCCCCGGAAGGCAUCCCCUCUUUCGUCUACUUCUAUCGGUAACUUUACUUGGAGCUAUAUUUUUAUUCGCCACAUGAUAUGUGUUUUGCUUGGAGCGUCUUGUAUGAUUUGAGUCUUUUCUUGUUAAUUUACCACAAUCAUCCUUGCUGUACACACCUUUUGAGAGAGCCAUACAUUAUUUGGAAUUUCUUAGAAUACUCUAUGUGCUUCGCUUAUAUCUUUUGAGUUAUAUAAUUUUGCUCUAGUACUUCGCUUAUAUCUUUUAGAGCACGGUGGUGGAUUUGUUUUAUAUAAACUAUUGAUCUCUCAUGCUUCACUUAGAUCAUUUUUGAGAGUCUUAAUAGCAUGUUAAUUUGCUUAAAAUCCUAAUAUGCUAGGUAUUCAAAGUUAGUAAAAUUUCCUUAAGAGUGUUUUGAAUACUAAAGUUUGAUGCUUGAUGAUUGUUUUGAGAUAUGGAGAUAAUAAUAUCAAAGUCGUGCUAGUUGAGUAGUUGUGAAAUUGAGAAAUACUUGUGUUGAAGUUUGCAAGUCCCGUAGCAUGCACGUAUGGUAAACGUUAUGGAACAAAUUUGAAAGAUGAGGUGUUAUUUGAUUGUCUUCCUUAUGAGUGGCGGUCGGGGACGAGCGAUGGUCUUUUCCUACCAAUCUAUCCCCCUAGGAGCAUGCGCGUAGUACCGAGGUUUUUGAUGACUUGUAGAUUUUUGCAAUAAGUAUGUGAGUUCUUUAUGACUAAUGUUGAGUCCAUGGAUUAUACGCACUCUCACCCUUCCAUCCUUGCUUGCCUCUUCGGUACCGUGCAUUGCCCUUUCUCACAUUGAGAGUUGGCGCAAAGUUCGCCGGUGCAUCCAAACCCCGUGAUAUGAUACGCUCUUUCACACAUAAACCUCCUUAUAUCUUCCUCAAAACAGCCACCAUACCUACCUAUUAUGGCAUUUCCAUAGCCAUUCCGAGAUAUAUUGCCAUGCAACUUUCCAUCAUCCCGUUCAUCAUCACACAUUCAUUAUUGUCAUAUUGCUUAGCAUGAUCAUGUAGUUGAUAUAGUAUUUGUGGCAAACCCACCGUUCAUAAUUCUUUCAUACAUGUCACUCUUGGUCCAUUGCAUAUCCCGGUACACCGCCGGAGGCAUUCAUAUAGAGUCAUAUUUUGUUCUAAGUAUCGAGUUGUAAUUGUUCAGUUGUAAGAAAAAUGAAAGUGUGAUGAUCAUCAUUAUUAGAGCAUUGUCCCAGUGAGGAAAGGAUGAUGGAGACUAUGAUUUCCCCACAAGUCGGGAUGAGACUCCGGACGAAAAAAAAAGAAAAAAAGAGGCCAUAAAAAAAGAGAAAAGGCCCAAAUAAAAAAAGAGAGAGAAAAAGAGAGAAGGGACAAUGUUACUAUCCUUUUACCACACUUGUGCUUCAAAGUAGCACUAUGAUCUUCAUAGUAGAGAGUCUCUCAUGUUAUCACUUUCAUAUACUAGUGGGAAUUUUUCAUUAUAGAACCUGGCUUGUAUAUUCCAAUGAUGGGCUUCCUCAAGUGCCCUAGGUCUUCGUGAUCAAGCAAGUUGGAUGCACACCCACUAGUUUCUUUUGUUGAGCUUUCAUACAUUUAUAGCUCUAGUGCAUCCAUUGCAUGGCAAUCCCUACUUCUUGCAUUAACAUCAAUCGGUGGGCAUCUCCAUAGCCCAUUGAUUAGCCUCGUUGAUGUGAGACUUUCUCCUUUUUUGUCUUCUCCACAUAACCCCCCUCAUUAUAUUCUAUUCCACCCAUAGUGCUAUGUCCAUGGCUCGCGCUCAUAUAUUGCGUGAAAGUUUAUAGGUUUGAGAUUACUAAAGUAUGAAACAAUUGCUUGGCUUGUCAUCGGGGUUGUGUAUGAUGAGAGCAUUCUUGUGUGACGAAAAUGAAACCUGACUAAACCAUAUGAUUUUGUAGGGAUGAACUUUCUUUGGCCAUGUUAUUUUGAGAAAACAUAAUUGUUUAGUUAGUAUGCUUGAAGUAUUAUUAUUUUUAUGUCAAUAUGAACUUUUGUCUUGAAUCUUUCGAAUCUAAAUAUUCAUACCACAAUUAAGAAGAAUUACAUUAAAAUUGUGCCAAGUAGCACUCCGCAUCAAAAAUUCCGUUUUUUUCAUUUACCUACUCAAGGACGAGCAGGAAUUAAGCUUGGGGAUGCUUGAUACGUCUCCAACGUAUCUACAAUUUUUGAUUGCCCCAUGCUAUAUUAUCUACUGUUUUGGACAUUACUAGGCUUUAUUAUCCACUUUUAUAUUAUUUUUGGGACUAACCUAUUAACCGGAGGCCCAGCCCAGAAUUGUUGUUUUUUUGCCUGUUUUAGGGUUUCGAAGAAAAGGAAUAUCAAACGGAGUCCAAACGGAAUGAAACCUUCGGGAACGUGAUUUUUAGGAAGAUUAUGAUCCGGGAGACUUGGACCCUAUGUCAAGAAAAGAAACAGGAGGCCACGAGGUAGGGGGCGCGCCCCCCCCCCCCCCCCCAGGCACACCCUCCACCCUCGUGGGCCCCCUGUUUCUCCACCGACGUACUCCUUCCUCCUAUAUAUACCUAUGUACCCCCAAACGACCAGAUACGGAGCAAAAACCCUAAUUCCACUUCCGUAACUUUCUGUAUCCACGAGAUCCCAUCUUGGGGCCUGUUCCGGAGCUCCGCCGGAGGGGGCAUCGAUCACGGAGGGCUUCUACAUCAACACCAUAGCCUCCCCAAUGAAGUGUGAGUAGUUUACCUCAGACCUAUGGGUCCAUAGUUAGUACUUAGAUGGCUUCUCCUCUCUUUUUGGAUCUCAAUACAAUGUUCUCCCCCUCUCUUCUGGAGAUCUAUUCGAUGUAAUCUUCUUUUUGCGGUGUGUUUGUUGAGAUCGAUGAAUUGUGGGUUUAUGAUCAAGUCUAUCUAUGAAUAAUAUUUGAAUCUUCUCUGAAUUCUUAUGUAUGAUUGGUUAUCUUUGCAAGUAUCUUCGAAUUAUCAGUUUGGUUUGGCCUACUAGAUUGAUCUUUCUUGCAAUGGGAGAAGUGCUUAGCUUUGGGUUCAAUCUUGUGGUGUCCUUUCCCAGUGAGAGUAGGGGCAGCAAGGCACGUAUUGUAUUGUUGCCAUCGAGGAUAACAAGAUGGGGUUUUCUUCAUAUUGCAUGAGUCUAUCCCUCUACAUCAUGUCAUCUUGCUUAAGGCGUUACUCUGUUUUUAACUUAAUACUCUCGAUGCAUGCUGGAUAGCGGUCGAUGAGUGGAGUAAUAGUAGUAGAUGCAGGCAGGAGUCGGUCUACUUGUCCCGGACGUGAUGCCUAUAUACAUGAUCAUACCUAGAUAUUCUCAUAACUAUGCUCAAUUCUGUCAAUUGCUCAACAGUAAUUAGUUCAACCACCGUAGAAUACUUAUGCUCUUGAGAGAAGCCACUAGUGAAACCUAUGGCCCCCGGGUCUAUCUUUAUCAUAUUAAUCUCCUACUACUUAGUUAUUUCCUCUGCUAUUUACUUUGCCUUUAUUUUACUUUGCAUGUUUAUCAUAAAAAUACCAAAAAUAUCAUCUUUAUCAUAUUUAUCAGAUCUCACUCUCGUAAGUGGCCUUAUAGGGAUUGACAACCCCUGUUUGUGUUGGUUGCGAGGAUUUAUUUGUUUUGUGUAGGUACGAGGGACUCACGCAUAGCCUCCUACUGGAUUGAUACCUUGGUUCUCAAAAAAUGAGGGAAAUACUUACGCUACUUUGUUGCAUCAUCCCUUCCUCUUCGGGGAAAACCAACGCAGUGCUCAAGAGGUAGCAGAUAGGCAUCCAAGAUGGGUAUAAUAAAAACUAUCAUAAAAAGUGCAUUGAAUACUAUGAGAAGUGUGAUACUUGAUGAUUGUUUUGAGAUAUCAAGAUGGUGAUAUUAGAGUCAUGCUAGUUGAGUAAUUGUGAAUUUGAGAAAUACUUGUUCUAAAGUUUGUGAUUCCCCUAGCAUGGACAUAUGGUGAACCGUUAUGUGAUGAAGUCAGAGCAUGAUUUUUUAUUGAUUGUCUUCCUUAUGCGUGGCGGUCAGGGACGAGGCGAUGGUCUUUUCCUACCAAUCUACCCCCCUAGGAGCAUGCAAUGCACGUAGUACUUUGUUUCGAUAACUAAUAGAUUUUUGCAAUAAAUAUGUGAGUUCUUUAUGACUAAUGUUGAGUCCAUGGAUUAUACGCACUCUCACCCUUCCACCAUUGCUAGCCUCUCUAAUAUUGUGCACCUUUCGCUGGUAUCAUACAUCUACCAUAUACCUACCUCAAAACAGCCACCAUACCUACCUAUUAUGGAAUUUCCAUAGCCAUUCCGAGAUAUAUUGCCAUGCAACUUUCCACCGUUCCGUUUGUUAUGACACGCUUCAUCGUUGUCAUAUUUCUUUGCAUGAUCAUGUAGUUGACAUCGUAUUUGUGGCAAAGCCAUCUUUAUAAUUCUUUCAUACAUGUCUGUUGGGGAACGUUGCAGAAAACAAAAAUUUUCCUACAGUUUCACCAAGAUCCAUCUAUGAGUUCAUCUAGCAACGAGUGAUCGGAUAGCAUCUACAUACCUUUGUAGAUCACGCGCGGAAGCGUUCAAAGAAUGGGGAUGAGAAAUUCGUACUCGACGUGAUCCAAAUCACCGGAGAUCCUAGCGCCGAACGGACGGCACCUCCGCGUUCACGUACGGUCAGCGUGACGUCUCCUCCUUCUUGAUCCAGCAAGGGGGAAGGAGAGGUUGAGGAAGAUGGCUCCAGCAGCAGCACGACGGCGUGGUGGUGGUGGAGCAGCAGUACUCCGGCAGGGCUUCGCCAAGCUCGUGACGGAGGAGGAAAUGUGUUGGGGAGGGGAGGGGCUGUGCCUUGGAUGUCCUCUGCAGCCCUUCCCUCACCCCUCUAUUUAUAGGGGAAGGAGGAAGGGGGCCGGCCCCCUCUAGAUGAGAUCUAGAGGGGGGGCGGCGGCCAAGGGGAGGGGGGCUUGCCCCCCAAGCAAGGGGCGCACCCCCUUAGGGUUUCCCCCAACCCUAGGCGCAUGGGCCGUAGGGGGAGUGUGUUGGGUUUCGUUGUAAUUUCAAAAAAAUUCCUACGCACACGCAAGAUCAUGUGAUGCAUAGCAACGAGAGGAGAGUGUGAUCUACAUACCUAGUAGAUCGACAACGGAAGCGUUUGGUUGAUGUAGUCGUACGUCUUCACGAUCCAACCGAUCAAGCACCGAAACUACGUCACCUCCGAGUUCGAGCACACGUUCAGCUCGAUCACGAUCCCCGGACUCCGAUCCAGCAAAGUGUCGGGGAAGAGUUCCGUCAGCACGACGGCGUGGUGACGAUCUUGAUGCACUAUAGCAGCAGGGCUUGGCCUAAACUCCGCUACAGUAUUAUCGAGGACUAUGGUGGCUGGGGCGCCGCACACGGCUAAGGAAUAGAUCACGUGGAUCAACUUGUGUGUUUCUGGGGUGCCUCUGCCUCAGUAUAUAAAGGACCAAAGGGGGGAGGCUGGCCGGCCACAUAGGGCGCGCCAGGAGAGUCCUACUCCCUCUGGGAGUAGGAUCCCCCCCCCAAUCCUAGUUGGAAUAGGAUUCGCGGAGGGGGAAAAGAGAGAGGGGAGGCUGGCCACCUCUCCUUCUCCUAAUAGGACUAGGGGAGGGAGGGAGGCGCGCAUCCCAUCUUGGGCAGCCCCUUCUCUUUUCCGCCAAGGCCCACUAAGGCCCAUAUAGCUCGCGGGGGGUUCCGGUAACCUCCCGGUACUCCGGUAAAAUCCCGAUUUCACCCGGAACACUUCCGAUAUCCAAACAUAGGCUUCCAAUAUAUCAAUCUUUAUGUAUCGACCAUUUCGAGACUCCUCGUCAUGUUCGUGAUCACAUCCGGGACUCCGAACAACCUUCGGUACAUCAAAAUGCAUAAACUCAUAAUAUAAUUGUCAUCGUAACCUUAAGCGUGCGGACCCUACGGGUUCGAGAACAAUGUAGACAUGACCGAGACACAUCUCCAGUCAAUAACCAAUAGCGGGACCUGGAUGCCCAUAUUGGCUCCUACAUAUUCUACGAAGAUCUUUAUCGGUCAGACCGCAUAACAACAUACGUUGUUCCCUUUGUCAUCGGUAUGUUACUUGCCCGAGAUUCGAUCGUCGGUAUUCCAAUACCUAGUUCAAUCUCGUUACCGGCAAGUCUCUUUACUCGUUCUGUAAUACAUCAUUCCGCAACUAACUCAUUUAGUUGCAAUGCUUGCAAGGCUUAAGUGAUUUGCAUUACCGAGAGGGCCCAGAGAUACCUCUCCGACAAUCGGAGUGACAAAACCUAAUCUCGAAAUACGCCAACCCAACAUGUACCUUUGGAGACACCUGUAAUACUCCUUUAUAAUCACCCAGUAACGUUGUAACGUUUGGUAGUACCCAAAGUGUUCCUCCGGUAAACGGGAGUUGCAUAAUCUCAUAGUUAUAGGAACAUGUAUAAGUCAUGAAGAAAGCAAUAGCAACAUAUUAAACGAUCGGGUGCUAAGCUAAUGGAAUGGGUCAUGUCAAUCAGAUCAUUCUCUUAAUGAUGUGAUCCCUUUAAUCAAAUAACAACUCAUUGUUCAUGGUUAGGAAACAUAACCAUCUUUGAUUAACGAGCUAGUCAAGUAGAGGCAUACUAGUGACACUUUGUUUGUCUAUGUAUUCACACAUGUAUUAUGUUUCCGGUUAAUACAAUUCUAGCAUGAAUAAUAAACAUUUAUCAUGAUUAUAAGGAAAUAAAUAAUAACUUUAUUAUUGCCUCUAGGGCAUAUUUCCUUCAGUCUCCCACUUGCACUAGAGUCAAUAAUCUAGAUUACACUGUAAUGAUUCUAACACCCAUGGAGCCCUGGUGUUGAUCAUGUUUUGCUCGUGGAAGAGGCUUAGUCAACGGGUCUGCAACAUUCAGAUCCGUAUGUAUCUUGCAAAUUCUAUGUCUCCCACCUGGACUAGAUCCCGGAUGGAAUUGAAGCGUCUCUUGAUAUGCUUGGUUCUCUUGUGAAAUCUGGAUUCCUUUGCCAAGGCAAUUGCACCAGUAUUGUCACAAAAGAUUUUCAUUGGACCCGAUGCACUAGGUAUGACACCUAGAUCGGAUAUGGACUCCUUCAUCCAGACUCCUUCGUUCGCUGCUUCCGAAGCAGCUAUGUACUCCGCUUCACAUGUAGAUCCCGCUACGACGCUUUGUUUAGAACUGCACCAACUGACAGCUCCACUGUUCAAUGUAAACACAUAUCCGGUUUGCGAUUUAGAAUCGUCCGGAACAGUGUCAAAGCUUGCAUCAACGUAACCAUUUACGACGAGCUCUUUGUCACCUCCAUAUACGAGAAACAUAUCCUUAGUCCUUUUCAUGUAUUUUAGGAUGUUCUUGACGGCUGUCCAGUGAUCCACUCCUGGAUUACUUUGGUACCUCCCUGCUAGACUUAUAGCAAGGCACACAUCAGGUCUGGUACACAGCAUUGCAUACAUGAUAGAUCCUAUCGCUGAUGCAUAGGGAACAUCUUUCAUAUUCUCUCUAUCUUCUGCAGUGGUCGGGCAUUGAGUCUUACUCAAUUUCACACCUUGUAACACAGGCAAGAAUCCUUUCUUUGCUUGAUCCAUUUUGAACUUCUUCAAAAUUUUGUCAAGGUAUGUUGUUUGUGAAAGUCCAAUUAAGCGUCUUGACCUAUCUCUAUAGAUCUUUAUGCCUAAUAUGUAAGCAGCUUCACCGAGGUCUUUCAUUGAAAAACUCUUAUUCAAGUAUCCCUUUAUGCUAUCCAGAAAUUCUAUAUCAUUUCCAAUCAGUAAUAUGUCAUCCACAUAUAAUAUCAGAAAUGCUACAGAGCUCCCACUCACUUUCUUGUAAAUACAGGCUUCUUCGAAAGUCUGUAUAAAAUAAAAUGCUUUGAUCACACUAUCAAAGCAUUUAUUCCAACUCCGAGAGGCUUGCACCAGUCCAUAAAUGGAUCGCUGGAGCUUGCACACUUUGUUAGCUCCUUUUGGAUCGACAAAACCUUCUGGUUGCAUCAUAUACAACUCUUCUUCCAGAAAUCCAUUCAGGAAUGCAGUUUUGACAUCCAUUUGCCAAAUUUCAUAAUCAUAAAAUGCGGCAAUUGCUAACAUGAUUCGGACAGACUUAAGCAUCGCUACGGGUGAGAAGGUCUCAUCGUGGUCAACCCCUUGAACUUGUCGAAAACCUUUUGCGACAAGUCGAGCUUUGUAGACAGUAACAUUACCGUCAGCGUCAGUCUUCUUCUUGAAGAUCCAUUUAUUCUCAAUUGCUUACCGAUCAUCGGGCAAGUCAACCAAAGUCCAUACUUUGUUCUCAUACAUGGAUCCCAUCUCAGAUUUCAUGGCUUCAAGCCAUUUUGCGGAAUCUGGGCUCACCAUCGCUUCUUCCUAGUUCGCAGGUUCAUCAUGAUCUAGUAGCAUGACUUCCAGAACAGGAUUACCGUACCACUCUGGUGCGGAUCUUACUCUGGUUGAUCUAUGAGGUUCAGCAGUAUCUUGAUCUGAAGUUUCAUGAUCAUUAUCAUUAGCUUCCUCACUAACUGGUGUAGGUGUCACUGAAACAAUUUUCUGUGAUGUACUACUUUCCAAUAAGGGAGCAGGUACAGUUACCUCGUCAAGUUCUACUUUCCUCCCACUCACUUCUUUCGAGAGAAACUCCUUCUCUAGAAAGUUUCCGAAUUUAGCAACAAAAGUCUUGCCUUCGGAUCUGUGAUAGAAGGUGUGUCCAAUAGUUUCCUUUGGAUAUCCUAUGAAAACACAUUUCUCUGAUUUGGGUUCGAGCUUAUCAGGUUGAAGCUUUUUCACAUAAGCAUCGCAGCCCCAAACUUUCAGAAACGACAACUUUGGUUUCUUGCCAAACCACAGUUCAUAAGGCGUCGUCUCAACGGAUUUUGAUGGUGCCCUAUUUAAAGUGAAUGCGGCCGUCUCUAGAGCGUAUCCCCAAAAUGAUAGUGGUAAAUCAGUAAGAGACAUCAUAGAUCGCACCAUAUCUAGUAAAGUACGAUUACGACGUUCGGACACACCAUUACGCUGUGGUGUUCCGGGCGGCGUGAGUUGCGAAACUAUUCCACAAUUUUUCAAAUGUACACCAAACUCGUAACUCAAAUAUUCUCCUCCACGAUCAGAUCGUAGAAACUUUAUUUUCUUGUUACGAUGAUUUUCAACUUCACUCUGAAAUUCCUUGAACCUUUCAAAUGUUUCAGACUUAUGUUUCAUUAAGUAGAUAUACCCAUAUCUGCUUAAAUCAUCUCUGAAGGUGAGAAAAUAACGAUAUCCGCCACGAGCCUCAAUAUUCAUCGGACCACAUACAUCUGUAUGUAUGAUUUCCAACAAAUCUGUUGCUCUCUCCAUAGUACCGGAGAACGGUGUUUUGGUCAUCUUGCCCAUAAGGCACGGUUCGCAAGUACUAAGUGAUUCAUAAUCAAGUGGUUCCAAAAGUCCAUCAGAAUGGAGUUUCUUCAUGCGCUUUACACCGAUAUGACCUAAACGGCAGUGCCACAAAUAAGUUGCACUCUAAUUAUCAACUCUGCAUCUUUUGGCUUCAACAUUAUGAAUAUGUGUGUUACUACUAUCGAGAUUCAACAAGAAUAGACCACUCUUCAAGGGUGCAUGACCAUAAAAGAUAUUACUCAUAUAAAUAGAACAACCAUUAUUCUCUGAUUUAAAUGAAUAACCGUCUCGCAUCAAACAAGAUCCAGAUAUAAUGUUCAUGCUUAACGCUGGCACCAAAUAACAAUUAUUUAGGUCUAACACUAAUCCCGAAGGUAGAUGUAGAGGUAGUGUGCCGACUGCGAUCACAUCGACUUUGGAACCGUUUCCCACGCGCAUCGUCACCUCGUCCUUAACCAAUCUUCGCUUGAUCCGUAGUCCCUGUUUCGAGUUGCAAAUAUUAGCAACAGAACCAGUAUCAAAUACCCAGGUGCUACUGCAAGCAUUAGUAAGGUACACAUCAAUAACAUGUAUAUCACAUAUACCUUUGUUCACCUUGCCAUCCUUCUUAUCCACCAAAUACUUGGGGCUGUUCCGCUUCCAGUGACCAGUCUGCUUGCAAUAGAAACACUCAGUUUCAGGCUUAGGUCCAGGUUUGGGUUUCUUCUCUUGAGUAGCAACUUGCUUGCCGUUCUUUUUGAAGUUCCCCUUCUUCUUCCCUUUGCCCUUUUUAUUGAAACUAGUGGUCUUGUUGACCAUCAACACUUGAUGCUCCUUCUUGAUUUCUACCUCCGCGGCUUUCAGCAUCACGAAGAGCUCGGGAAUAGUCUUGUUCAUCCCUUGCAUAUUAUAGUUCAUCACGAAGCUCUUGUAGCUUGGUGGCAGUGAUUGAAGAAUUCUGUCAAUGACGCGAUCAUCUGGAAGAUUAACUCCCAAUUGAAUCAAGUGAUUAUUAUACCCAGACAUUUUGAGUAUAUGCUCACUGACAGAACUGUUCUCCUCCAUCUUGCAGCUAUAGAACUUAUUGGAGACUUCAUAUCUCUCAAUCCGGGCAUUUGCUUGAAAUAUUAACUUCAACUCCUGGAACAUCUCAUAUGCUCCAUGACGUUCAAAACAUCGUUGAAGUCCCGAUUCUAAGCCGUAAAGCAUGGCACACUGAACUAUCGAGUAGUCAUCAGCUUUGCUCUGCCAGACAUUCAUAACAUCCGGCGUUGCUCCUGCAGCAGGGCUGGCACCCAGCGGUGCUUCCAGGACGUAAUUCUUCUGUGCAGCAAUGAGGAUAAUCCUCAAGUUAUGGACCCAGUCCGUGUAAUUGCUACCAUCAUCUUUCAACUUUGCUUUCUCAAGGAACGCAUUAAAAUUCAACGGAACAACAGCACGAGCCAUCUAUCUACAAUCAAACAUAAACAAGAAAGAUACUAAUCAGGUACUAAGUUUCAUGAUAAAUUUAAGUUCAGUUAAUCAAAUUAAUUAAAGAACUCCCACUUAGAUAGACAUCCCUCUAAUCCUCUAAGUGAUUACGUGAUCCAAAUCAACUAAACCAUAACCGAUCAUCACGUGAGAUGGAGUAGUUUUCAAUGGUGAACAUCGUUAUGUUGAUCAUAUCUACUAUAUGAUUCACGCUCGACCUUUCGGUCUCCGUGUUCCGAGGCCAUAUCUGUAUAUGUUGGCUCGUCAAGUAUAACCUGAGUAUUCCGCGUGUGCAACUAUUUUGCACCCGUUGUAUUUGAACAUAGAACCUAUCACACCCGAUCAUCACGUGGUGUCUCAGCAUGAAGAACUUUCGCAACGGUGCAUACUCAGGGAGAACACUUCUUGAUAAUUUAGUGAGAGAUCAUCUUAUAAUGCUACCAUCAAUCAAAGCAAGAUAAGAUGCAUAAAAGGAUAAACAUCACAUGCAAUCAAUAUAAGUGAUAUGAUAUGAGCAUCAUCAUCUUGUGCUUGUGAUAUCCAUCUCCGAAGCACCGUCGUGAUCAGCAUCGUCACCGGCGUGACACCUUGAUCUCCAUCGUAGCAUCGUUGUCGUCUCGCCAAGCUUGUGCUUCUACGACUAUCGCUACCGCUUAGUGAUAAAAGCAAAGCAUUACAUCGCGAUUGCAUUCCAUACAAUAAAACGACAACCAUAAGGCUCCUGCCAGUUGCCGAUAACUCGGUUACAAAACAUGAUCAUCUCAUACAAUAAAAUUCAGCAUCAUGUCUUGACCAUAUCACAUCACAACAUGCCCUGCAAAAACAAGUUAGACGUCCUCUACUUUGUUGUUGCAAGUUUUACGUGGCUGCUAUGGGCUUAAGCAAGAACCAAUCUUACCUACGCAUCAAAACUACAACGAUAGUUUGUCAAUUUGACUCCGUUUUAACCUUCGCAAGGACCGGGCGUAGCCAUACUCGGUUCAACUAAAGUUGGAGAGACAGUCGCCCGCAAGCCACCUAUGUGCAAAGCACGUCGGGGGAACCGGUCUCGCGUAAGCGUACGCGUAAUGUUGGCCGGGUCGUCUCGUCCAACAAUGCCGCCGAACCAAAGUAUGACAUGCUGGUAGGCAGUAUGACUUAUAUCGCCCACAACUCACUUGUGUUCUACUCGUGCAUAUAACAUCAACAUAAAUAACCUAGGCUCGGAUGCCACUGUUGGGUUUCGUAGUAAUUUCAAAAAAAUUCCUAUGCACACGCAAGAUCAUGUGAUGCAUAGCAAUGAGAGGAGAGUGUGAUCUACAUACCUAGUAGAUCGACAACGGAAGCAUUUGGUUGAUGUAGUCGUACGUCUUCACGAUCCAACCGAUCAAGCACCGAAACUACGGCACCUCCGAGUUUGAGCACACGUUCAGCUCGAUGACGAUCUCCGGACUCUGAUCCAGCAAAGUGUCGGGGAAGAGUUCCGUCAGCACGACGGCAUGGUGACGAUCUUGAUGCACUACAGCAGCAGGGCUUCGCCUAAACUCCGCUACAGUAUUAUCGAGGACUAUGGUGGCUGGGGCGCCGCACACGGCUAAGGAAUAGAUCACGUGGAUCAACUUGUGUGUUUCUGGGGUGCCUCUGCCUCAGUAUAUAAAGCACCAAAGGGGGGAGGCUGGCCGGCCACAUAGGGCGCGCCAGGAGAGUCCUACUCCCUCUGGGAGUAGGAUUCCCCCCCCCCCCAAUCCUAGUUGGAAUAGGAUUCGCGGAGGGGGAAAAGAGAGAGGGGGGCCGGCCACCUCUCCUUCUCCUAAUAGGACUAGGGGAGGGAGGGAGGCGCGCAUCCCAUCUUGGGCAGCCCCUUCUCUUUUCCACUAAGGCCCACUAAGGCCCAUAUAGCUCUCGGGGGGUUCCGGUAACCUCCCGGUACUCCGGUAAAAUCCCGAUUUCACACGGAACACUUCCGAUAUCCAAACAUAGGCUUCCAAUAUAUCAAUCUUUAUGUCUCGACCAUUACUAGACUCCUCGUCAUGUCCGUGAUCACAUCCGGGACUCCGAACAACCUUCGGUACAUCAAAAUGCAUAAACUCAUAAUAUAACUGUCAUCAUAACCUUAAGCGUGCGGACCCUAUGGGUUCAAGAACAAUGUAGACAUGACCGAGACACGUCUCCGGUCAAUAACCAAUAGCGGGACCUGGAUGCCCAUAUUGGCUCCUACAUAUUCUACGAAGAUCUUUAUCGGUCAGACCGCAUAACAACAUACGUUGUUCCCUUUGUCAUCGGUAUGUUACUUGCCCGAGAUUCGAUCGUCGGUAUUCCAAUACCUAGUUCAAUCUUGUUACUGGCAAGUCUCUUUACUCGUUCUGUAAUACAUCAUUCCGCAACUAACUCAUUUAGUUGCAAUGCUUGCAAGGCUUAAGUGAUGUGCAUUACCGAGAGGGCCCAGAGAUACCUCUCCGACAAUCGGAGUGACAAAACCUAAUCUCGAAAUACGCCAACCCAACAUGUACCUUUAGAGACACCUGUAAUACUCCUUUAUAAUGACCCAGUAACGUUGUGACGUUUGGUAGUACCAAAAGUGUUCCUCCGGUAAACGGGAGUUCAUAAUCUCAUAUAGGAACAUGUAUAAGUCAUGAAGAAAGAAAUAGCAACAUACUAAACGAUCGGGUGCUAAGCUAAUGGAAUGGGUCAUGUCAAUCAGAUCAUUCUCUUAAUGAUGUGAUCACGUUAAUCAAAUAACAACUCAUCGUUCAUGGUUAGGAAACAUAACCAUCUUUGAUUAACGAGCUAGUCAAGUAGACGCAUACUAGUGACACUUUGUUUGUCUAUGUAUUCACACAUGUAUUAUGUUUCUGGUUAAUACAAUUCUAGCAUGAAUAACAAACAUUUAUCAUGAUUAUAAGGAAAUAAAUAAUAACUUUAUUAUUGCCUCUAGGGCAUAUUUCCUUCAGAGUGGCGCCCCAGCCCACUUUGGGCUGGAUCCCUUCCUCAUACAGCCCAUAAGGCCCUCCGGGAGAGGUGGCCCCUCCGAGUGGACCCCCGGAACCCCUCCGGUGGCCCCGGUACAAUACCGUUAUGCCCCCGAACCUUUCCGGUGACCGUAUGACAACUUCCCAUAUAUAAUUCUUUACCUCCGGAUUAUUCCGGGACUUCGAACAACUUUCGGAUUACUGCAUACUCAUAUCUAUACAACCCUAGCAUCACUGAACCUUAAGUGUGUAGACCCUACGGGUUCGGGAGACAAUCAGACAUGACCGAGACGACUCUCUGGUCAAUAACCAACAGUGGGAUCUGGAUACCCAUGUUGGCUCCCACAUGCUCCUUGAUGAUCUCAUCGGAUGAACCACGAUGUCGAGGACCUAAUCAAUCCCGUACUCAAUUCCCUUUGUCAAUCGGUACAUUACUUGCCCGAGACUCGAUCGUCGAUAUCCCAAUACCUUGUUCAGUCUCGUUACCAGCAAGUCACUUUACUCGUACCGUAAUGCAUGAUCCCGUGAUCAACCACUUGAUCACAUUGAGCUCAUUAUGAUGAUGCAUUACCGAGUGGGCCCAGAGAUACCUCUCCGUCAUACGGAGUGACAAAUCCCAGUCUCGAUUCGUGCCAACCCAACAGACACUUUCGGAGAUACCUGUAAUGUACCUUUAUAGUCACCCAGUUACCUUGUGACGUUUGGCACACCCAAGGCACUCCUACGGUAUCCGGGAGUUGCACGAUCUCAUGGUCUAAGGAAAUGAUACUUGACAUCCAGAAAAGCUACAGCAAACGAACUACACGAUCUUUGUGCUAUACUUAGGUUUGGGUCUUGUCCAUCACAUCAUUCUCCUAAUGAUGUGAUCCCAUUAUCAAUGACAUCCCCAUGUCCAUAGCCAGGAAACCAUGACUAUCUGUUGAUCAACGAGCUAGUCAACUAGAGGCUCACUAGGGACACAUUAUGGUCUAUGUAUUCACACAUGUAUUACGAUUUCCGGACAAUACAAUUAUAGCAUGAAUAAUAGAAAAUUAUCAUGAACAAGGAAAUAUAAUAAUCAUUUUAUUAUUGCCUCUAGGGCAUAUUUCCAACAGUCUCCCACUUGCACUAGAGUCAAUCAUCUAGUUACAUUGUGAUGAAUCGAACACCCAUGGAAUUCUGGUGUUGAUCAUGUUUUGCUCUAGGGAGAGGUUUAGUCAACGGAUCUGCUACAUUCAGGUCCGUAUGUACUUUACAAAUCUCUAUGUAUCCAUUUUGAACACUUUCACGAAUGGAGUUGAAACGACGCUUGAUAUGCCUGGUCUUCCUGUGAAACCUGGGCUCCUUGGCAAGGGCAAUAGCUCCAGUGUUGUCACAGAAGAGAGUCAUCGGGCCCGACGCAUUGGGUAUGACUCCUAGGUCGGUAAUGAACUCCUUCACCCAGACUGCUUCGUGUGCUGCCUCCGAGGCUGCCAUGUACUCCGCUUCACAUGUAGAUCCUGCCACAAUGCUUUGCUUGCAACUGCACCAGCUUACUGCCCCACCAUUCAAAAUAUACACGUAUCCGGUUUGUGACUUAGAGUCAUCCAGAUCUGUGUCGAAGCUAGCAUCAACGUAACCCUUUACGACAAGCUCUUCGUCACCUCCAUAAACGAGAAACAUUUCCUUAGUCCUUUUCAGGUACUUCAGGAUAUUUUUGAUCGCUGUCCAGUGUUCCAUGUCGGGAUUACUUUGGUACCUUCCUACCAAACUCACGGCAAGGUUUACAUCAGGUCUGGUACACAGCAUAGCAUACAUGAUAGACCCUAUGGCUGAGGCAUAGGGGACGACACUCAUCUUUUCUCUAUCUUCUGCCGUGGUCGGGCAUUGAGCCAAGCUCAAUCUCGUACCUUGCAAUACAGGCAAGAACCCCUUCUUUGACUGAUCCAUUUUGAACUUCUUCAAUAUCUUGUCAAGGUACAUACUCUAUGAAAGACCAAUGAGGCGUCUCGAUCUAUCUCUAUAGAUCUUGAUGCCUAAUAUAUAAGCAGCUUCUCCAAGGUCCUUCAUUGAAAAACACUUGUUCAAAUAGGCCUUUAUGCUUUCCAAGAAUUCUAUAUCAUUUCCCAUCAACAGUAUGUCAUCCACAUACAAUAUGACAAAUGCUACAGAGCUCCCACCCACUUUCUUGUAAAUGCAAGCUUCUCCAUAAGUCUGCAUAAACCCAAACGCUUUGAUCAUCUCAUCAAAGCGAAUGUUGCAACUCCGAGAUGCUUGCACCAGCCCGUAAAUCGAGCGUUGGAGCUUGCACACCUUGUCAGCAUUCUUAGGAUCGACAAGACCUUCCGGUUGCAUCAUAUACAAUUCUUCCUUAAGGAAACCAUUAAGGAAUGCCGUUUUGACGUCCAUUUGCCAUAUUUCAUAAUCAUAGAAUGCGGCAAUUGCUAACAUGAUUCGGACGGACUUCAGCUUCGCUACGGGUGAGAAAGUCUCAUCGUAGUCAACCCCUUGAACUCGUCGAUAACCCUUAGCGACAAGCCGUGCUUUAUAGAUGGUCACAUUACCAUCCGCGUCUGUCUUCUUCUUAAAGAUCCAUUUAUUUUCUAUGGCUCGCCGAUCAACGGGCAAGUCAGUCAAAGUCCAUACUUUGUUUUCAUACAUGGAUCCUAUCUCGGAUUUCAUGGCUUCCAGCCAUUUGUCGGAAUACGGGCCCGCCAUCACUUCUUCAUAGUUCAAAGGUUCACCGUUGUCUAACAACAUGAUUUCCAAGACAGGGUUGCCGUACCACUCUGGUGAGGAACGUGUCCUUGUGGACCUUCGAAGUUCAGUAGGAGCUUGAUCAGAAGUAUCUUGAUCAUCAUCAUUAACUUCCUCUCUAAUUGGUGCAAGCACCACAGGAACAUUUGCCUGAGUUGCGCCACUUUCCGGUUCAAGAGGCAAUACUUCAUCAAGUUCUACUUUCCUCCCACUUACUUCUUUCGAGAGAAACUCCUUCUCUAGAAAGGAUCCAUUCUUGGCAACAAAGAUCUUGCCUUCGGAUCUGAGGUAGAAGGUAUACCCAAUAGUUUCUUUAGGGUAUCCUAUCAAGACGCAUUUUUCCGACUUGGGUUCGAGCUUUUCAGGUUGAAGUUUCUUGACAUAAGCAUCGCAUCCCCAAACUUUUAGAAACGACAGCUUAGGCUUCUUCCCAAACCAUAAUUCAUACGGUGUCGUCUCAACGGAUUUCGACGGAGCCCUAUUUAAAGUGAAUGCAGUAGUCUCUAAAGCAUAGCCCCAAAAUGACAGCGGUAAAUUGGUAAGAGACAUCAUAGAUCGCACCAUAUCUAAUAGAGUGCGAUUACGACGUUCGGACACACCAUUACGCUGAGGUGUUCCAGGCGGCAUGAGUUGUGAAACUAUUCCACAUUUUCUUAAGUGUGUACCAAAUUCUUGACUCAAGUAUUCUCCUCCACGAUCUGAUCGCAAAAACUUGAUUUUUCUGUCAUGUUGAUUCUCAACCUCACUCUGAAAUUCCUUGAACUUUUCAAAGGUUUCAGACUUGUGUUUCAUUAAGUAGAUAUACCCAUAUCUACUCAAGUCAUCAGUGAGGGUGAGAACAUAACGAUAGCCACCACGAGCCUCAACAUUCAUUGGACCGCACACAUCAGUAUGUAUGAUUUCCAAUAGGUUGGUUGCUCGCUCCAUUGUUCCUGAGAACGGAGACUUGGUCAUCUUACCCAUGAGGCAUGGUUCACACAUGUCAAAUGAUUCGUAAUCAAGAGACUCUAAAAGUCCAUCUGUAUGGAGCUUCUUCAUGCGUUUGACACCUAUGUGACUAAGGCGGCAGUGCCACAAGUAUGUGGGACUAUCAUUAUCAACCUUACAUCUUUUGGCAUUCACACUAUGAAUAUGUGUAGCAUUACGCUCGAGAUUCAUUAAGAAUAAACCAUUCACCAUAGGAGCAUGACCAUAAAACAUAUCUCUCAUAUAAAUAGAACAACCAUUACACUUGGAUUUAAAUGAGUAGCCAUCUCGUAUUAAACGAGAUCCUGAUACAAUGUUCAUGCUCAAACUUGGCACUAAAUAACAAUUAUUGAGGUUCAAAACUAAUCCCGUAGGUAAAUAUAGAGGUAGCGUGCCGACGACGAUGACAUCGACCUUGGAACCAUUCCCGACGCGCAUUGUCACCUCGUCCUUCGCCAAUCUCCGCUUAUUCCGCAGCUCCUGCUUUGAGUUACAAAUGUGAGCAACUGCACCGGUAUCAAAUACCCAGGAGCUACUACGAGUAUUGGUAAGGUACACAUCAAUUACAUGUAUAUCACAUAUACCUUUCGUUUUGCCGGCCUUCUUGUCCGCUAAGUAUUUGGGGCAGUUCCGCUUCCAGUGUCCACUUCCCUUGCAAUAAAAACACUCAGUCUCGGGCUUGGGUCCAUUCUUUGGCUUCUUCCCGGCAGCUUGCUUACCAGGCGCGGCAACUCCCUUGCCGUCCUUCUUGAAGUCCUUCUUACCCUUGCCUUUCUUGAACUUAGUGGUUUUAUUCACCAUCAACACUUGAUGGUCCUUUUUGACUUCUACCUCUGCUGAUUUCAGCAUUGCAAAUACUUUAGGAAUGGUCUUUUCCAUCCCCUGCAUAUUGAAGUUCAUCACAAAGCUCUUGUAGCUUGGUGGAAGCGACUGGAGGAUUCUGUCAAUGACCGCGUCAUCCGGGAGAUUAACUCCCAGCUGAGUCAAGCGGUUAUUUAACCCAGACAUAGUGAGUAUGUGCUCACUGACAGAACUAUUUUCCUCCAUCUUACAGCUGAAGAACUUGUCGGAGACUUCAUAUCUCUCGACCCGGGCAUGAGCUUGGAAAACCAUUUUUAGCUCUUCGAACAUCUCAUAUGCUCCGUGUCGCUCAAAACGCUUUUGGAGCCCCGGUUCUAAGCUGUAAAGCAUGCCGCACUGAACGAGGUAGUAAUCAUCAGCACGUGUCUGCCAAGCGUUCAUAACGUCUUGGUUCUGUGGGACGGGUGCGUCACCUAGCGGUGCUUCUAGGACAUAAUCUUUCUUGGCAGCUUUAUAGUUGCUGCCAUCGUCUUUCAGCUUGGUUUUCUCUAGGAACGCAUUGAAGUUGAGGACAACGUUGGCUAUUUGAUCUACAAGACAUAUUGUAAAUAUUUUAGACUAAGUUCAUGAUAAUUAAGUUCAUCUAAUCAAAUUAUUCAAUGAACUCCCACUUAGAUAGACAUCCCUCCAGUCAUCUAAGUAUAACAUGAUCCGAGUUGACUAGGUCGUGUCCGAUCAUCACGUGAGACGGACUAGUCAACAUCGGUGAACAUCUUCAUGUUGAUCGUAUCUUCUAUACGACUCAUGCUCGACCUUUCGGUCUUCUGUGUUCCGAGGCCAUGUCUGUACAUGCUAGGCUCGUCAAGUCAACCUAAGUGUAUUGCGUGUGUAAAUCUGUCUUACACCCGUUGUAUGUGAACGUUGGAAUCUAUCACACCCGAUCAUCACGUGGUGCUUCGAAACAACGAACUGUCGCAACGGCGCACAGUUAGGGGGAACACUUUCUUGAAAUUAUUAUGAGGGAUCAUCUUAUUUACUACCGUCGUUCUAAGUAAACAAGAUGCAAAAACAUGAUAAACAUCACAUGCAAUCAAAUAAUAAUAGUGACAUGAUAUGGCCAAUAUCACAUAGCUCCUUUGAUCUCCAUCUUGGGGCUCCAUGAUCAUCUUGUCACCGACAUGACACCAUGAUCUCCAUCAUCAUGAUCUCCAUCAUCGUGUCUCCAUGAAGUUGCUAGCCAACUAUUACUUCUACUACUAUGGCUAACGCGUUUAGCAAUAAAUUAAAGUAAUUUACAUGGCGUUUCUCAAUGACACGCAGGUCAUACAAAAAAUAAAGACAACUCCUAUGGCUCCUGCCGGUUGUCAUAAUCAUCGACAUGCAAGUCGUGAUUCCUAUUACAAGAACAUGAUCUCAUACAUCACAUAUAUAUCAUUCAUCAUUCAUCACAACUUUGGCCAUAUCACAUCACAAAUCACUUGCUGCAAAAACAAGUUAGACGUCCUCUAAUUGUUGUUGCAAGUUUUACGUGGCUGCAAAAGGGUUCUAGCAAGAACGUUUUCUUACCUACGUAAUAGCCACAACGUGAUUUGUCAACUUCUAUUUACCCUUCAUAAGGACCCUUUUCAUCGAAUCCGCUCCAAAUAAAGUGGGAGAGACAGAAACCCGCUAGCCACCUAAUGCAACUAGUGCAUGUCAGUCGGUGGAACCAGUCUCACGUAAGCAUACGUGUAAGGUCGGUCCGGGCCGCUUCAUCCCACAAUACCGCUAAAGCAAGAUAAGACUAGUAGCGGCAAGAAAGUUGACAACAUCUACGCCCACAACAAAUUGUGUUCUACUCGUGCAAGGAGAACUACGCAUAAACCUGGCUCUGAUACCACUGUUGGGGAACAUUGCAGAAAACAAAAAAUUUCCUACGAUUUCACCAAGACCCAUCUAUGAGUUCAUCUAGCAACGAGUGAUCGGAUUGCAUCUACAUACCUUUGUAGAUCACGCGCGGAAGCGUUCAAAGAACGGGGAUGAGAAAGUCGUACUCGACGUGAUCCAAAUCACCGGAGGUCCUAGCGCCGAACAGACGGCACCUCCGCGUUCAACACACGUACGGUCAGCGUGACGUCUCCUCCUUCUUGAUCUAGCAAGGGGGAAGGAGAGGUUGAGGAAGAUGGCUCCAGCAGCAGCACGACGGCGUGGUGGUGGUGGAGCAGCAGUACUUCAGCAGGGCUUCGCCAAGCUCGUGACGGAGGAGGAGAUGUGUUGGGGAGGGGAGGGGAUGUGCCUUGGAUGUCCUCUGCAGCCCUCCCCUCACCCCUCUAUUUAUAGGGGAAGGAGGAAGGGGGCCGGCCCCCUCUAGAUGAGAUCUACAGGAGGGGCGGCGGCCAAGGGGAGGGGGGCUUGCCCCCCAAGCAAGGGGGCGCCCCCCCUUAGGGUUUCCCCCAACCCUAUGCGCAUGGGCCCUAGGGGGAGUGGCACCCCAGCCCACUUUGGGGUGGAUACCUUCCUCAUACAGCCCAUAAGGCCCUCCGAGAGAGGUGGCCCCUCCUGGUGGACCCCCGGAACCCCUCCGGUGGCCCCGGUACAAUACUGAUACGCCCCCGAACCUUUCCGGUGACCAUAUGACAACUUCCCAUAUAUAAUUCUUUACCUCCGGAUUAUUCCGGAACUCCUCGUGACGUCCAGGAUCUCAUCCGGGACUCCGAAAAACUUUCGGAUUACUGCAUACUCAUCUAUACAACCCUAGCGUCACCGAACCUUAAGUGUGUAGACCCUACGGGUUUGGGAGACAAGCAUACAUGACCGAGAUGACUCUCUGGUCAAUAACCAACAGCGGGAUCUGGAUACCCAUGUUGGCUCCCACAUGCUCCUCGAUGAUCUCAUCAGAUGAACCACGAUGUCGAGGACCUAAUCAAUCUCGUACUCAAUUCCCAUUGUCAAUCGGUACGUUACUUGCCCGAGACUCGAUCGUCGGUAUCCCAAUACCUUGUUCAGUCUCGUUACCGGCAAGUCACUUUACUCGUACCGUAAUGCAUGAUCCCAUGAUCAACCACUUGAUCACAUUGAGCUCAUUAUGAUGAUGCAUUACCGAGUGGGCCCAGAGAUACCUCUCCGUCAUACGGAGUGACAAAUCCCAGUCUCGAUUUGUGCCAACCCAACAGACACUUUCGGAGAUACCUGUAAUGUACCUUUGUAGUCACCCAGUUACGUUGUGAUGUUUGGCACACCCAAGGCACUCCUACGGUAUCCGGGAGUUGCACAAUCUCAUGGUCUAAGGAAAUGAUACUUGACAUCCAGAAAAGCUAUAGCAAAUGAACUACACGAUCUUUGUGCUUUGCUUAGGUUUGGGUCUUGUCCAUCACAUCAUUCUCCUAAUGAUGUGUUCCCAUUAUCAAUGACAUCCCCAUGUCCAUAGCCAGGAAACCAUGACUAUCUGUUGAUCAACGAGCUAGUCAACUAGAGGCUCACUAGGGACACAUUAUGGUCUAUGUAUUCACACAUGUAUUACGAUUUCCGAACAAUACAAUUAUAGCAUGAAUAAUAGACAAUUAUCAUGAACAAGGAAAUAUAAUCAUCAUUUUAUUAUUGCCUCUAGAGCAUAUUUCCAACAAUGUCACUCUUGGUUCAUUGCACAUCCCGGUACAACGCCGGAGGCAUUCACAUAGAGUCAUAUUUUGUUCUAAGUAUCGAGUUGUAAUUUUUGAGUUGUAAAGUAAAUAAAAGUGUGAUGAUCAUCAUUAUUAGAUCAUUGUCCCAUGUGAGGAAAUGAUGAUGGAGACUAUGAUUCCCCAGAAGUCGGGAUGAGACUCGGGAUGAAAAAGAAAAAAAAGAAAAAAAGAGGCCAUAAAAAGAGAGAAGGCCCAAAAAGAAAAAAUAAUGAGAGAAAAGAGAGAAGGGACAAUGCUAAUAUCCUUUGACCACACUUGUGCUUCAAAGUAGCACCAUGAUCUUCAUGAUAGAGAGUCUCCUAUGUUGUCACUUUCAUAUACUAGUGGGAAUUUUACAUUAUAGAACUUGGCUUGUAUAUUCCAAUGAUGGGCUUCCUCAAAAUGCCCUAGGUCUUCGUGAGCAAGCAAGUUGGAUGCACACCCACUUAGUUUCUUUUUGAGCUUUCAUAUACUUAUAGCUCUAGUGCAUCCGUUGCAUGGCAAUCCCUACUCACUCACAUUGAUAUCUAUUGAUGGGCAUCUCCAUAGCCCGUUGAUACACCUAGUUGAUGUGAGACUAUCUUAUCCUUUUUGUCUUCUCCACAACCACCAUUCUAUUCCACCUAUAGUGCUAUGUCCAUGGCUCACGCUCAUGUAUCGCGUGAAGAUUGAAAAAGUUUGAGAACAUCAAAAGUAUGAAACAAUUGCUUGGCUUGUCAUCGGGGUUGUGCACGAUUUAAAUACUUUGUGUGAUGAAGAUAGAGCAUAGCCAUACUAUAUGAUUUUGUAGGGAUAACUUUCUUUGGCCAUGUUAUUUUGAGAAGACAUCAUUGCUUUGUUAGUAUGCUUGAAGUAUUAUUAUUUUUAUGUCAAUAUUAAACUUUUGUCUUGAAUAUUUCGGAUCUGAACAUUCAUGCCACAAUAAAGAAAAAAUAUAUUGAGAAUUAUGCUAGGUAGCAUUCCACAUCAAAAGUUCUGUUUUUAUCAUUUACCUACUCGAGGACGAGUAGGAAUGAAUCUUGGGAUGCUUCAUACGUCUACAACAUAUCUAUAAUUUGUGAUUGUUCCAUGCUAUUAUAUUAUCUGUUUUGGAUGUUUAAUGGGCUUUAAUAUACAUUUUUAUAUUAUUUUUGGGACUAACCUACUAACCAAAGCCCCAGUGCAAAUUGCUUUUUUUUGCCUAUUUCAGUGUUUCGCAGAAAAGGAAUAUCAAACGGAAUCCAAACGGAAUGAAACCUUCGGGAGAGUUAUUUAUAGAACAAAUGUGAUCCAGGAGACUUGAGUGGAUGUCAAGAAAGAAGCGAGGAGGCCACUGAAGGAAAUAUGCCCUAGAGGCAAUAAUAAAGUUAUUAUUUAUUUCCUUAUAAUCAUGAUAAAUGUUUAUUAUUCAUGCUAGAAUUGUAUUAACCGGAAACAUAAUACAUGUGUGAAUACAUAGACAAACAAAGUGUCACUAGUAUGCCUCUACUUGACUAGCUCGUUAAUCAAAGAUGGUUAUGUUUCCUAACCAUGAACAAUGAGUUGUUAUUUGAUUAACGAGGUCACAUCAUUAGUUGAAUGAUCUGAUUGACAUGACCCGUUCCAUUAGCUUAGCAACCGAUCGUUUAGUAUGUUGCUAUUGCUUUCUUCAUGACUUAUACAUGUUCCUAUAACUAUGAGAUUAUGCAACUCCCGUUUGCCGGAGGAACACUUUGGGUGCUACCAAACGUCACAAUCUAACUGGGUGAUUAUAAAGGAGCAUUACAGGUGUCUCCAAAGGUAGAUGUUGGGUUGGCAAAUUUCGAGAUUAGGAUUUGUCACUCCGAUUGUCGGAGAGGUAUCUCUGGGCCCUCUCGGUAAUGCACAUCACAUAAGCCUUGCAAGCAUUGCAACUAAUGAGUUAGUUGCGAGAUGAUGUAUUACAAAACGAGUAAAGAGACUGGUUGGUAACGAGAUUGAACUAGGUAUUGUAUAUCGACGAUCGAAUCUCGGGCAAGUAACAUACCGAUGACAAAGGGAACAACGUAUGUUGUUAUGCGGUCUGACCGAUAAAGAUCUUCGUAGAAUAUGUAGGAGCCAAUAUGGGCAUCCAGGUCCCGCUAUUGGUUAUUGACCAGAGACGUGUCUCGGUCAUGUCUACAUUGUUCUCGAACCCGUAGGGUCCGCACGCUUAAGGUUACGAUGACAGUUAUAUUAUGAGUUUAUGCAUUUUGAUGUACCGAAGGUUGUUCGGAGUCCCGGAUGUGAUCACGGACAUGACGAGGAGUCUCGAAAUGGUCGAGACGUAAAGAUUGAUAUAUUGGAAGCCUAUGUUUGGAUAUCGGAAGUGUUCCGGGUGAAAUCGGGAUUUUACCGGAGUACCGGGANNNNNNNNNNNNNNNNNNNNNNNNNNNNNNNNNNNNNNNNNNNNNNNNNNNNNNNNNNNNNNNNNNNNNNNNNNNNNNNNNNNNNNNNNNNNNNNNNNNNNNNNNNNNNNNNNNNNNNNNNNNNNNNNNNNNNNNNNNNNNNNNNNNNNNNNNNNNNNNNNNNNNNNNNNNNNNNNNNNNNNNNNNNNNNNNNNNNNNNNNNNNNNNNNNNNNNNNNNNNNNNNNNNNNNNNNNNNAAGGUGGCCGCGCGCCUCCCCCUCCCCCUAGUCCUAUUAGGACUAGGAGAGGUGGUCGGCCCCCCUUCUCUCUCUUCCCCCCUCGGGGAAUCCUAGUCCAACUAGGAUUGGGGGGGGAGUCCUACUCCCGGAAGGAGAAGGACUCCUCCUGCGCCCUCCUCCUGGCCGGCGCCCCCCUCCCCCUUGGCUCCUUUAUAUACUAAGGCAGAGGCACCCCAGAAACACACAAGUUGAUCCACGUGAUCUAUUCCUUAGCCGUGUGCGGUGCCCCCAGCCACCAUAUUCAUCGAUAAUACUGUAGCGGAGUUUAGGCGAAGCCCUACUGCUGUAGUGCAUCAAGAUCGUCACCACGCCGUCGUGCUGACGGAAUUCUUCCCCGACACUUUCCUGGAUCGGAGUCCGGGGAUCGUCAUCGAGCUGAACGUGUGCUCGAACUCGGAGGUGCCGUAGUUUCGGUGCUUGAUCGGUUGGAUCGCGAAGACGUACGACUACUUCCUCUACGUUGUGUCAACGCUUCCGCAGUCGGUCUGCGUGGGUACGUAGAAAGCACUCUCCCCUCUCGUUGCUAUGCAUCACCAUGAUCUUGCGUGUGCGUAGGAAUUUUUUUGAAAUUACUACGAAACCCAAAAGUCGCAUCCGUGCCUAGGUUAUUUAUGUUGAUGUUAUAUGCACGAGUAGAACACAAGUGAGUUGUGGGCGAUAUAAGUCAUACUGCCUACCAGCAUGUCAUACUUUGGUUCGGCGGCAUUGUUGGACGAGACGACCCGGACCAACCUUACGCGUACGCUUACGCGAGACCGGUUCCCCCGACGUGCUUUGCACACAGGUGGCUUGCGGGCGACUGUCUCUCCAACUUUAGUUGAACCAAGUAUGGCUACGCCCGGUCCUUGCGAAGGUUAAAACGGAGUCUAUUUGACAAACUAUCGUUGUGGUUUUGAUGCGUAGGUGAGAUUGGUUCUUGCUUAAAGCCCGUAGCAGCCACAUAAAACUUGCAACAACAAAGUAGAGGACGUCUAACCUGUUUUUGCAGGGCAUGUUGUGAUGUGAUAUGGUCAAGACAUGAUGCUGAAUUUUAUUGUAUGAGAUGAUCAUGUUUUGUAACCGAGUUAUCGGCAACUGGCAGGAGCCUUAUGGUUGUCGUUUUAUUGUAUGCAAUGAAAACGCGAUGUAAUGAUUUACUUUAUUACUAAGCGGUAGUGAUAGUCGUGGAAGCAUAAACUUGGCGAGACGACAACGAUGCUAUGAUGGAGAUCAAGGUGUCACGCCGGUGAUGAUGGUGAUCACGACGGUGCUUCGGAGAUGGAGAUCACAAGCACAAGAUGAUGAUGGCCAUAUCAUAUCACUUAUAUUGAUUGCAUGUGAUGUUUAUCCUUUUAUGCAUCUUAUCUUGCUUUGAUUGACGGUAGCAUUAUAAGAUGAUUUCUCACUAAAUUACCAAGAAGUGUUCUCCCUGAGUAUGCACCGUUGUGAAAGUUCUUCGUGCUGAGACACCACGUGAUGAUCGGGUGUGAUAGGUUCUACGUUCAAAUACAACGGGUGCAAAACAGUUGCCCACGCGGAAUACUCAGGUUAUACUUGACGAGCCAAGCAUAUACAGAUAUGGCCUCAGAACACGGAGACUGAAAGGUCGAGCGUGAAUCAUAUAGUAGAUAUGAUCAACAUAACGAUGUUCACCAUUGAAAACUACUCCAUCUCACGUGAUGAUCGGUUAUGGUUUAGUUGAUUUGGAUCACGUAAUCACUUAGAGGAUUAGAGGGAUGUCUAUCUAAGUGGGAGUUCUUUAAUUAAUUUGAUUAACUGAACUUAAAUUUAUCAUGAAACUUAGUACCUAAUUAGUAUCUUGCUUGUUUAUGUUUGAUUGUAGAUAGAUGGCUCGUGUUGUUGUUCCGUUGAAUUUUAAUGCGUUCCUUGAGAAAGCAAAGUUGAAAGAUGAUGGUAGCAAUUACACGGACUAGGUCCGUAACUUGAGGAUUAUCCUCAUUGCUGCACAGAAGAAUUACGUCCUGGAAGUACCACUGGGUGCCAGGCCUGCUGCAGGAGCAACGCCGGAUGUUAUGAACGUCUGGCAGAGCAAAGCUGAUGACUACUCAAUAGUUCAGUGUGCCAUGCUUUACGGCUUAGAAUCGGGACUUCAACGACGUUUUGAACGUCAUGGAGCAUAUGAGAUGUUCCAGGAGUUGGAGUUAAUGUUUCAAGCAAAUGCCCAGAUUGAGAGAUAUGAAGUCUCCAAUAAGUUCUAUAGCUGCAAGAUGGAGGAGAACAGUUCUGUCAGUGAGCAUAUACUCAAAAUGUCUGGGUAUAAUAAUCACUUGAUUCAAUUGGGAGUUAAUCUUCCAGAUGAUUGCGUCAUUGACAGAAUUCUUCAAUCACUGCCACCAAGCUACAAGAGCUUCGUGAUGAACUAUAAUAUGCAAGGGAUGAACAAGACUAUUCCCGAGCUCUUCGCGAUGCUGAAAGCUGCGGAGGUAGAAAUCAAGAAGGAGCAUCAAGUGUUGAUGGUCAACAAGACCACUAGUUUCAAGAAAAAGGGCAAAGGGAAGAAGAAGGGGAACUUCAAAAAGAACGGCAAGCAAGUUGCUACUCAAGAGAAGAAACCCAAACCUGGACCUAAGCCUGAAACUGAGUGUUUCUAUUGCAAGCAGACUGGUCACUUGAAGCGGAACUGCCCCAAGUAUUUGGCAGAUAAGAAGGAUGGAAAGGUGAACAAAGGUAUAUGUGAUAUACAUGUUAUUGAUGUGUACCUUACUAAUGCUCGCAGUAGCACCUGGGUAUUUGAUACUGGUUCUGUUGCUAAUAUUUGCAACUCGAAACAGGGACUACGGAUCAAGCGAAGAUUGGUUAAGGACGAGGUGACGAUGCGCGUGGGAAACGGUUCCAAAGUCGAUGUGAUCGCAGUCGGCACACUACCUCUACAUCUACCUUCGGGAUUAGUAUUAGACCUAAAUAAUUGUUAUUUGGUGCCAGCGUUAAGCAUGAACAUUAUAUCUGGAUCUUGUUUGAUGCGAGACGGUUAUUCAUUUAAAUCAGAGAAUAAUGGUUGUUCUAUUUAUAUGAGUAAUAUCUUUUAUGGUCAUGCACCCUUGAAGAGUGGUCUAUUCUUGUUGAAUCUCGAUAGUGGUAACACACAUAUUCAUAAUGUUGAAGCCAAAACAUGUAGAGUUGAUAAUGAGAGUGCAACUUAUUUGUGGCACUGCCGUUUAGGUCAUAUCGGUGUAAAGCGCAUGAAGAAACUCCAUUCUGAUGGACUUUUGGAACCACUUGAUUAUGAAUCACUUGGUACUUGCGAACCGUGCCUUAUGGGCAAGAUGACAAAACACCGUUCUCCGGUACUAUGGAGGGAGCAACAGAUUUGUUGGAAAUCAUACAUACAUAUGUAUGUGGUCCGAUGAAUAUUGAGGCUCGUGGCGGAUAUCAUUAUUUUCUCACCUUCACAGAUGAUUUAAGCAGAUAUGGGUAUAUCUACUUAAUGAAACAUAAGUCUGAAACAUUUGAAAGGUUCAAGGAAUUUCAGAGUGAAGUUGAAAAUCAUCGUAACAAGAAAAUAAAGUUUCUACGAUCUGAUCGUGGAGGAGAAUAUUUGAGUUACGAGUUUGGUGUACAUUUGAAAAAUUGUGGAAUAGUUUCGCAACUCACGCCACCCGGAACACCACAGCGUAAUGGUGUGUCUGAAUGUCGUAAUCGUACUUUACUAGAUAUGGUGCGAUCUAUGAUGUCUCUUACUGAUUUACCGCUAUCGUUUUGGGGAUACGCUCUAGAGACGGCCGCAUUCACUUUAAAUAGGGCACCAUCAAAAUCCGUUGAGACGACGCCUUAUGAACUGUGGUUUGGCAAGAAACCAAAGUUGUCGUUUCUGAAAGUUUGGGGCUGCGAUGCUUAUGUGAAAAAGCUUCAACCUGAUAAGCUCGAACCCAAAUCGGAGAAAUGUGUCUUCAUAGGAUAUCCAAAGGAAACUAUUGGAUACACCUUCUAUCACAGAUCUGAAGGCAAGACUUUUGUUGCUAAAUUCGGAAACUUUCUAGAGAAGGAGUUUCUCUCGAAAGAAGUGAGUGGGAGGAAAGUAGAACUUGACGAGGUAACUGUACCUGCUCCCUUAUUGGAAAGUAGUACAUCACAGAAAAUUGUUUCAGUGACACCUACACCAGUUAGUGAGGAAGCUAAUGAUAAUGAUCAUGAAACUUCAGAUCAAGAUACUGCUGAACCUCGUAGAUCAACCAGAGUAAGAUCCGCACCAGAGUGGUACGGUAAUCCUGUUCUGGAAGUCAUGCUACUAGAUCAUGAUGAACCUGCGAACUAGGAAGAAGCGAUGGUGAGCCCAGAUUCCGCAAAAUGGCUUGAAGCCAUGAAAUCUGAGAUGGGAUCCAUGUAUGAGAACAAAGUAUGGACUUUGGUUGACUUGCCCGAUGAUCGGUAAGCAAUUGAGAAUAAAUGGAUCUUCAAGAAGAAGACUGACGCUGACGGUAAUGUUACUGUCUACAAAGCUCGACUUGUCGCAAAAGGUUUUCGACAAGUUCAAGGGGUUGACUACGAUGAGACCUUCUCACCCGUAGCGAUGCUUAAGUCUGUCCGAAUCAUGUUAGCAAUUGCCGCAUUUUAUGAUUAUGAAAUUUGGCAAAUGGAUGUCAAAACUGCAUUCCUGAAUGGAUUUCUGGAAGAAGAGUUGUAUAUGAUGCAACCAGAAGGUUUUGUCGAUCCAAAAGGAGCUAACAAAGUGUGCAAGCUCCAGCGAUCCAUUUAUGGACUGGUGCAAGCCUCUCGGAGUUGGAAUAAAUGCUUUGAUAGUGUGAUCAAAGCAUUUUGUUUUAUACAGACUUUCGGAGAAGCCUGUAUUUACAAGAAAGUGAGUGGGAGCUCUGUAGCAUUUCUGAUAUUAUAUGUGGAUGACAUAUUACUGAUUGGAAAUGAUAUAGAAUUUCUGGAUAGCAUAAAGAGAUACUUGAAUAAGAGUUUUUCAAUGAAAGACCUCGGUGAAGCUGCUUACAUACUAGGCAUAAAGAUCUAUAGAGAUAGAUCAAGACGCUUAAUUGGACUUUCACAAACAACAUACCUUGACAAAAUUUUGAAGAAGUUCAAAAUGGAUCAAGCAAAGAAAGGAUUCUUGCCUGUGUUACAAGGUGUGAAAUUGAGUAAGACUCAAUGCCCGACCACUGCAGAAGAUAGAGAGAAUAUGAAAGAUGUUCCCUAUGCAUCAGCGAUAGGAUCUAUCAUGUAUGCAAUGUUGUGUACCAGACCUGAUGUGUGCCUUGCUAUAAGUCUAGCAGGGAGGUACCAAAGUAAUCCAGGAGUGGAUCACUGGACAACCGUCAAGAACAUCCUGAAAUACAUGAGAAGGACUAAGGAUAUGUUUCUCGUAUAUGGAGGUGACAAAGAGCUCGACGUAAAUGGUUACGUUGAUGCAAGCUUUGACACUGAUCCGGACGAUUCUAAAUCGCAAACCGGAUACGUGUUUACAUUAAACGGUGGAGCUGUCAGUUGGUGCAGUUCUAAACAAAGCGUCGUAGUGGGAUCUACAUGUGAAGCGGAGUACAUAGCUGCUUCGGAAGCAGCGAACGAAGGAGUCUGGAUGAAGGAGUUCAUAUCCGAUCUAGGUGUCAUAUCUAGUGCAUCGGGUCCAAUGAAAAUCUUUUGUGACAAUACUGGUGCAAUUGCCUUGGCAAAGGAAUCCUGAUUUCACAAGAGAACCAAGCACAUCAACAGACGCUUCAAUUCCAUCCAGGAUCUAGUCCAGGUGGGAGACAUAGAGAUUUGCAAGAUACAUACGGAUCUGAAUGUUGCAGACCCGUUGACUAAGCCUCUUCCACGAGCAAAACAUGAUCAGCACCAAGGCUCCAUGGGUGUUAGAAUCAUCACAGUGUAAUCUAGAUUAUUGACUCUAGUGCAAGUGGGAGACUGAAGUAAAUAUGCCCUAGAGGCAAUAGUAAAGUUAUUAUUUAUUUCCUUAUAAUCAUGAUAAAUGUUUAUUAUUCAUGCUAGAAUUGUAUUAACCGGAAACAUAAUACAUGUGUGAAUACAUAGACAAACAAAGUGUCACUAGUAUGCCUCUACUUGACUAGCUCGUUAAUCAAAGAUGGUUAUGUUUCCUAACCAUGAACAAUGAGUUGUUAUUUGAUUAACGAGGUCACAUCAUUAGUUGAAUGAUCUGAUUGACAUGACCCGUUCCAUUAGCUUAGCACCCGAUCGUUUAGUAAGUUGCUAUUGCUUUCUUCAAGACUUAUACAUGUUCCUAUAACUAUGAGAUUAUGCAACUCCCGUUUGCCGGAGGAACACUUUGGAUGCUACCAAACGUCACAACGUAACUGGGUGAUUAUAAAGGAGCAUUACAGGUGUCUCCAAAGGUAGAUGUUGGGUUGGCGUAUUUCGAGAUUAGGGUUUGUCACUCCGAUUGUCGGAGAGGUAUCUCUGGGCCCUCUCGGUAAUGCACAUCACAUAAGCCUUGCAAGCAUUGCAAUUAAUGAGUUAGUUGUGAGAUGAUAUAUUACAGAACGAGUAAAGAGACUUGCCGGUAACGAGAUUGAACUAGGUAUUGGAUACCGACGAUCGAAUCUCGGGCAAGUAACAUACCGAUGACAAAGGGAACAACGUAUGUUGUUAUGCGGUCUGACCGAUAAAGAUCUUCGUAGAAUAUGUAGGAGCCAAUAUGGUCAUCCAGGUCUGGCUAUUGGUUAUUGACCGGAGACGUGUCUCAGUCAUGUCUACAUUGUUCUCGAACCCGUAGGGUCCGCACGCUUAAGGUUACGAUGACAGUUAUAUUAUGAGUUUAUGCAUUUUGAUGUACCGAAGGUUGUUCGGAGUCCCGGAUGUGAUCACGGACAUGAUGAGGAGUCUCGAAAUGGUCGAGACGUAAAGAUUGAUAUAUUGGAAGCCUAUGUUUGGAUAUCGGAAGUGUUCCGGGUGAAAUCGGGAUUUUACCGGAGUACCGGGAGGUUACCGGAACCCCCCNNNNNNNNNNNNNNNNNNNNNNNNNNNNNNNNNNNNNNNNNNNNNNNNNNNNNNNNNNNNNNNNNNNNNNNNNNNNNNNNNNNNNNNNNNNNNNNNNNNNNNNNNNNNNNNNNNNNNNNNNNNNNNNNNNNNNNNNNNNNNNNNNNNNNNNNNNNNNNNNNNNNNNNNNNNNNNNNNNNNNNNNNNNNNNNNNNNNNNNNNNNNNNNNNNNNNNNNNNNNNNNNNNNNNNNNNNNNNNNNNNNNNNNNNNNNNNNNNNNNNNNAAGGAGAAAGGGGCAGCCCAAGGUGGCCGCGCGCCUCCCCCCUUCCCCUAGUCCUAUUAGGACUAGGAGAGGUGGCCGGCCCCCCUUCUCUCUCUUUCCCCCUCGGGGAAUCCUAGUCCAACUAGGAUUGGGGGGGAGUCCUACUCCCGGAAGGAGAAGGACUCCUCCUGCGCCCUCCUCCUGGCCGGCGCCCCCUCCCCCUUGGCUCCUUUAUAUACUAAGGCAGAGGCACCCCAGAAACACAUAAGUUGAUCCACGUGAUCUAUUCCUUAGCCGUGUGCGGUGCCCCCAGCCACCAUAUUUCUCGAUAAUACUGUAGCGGAGUUUAGGCGAAGCCCUGCUGCUGUAGUGCAUCAAGAUCGUCACCACGCCGUUGUGCUGACGGAAUUCUUCCCCAACACUUUGCUGGAUCGGAGUCUGGGGGUCGUCAUCGAGCUGAACGUGUGCUCGAACUCGGAGGUGCCGUAGUUUCGGUGCUUGAUCGGUUGGAUCGCGAAGACGUACGACUACUUCCUCUACGUUGUGUCAACGCUUCCGCAGUCGGUCUGCGUGGGUACGUAGACAGCACUCUCCCCUCUCAUUGCUAUGCAUCACCAUGAUCUUGCGUGUGCGUAGGAAAUUUUUUGAAAUUACUACGAAACCCAACAGCCACGAGGCAGGACGGCGCACCUAGGGGGUAGGCCCGCCCUCCACACUCGUGGGCCCCUUGCAGCUCCACUGACGUACUUCUUCCUCCUAUAUAUACCCAUAUACCGCGAAAACAUCCAGGAGCACCACGAAACCCUAUUUCCAUCGCCACAACCUUCUGUACCCGUGAGAUCCCAUCUUGGGGCCUUUUUCGACGCUCCGCCGGAGGGGGAAUUGAUCAUGGAGGGCUUCUACAUCAACACCAUAGCCUCUCCGAUGAUGUGUGAGUAGUUUACCACAGACCUUCGGGUCCAUAGUUAUUAGCUAGAUGGCUUCUUCUCUCUCUUUGGAUCUCAAUACAAAGUUCUCCUCGAUUCUCUUGGAGAUCUAUUCGAUGUAAUUUCUUUUUGCGGUGUGUUUGUCGAUAUCCGAUGAAUUGUGGGUUUAAUCAAGAUUAUCUAUGAACAAUAUUUGAUUCUUCUCUGAAUUCUUUUAUGCAUGAUUUAAAUAUCUUUGCAAGUCUCUUCGAAUUAUCAAUUUGGUUUGGCCUACUAGAUUGAUCUUUCUUGCAAUGGGAGAAGUGCUUAGCUUUGGGUUCAAUCUUGCGGUGUCCUUUCCCAGUGACAGCAGGGGCAGCAAGGCACGUAUUGUAUUAUUGACAUCGAGGAUAAAAAGAUGGGGUUUAUAUCAUAUUGCUUCAGUUUAUUCCUCUACAUCAUGUCGUCUUGCCUAAUGUGUUACUCUGUUCUUAUGAACUUAAUACUCUAGAUGCAUGCUGGAUAGCGGUCGAUGUGUGGAGUAGUAGUAGUAGAUGCAGAAUCGUUUAGGUCUACUUGUCGCGGACGUGAUGCCUAUAUACAUGAUCAUGCCUAGAUAUUCUCAUAAUUAUUCGAUUUUCUAUCAAUUGCUCGACAGUAAUUUGUUCACCCACCGUAGAAUUUGCUAUCUUGAGAGAAGCCACUAGUGAAACCUAUGGCCCCCGGGUCUAUCUUCCAUCAUAUCUAUUUUCUAUUUCUAUCAUAGUUUAUUUUUGCAAUCUUUACUUUCCAAUCUAUACCAUAAAAAAUACCAAAAAUAUUUAUCUUAUUAUCUCUACAGAUCUCACUUUGUAAGUGACCGUGAAGGGAUUGACAACCCCUUUAUCGCGUUCGUUGCAAGGUUCUUGUUUGUUUGUGCAGGUACUAGGCAAAUUUCGUGUUACCUCCUACAGGAUUGAUACCUUGAUUCUCAAAAACUGAGGGGGAAAUACUUACGCUAUUGUGCUGCAUCACCCUUUCCUCUUCAAGGGAAAACCAACGCUUGCUCAAGAGUUAGCAGAUGCCAAUUCAAAUAAUCAUCAAAAUAAUUCUCCUACACGCGUUAUUCAGAUGGAGAAGAAGCGGUUGGCGUGGACAUUUCGUUUCUUAUCGAUGUCCAAGAGAAAAGCUACUAGGAAGUUCGUCCGCGCGGUGGAUUAUAAGUUUAAGUCUGUUACAUGAUACGUCCAUUUUGUAUCAUGUUUUCUUACUAUUAUUUAUAAUGUUUUAUCCAUAAUAAUGCUUUUUGGAGUAAUUCUAAUGUCUUUUCUCUCAUAAUUUGCAGUGUACACACAAAGAGGGAGAAUUUCGGCAGCUGGAAAUCUUGACCUGGGAAAGCUACAUCAGGCUACCUAUUCUGCACAACUCCAAACAAGCUGAAACUUGACAAUGAUUUUUUAUGGAAUAUAUAAGAAAUACUGGAGGAAAUAACUACCAUAGGGGGCCCAUCAGGUGGGCACAACCCACCUGGGCACGCUAGGGAGCCCAGGCAUGCCCUGGUGGGUUGUGCUCACCCAGGCCCACCUCUGGUGCCCAUCUUCUGGUAUAUAAGUCAUUUUAACCUAGAAAAAAUAAGGAUAAGGCUUUUGGGACGGAGCGCUGCCGUCUCGAGGCGGAACUUGGGCAGGAGCACUUUUGCCCUCCGGCGGAGCGAUUCCGCCNNNNNNNNNNNNNNNNNNNNNNNNNNNNNNNNNNNNNNNNNNNNNNNNNNNNNNNNNNNNNNNNNNNNNNNNNNNNNNNNNNNNNNNNNNNNNNNNNNNNNNNNNNNNNNNNNNNNNNNNNNNNNNNNNNNNNNNNNNNNNNNCAUCGUCCUCAUCAUCACCAACAACUCUCCCAUCUUGGGGAGGGUUAUCUCCAUCAACAUCUUCAACAACACCAUCUCAUCUCAAACCCUAGUUCAUCUCUUGUGUUCAAUCUUGUUACCGGAACUAUAGAUUGGUGCUUGUGGGUGACUGGUAGUGUUGAUUACAUCUUGUAGUUGAUUACUAUAUGGUUUAUUUGGUGGAAGAUUAUAUGUUCAGAUCCAUUAUGCUAUUUAAUACUCCUCUGAGCAUGAGCAUGUUUAUCAUUUGUGAGUAGUUACUUUCGUUCUUGAGGUUACGGGAGAAAUCAUGUUCCAAGUAAUCCUGUGAACUUCAUAUGUGUUCGAUAUUUUGAUAUUAUGUAUGUUGUGAUUCCCUUAGUGGUGCCAUAUUUGAACGUCGACUACAUGACACUUCACCAUAUUUGGGCCUAAGCGAAUGCAUUGUGGAGUAGCAAUUAGAUGAUGGGUUGCUAGAGUGACAGAAACUUAAAUCCCAGUUUAUGCGCUAUUCCGUAAGGGACCGAUUGGAUCCAAAAGUUUAAUGCUAUGGCUAGAAUUUAUUCAUAAUACUUUUCUCAUAGUUGCGGAUGCUUGCGGGAGGGUUAAUCAUAAGUAGGAGGUUUGUUCAAGUAAGAACAUCACCUAAGCACCGGUCCACCCACAUAUCAAAUUAUCAAAGUAGCGAACACAAAUCGAACCAACAUGACAAAAGUGACUAGAUGAAAAUCCCGUGUAGCCUCAAGAACGCUUUGCUUAUCAUAAGAGACCGUUUUGGCCUGUCCUUUUGCCUCAAAAGGAUUGGGAUACCUUGCUGCACUUUUGUCACUACUAUUGUUACUUGUUACAAAUUAUCUUGCUAUCAAACUACUUUGCUACUUACAAUUUCAGCACUUGCAAACAUUACCUUACUGAAAACUACUUGUCAUUUCCUUCUGCUCCUUGUUGGGUUUGACACUCUUACUUAUCGAAAAGAGCUAUAAUUGAUCCCCUAUACUUGUGGGUCAUCAUUACAACAUCCAAUCAUCCAUAUAAUCUCUGUGUUUCUUCUGUUUUCUACCAGUCAUAUUUCAUAUGUGCAUCAGAGGAAAAAUGCUUUCAGCGGGCAUGUUGGAGUGCACAUACCAAGUUCCCAGAUUGCAAAUAUGAUCCUGGGCUCCUAGCCAUUAAUAUGUUUAAUUCCACAUUUUCUUCAUCUAAUUUCUAAAUGACUAGACAACCUGUUAUACUCUUAUAGAAUUAUGAGCCGCCCAAACCAUGUUUCUCUUGGUCUAAUUUCUAAAUGAUAAUGUGCAACAUCUAUCUCCUUGUGAACCUUUUUUUUCUUCCGACUGUAUCCCCUGGUGAACCUAUCUUACGAUAAGAUUUUUUAGGGCAUUUUUUGAUGAUUUUUUCCUAUAGCCCUUAAAUAAAAUCAAAUAAAAUCAAGUGCAACUCACAGUAAGUUUUCUGCUCCUAGCUAGUUGUAAAGAACAAGUUCAAUUCAGUCUGAUUUAGUUCUUGACAUGACCGUGCUGCCAGCAACUCCUUUUCUCUAGCUAGCACAAUAAUUGUACUUGUUUGAUGUAAAGGACAUAAAUACAAAGAAAUAAAUUGGAAGCUUAUUUCAAAUUAACUAGCUAGUGGUGUUUGUGAAGUUCAAGAAAAAUCUAGUCUUUUUCUCGACAAAUAAGUUGACAUGCAAGGAAUCAAUGAAUGUAUUUGCAAGAAAGCAAACAUAAUUAUCGAUAAAAUUGGUUGUGAUUGUCACUAUAGACAAUGGUAGUAGCUAAUUGGAACUAGAUACAAACCAAUAAAAAACAAGAUCUCAAAUCUCCAACCAAUAAAGAGUUCAACCCAAAUUUUACAAUUACACUAUUAUAUUUAAAUAGUGAUUAUUGUAAUACAUGGCUAAUUAAUUAAUGCACUAGGUUGCGCUUGUGACCAGGCAAGACAAACUUAUGAACUUGCAUGCAUGGCAAUCAGAUCGACAUCCACACAAUGCCGAUAUGAACAUUUUCUUAAUACACCUUUAUUUGUAUUUUAUUUCAGAAUUUAAACAACUAGUUUGAGCGGGUCACACAUGACGUUGUGUGACACUUUAUUUGUCACCGCUACAUUGACAUAUCCAUCGACUAAACAACGGUGAUCCAACUAUAUAUUACUAGAGAUCUUUUCUUAUCAGUAGACACCAACUCCGAUGCCAACGCCUAAUGGCACACUAGUGGUGGUUUCGUACAACGGCACAUUGACACUGCACAUUGUUGGCAGGGUACGGAGUGCAAUGGAAGUCAUCACCUCAAGCUGAGCUAUCUGGUGUGGCUGCAAAAAGGUACCAUGUGCCAAUUGUUGUUGUUGAGGUUGUUGCCCGAGUUGCUGCUGCAACUGCUGUUGGGGUUGGGAGACACAUUGGCCCAACUGUUGGGGUUGUUGUUGCUGAUAUUGGAUGAUACUCUGACCCUGUUGUUGUUGUUGUUGUUGCUGCUGCUGCUGCUGCAGGAUGAUAGAGUAGAUGAUAGCACGGAUUGACUCAUGGCGGGAUUGCUCGGGGAUUUGCCGCAACUGCUGGCAACAUUGUUGCUGCAUCACAUGGCAAAUGCUCUGCUGCAACAUUUGUGACCUAGCAAGACAUCGCUGCAUUGCCACAGGGAUGCACUGCUGCUGGAGGAAUACCUUGCAUGGGUUUAGCUGCUGCAAAACAGAUGGAUGAAUAACUGGUAUUUGUUGUUGCUGUGAAAAUGGUGGUUGUUGUUGCUGCGAAAAUGGUGGUUGUUGCUGCUGUGAAAUUGGUGGCUGUUGUGAAAAUGGUGGUUGUUGUUGCUGUGUAAAUGGUUGUUGUUGUUGUUGUUGCUGCUGCUGCUGCUGUGAAAUUGGUGGCUGUUGUGAAAACGAUGGUUGUUGUUGCUGUGUAAAUGGUGGUUGUUGUUGUUGCUGCAAAAAUGGUGGUUGUUGUUGCUGCGAAAAUGG
rnacentral:lncRNA from 1 species